GAAAGAAGUUGAACGUUGCAGAUUUCGCUAUACAAAAAUUACAGGAAAAACGAAUUGUAUACAGCGAGGAAUGCCUGUGUAGUUUGUGCAGAUUGUCUUGAGGUACCAUGAUUGUCUUGAGGUACCAUGAUCUUGCAGGGUCUAAAGUUCGCUCUGCUUUCUGUGCUAGCUGUGCGGGUGAUUAAAAGUAUUUAGUACCGGCGAUCUGACAGGAUGGAGUCACUCCAAGAAAGCAUGAAAUCGCGCACAACAGAUGGCAGAUCUGCACAAAAGAGUAAGUAAUACAUUAUAUUCCUAGCAAGGAGAAAUGUUCCCAUAGUGAUAAGAUCAAGUAAACAGAAUUUGACUGACUGACCUUGGAGAACCUCGAGGGCAACUGAAGGCAUAUCUAUUUGAUCUUCAACCAGUCUGUACACAUCAACAAGCUGCAAAAAAAGAGAUGAGUUGCAUUCAUUCACUGAGAAUUAUGUCAAAUUUAUUUUUAUUUUAUAGGGACACAAGCAAUUUACAGGAUGAUUGAACAAUCUAUCUAUAGUACCUCUUCUACAUGCAACUUGGAGUCUUCAGUGAAAGCCAGUAUAAGUUGUCUCCUGAUCCCAGCAUCGAUAAGGAACAUCCGUGCUCCGUCCUUUAUUGUUUCAGUGAGAUCAAGUUUGCUCUCCAGCUGUUGACUUCUCACAGCUUGCCUGAUAGAUCAAAAGAACAGAAAAAUUCUAGAUCGAACAAACAUAUGCAGGAUGGCAAGACAGUGGUUCCAAUACUCACGAACUGUUUUUUUUCAGUGCAGGAUUGCUGCUCAUCUUGGACACAUUCUCCUUGGCAAGAACUAUAAGGUUUUCUAGUCGUUUCCACUGGAAUGCCCCAUCUUUGAAUAAUACCUGCACAGAAAAGAUAUGAGGAAAUAAUGCUAAAAAAUAUAAAAGGCACAAGCAAUUGUAGAAUCUGAAAAGUAGAUGCAUAAUGGUGCACUUCAACAUGCACUUGAAACUCGCAACUUUUCCACAUUCACAGAAGAGUUUCCAUUUAUUUCCCAGUAAUAAUGCUUAAUUUGACUAUUUGGUUCACAUAGUCUUUGCAUUUAUGUCAAUAGGUGUAGAGACGUACAGGGAUUGGGAAACACCACACACACAUCUCUAAUAAUAGGGUCUACACAAGUUACCUGAAUCAGGCGUUCUCUCAGAGCAGGGUUUGGAUCUGUCAACAGACGCUUUGCUACAUAUGGAUAUGCAACCUAAAUAUGAGGAAACAUAGAGAAAAGAAUGUAAGUAAACACAGAAAUGCAAAUUGGUGUUUCCAUGAGCUCAAAGGCAGCACACACCAUACCUCAAGAAACUUAAAAUCAGGCUUUAGUGUGAAGCAAAUUCCUUCUUGCGUCAACAACGAACGGAUAACCAAGGAAAACCUUUCUGGAAUGCGGAUUGGGUAGUUGUAGACGAGCUGAUUGAACUUCCCUGUGAUUUUAAUUAACAUUAAAAAAUGAAGUAUAUUUUCCUUUGGAUAUUUUGAAAUAUCUGAACAUAUAACAUGUUACAAAAAAACUUCUCAUUAGUGGAAGGAAAAAAAUGUGUACUAUACAUGAAUAAGCAACCAUACAGAAAUGCAGUAAAAAAUAAUAUUCACAAUUCAUAUGACCAAGUGCUAAAAAAAAUAAAGUAACAACACAUUGAGAUUUGAAAAAACAACAACUUGUGUACGGCGUGAGAAAAAGAAACAAACAAGCUUUAAUUUGUCAGCGUCGACACAAUUCUAACCAUAUCAACAUACCAGUCACACUCCGGAAAUUGAAAUCUGCCAAGCCUUUUCCAGCUGAGUUUUGCCAAAUGGCUUCCAGAGCUGGAAUAAUUGGGGCUACAUCUGUUCCACUAGCGAGGAAACCCAGCCUAGUGAAGUCAUUUGCCAUUUCAGCGUAAUCUUCAUUGACAGCAUGAACAACAGCAUCGAUUAGGAUUUGUUUAUUUUGCUGCACAUAGGAGAUAACAAUGAAAAAACAGCAUGUUAACCACUUUUUGUUUCCAUGUAUAACGUGCAAAUGUGACACUGCAAACAUGAGUUCACAAAAGAGAAGGAAUACCAUUUCGUGAAAAGACAUUUGAUGCAGCAUUAUCAGAUACAAGGUAGAAAAUGUAUAUAUAUAGACAGGAAAAAAAGCAGCAAUAACAAUGUAACUAACUGUAAGUGCAAAGAAUUCUACUACUAGACAAGAGCAUUUUACAGACCUGGCUAAGGACGGCCACAUUGCCAAAGUCGACAUAUGCAAUCCGACCAUCACGCAUUGCAAAAAUAUUUCCAGGAUGUGGAUCUCCAUGGAAAAGACCAAAUUCAAGUAACUGACGCAAGGCAGCACUUACUCCAACUGUGAGAAAGCCUUCCACAUCAAUUCCAGCUUCUUUUAUAGCCUGCAUGAAUGAAUUUGGAAUCAGUGCUGCUAAAGAUUCACCAUGAACUAUUGCACAUUUGAAAUAAACAAACAACUUUAUGGAUGGUCAAACCUGUGGGUUCGUACAUCUAAUUCCAUCUAUCCACUCCAUCACCAGAACACGAGAACCUGAGAGCUGCUUGUACACUUGAGGUAUCUUAACAGUUGGAUCAUCCUUAAAAUUUUCUAGGAAAUCCUCGAUAUUUGUAGCUUCCUAAUAUGAUGCAAAAGGCAAUUAAAAACAUUAGCCUCCUAUAAACUUAUCAAAAAGGAAGCAAAGAUAAGUAAUUUAAUGUUGAAACAGAAUAAAUGCACUUUCUAUUAGGAACAUGACAGCGGUAACAGCUAAUUUGCUAAAUUGACAAUGACAGUUAAAUGCUACAAAGAUACUUACAAGAGUGUAAUCAAGUUCUUCCAAAAGUUUUUCACCAAAUUCAUCAACAAUAAGCUCUGCGUUGCACCCUAAUUUCUGAAGACUAAUCCCAUUCAAAAAUGAAGCCAAAGUGCGGAACAGAAAAAGGUCUCGGUAUAUUAUUGGUUCAAUCCCUGGUCUCUGAACCUGCAAUUUCAAUGACAUAAAUCAAAUAGAUAAGUAUUGAUUCCCGGAGCACAUUUAAGCAUUUGGUUCAUGAUAUGCGAAGUGUACAGAGACACAAUUACCAGGGUAUACUUAUACAGUUAUACUCAUCCUUUUUUAAAGACCAUACUUAGAAAAAAAAUAAUGUGUCUAGAUACAAAAAGAAUAGUAAAGGUAAUAAAAGAAGUAAACUGAUAACAGAAACAAAGUGAAUAUAGGAACCUUAAUAGCAACAUCCUCGCCAGUUUCUCUUAGUGUGGCGCGGUAAACUUGGCCCAAACUAGCAGCUGCUAUUGUCUCUGAUGAAAUUUUGCUGAACAAUCUCUCUAGAGGCUGUCCAAGUUCCUCCUCAAUUAUGGCAAAAGCCACCUACCAAGUAUUCAGCAACAAACUCAACUUGGUUAAUCACUCUAAUUUCAUCUGCACAUACUCUAAUAUUAUCUUGAAGAACAAAUAUCUGCUGCAACCAUAUACCUGGUUAGGGACUGGAGGAACAUCAUCUUGCAAGAUGCAGAGUUCAUUCAUAUAAUCCUCUCGAAUAAUAUCAGGCCUGUUUGCUAGAACCUGAAGACCAGAACCAAAGAAAGUUAGGACGAUUGUGUAGGAAAGAUAGGACCAGUGAUUCCUAUUGUACAAUGAGAUGUAUCCUUUAUCAUCAAGGCUAAAUGAUAUGACCUGUCCUGCUUUGAUGAAAGAUGGCCCCAGAUCACAUAAAAGAUUGCGAAGCUGGCGGGCGCGAUAUGGAACAAUUUCUUCAUCCCGUCCAACCAAGAAAUCAUACAUUAGAGAUGACCAGUAAAAUCCGAGUUUCCAAAUUAUCUCCACUCCCCGACUAGCGAGGGAUAGUAUGGAGCCUCUUGAAUCCAAUACCUUUUUCCUGACCUAGCAAUUGUAGAAAUGCACACAAUUAAAAUAACUUUUAGCAAGUCAAUCCUAUAAACAUAAAAGCUUGCAGAUUUCAGUACCAUUUCUGGAGUGUACUUUCGGAAUGGGAUACAAACACCACGUUCAAUAUCAAGUUGCUCCAUUGCACUGCUGGUUUUGUUGCUGGAUAUACUUUUGAGACCUGAGCUGCUGCUGCGUGGAAGUUGGGUUACGCUUUGAGAUGAGACUGGAGCACUAGUUGAUGCAGCAUUCAUGACACAGAGGGUUGAUCGCCUUCUCCUUUGGGGUGAUGUGGAGAUUGACCUCACAAAUCCAUCGUAUGAUGCUCGUCUGUUAGGAGUUACUGUUUGAGACCACUGCGCUGAAGUCCAGAUACAUGCCGUGCAGAGCUCCAUCUUGGGCCUCAAGUUCCGAUAUCUAGAAGAGAUGGCAAACUACAUCAGCAAACUUUAAUCGCUACUUAUGGAGCGUCAUUACAGCACUACUUUCCUAAAGUUAAUUGUAUAAGAAUAAGAAUAACAAUCUGUCCAUCUGUCUCUGACCUUUUUUUUGUGAAUAUUAACAUCAGAUUAGGUGACAUUUUGAACAUUAGUUUGUGCAGGUUCGCAGUUUAGAAAUGGCAACAAUUGAGCAUGGAGAAGGGAAGCUCUCUCGGCUGCCAUGGACUGAAAUCCAACUCUCCUAUGUAGUUUUUUUUUGGAAUUUGGAAAGAACAUUCACGGACUCAAAUGCAGAUUUCUUCAUUCUGCUACGCUGUUGCCUUGCCAAACAACAUUUUUGAUAGGUAGACAUGCAACUAAUUGGAAAUCACCACCUCAGGUGCAUUAAGGGUGGUGUAAUCAGGACACAGUAAACUUCAAGCAAGAUAUAGCACAUAAAUGCAAAUUGGCGCUUAGCCAUACACUAUUAAACCUCCAAAACAAAAAUUACUUGGUUAGUUUCUCCUAACAAUUGGAAAAGGGGGAAAUAGAGAAGAGAAGAAGGGCCCGUCCCCACGUUUUUCCUCCCCGCUCUCUCCCUCCCCGCCGGGGCCGCCAAUUGACCCGCCGGCCAUCGCAGGUCUCCCGUGCCGGCACCGACGGCGUGAAAACAGAAAGGAUAGAGCAGCAACAGAGGGAGCUCUGAACACUCACCUUCGGCGCUUGCCGACACAGUCGCCGGCGACGGAAUCGGCGGCGAAAACUCACUCCUGUCCGCAGCUCCCACGAAUUCUUGGGGGCGAACUCGAUGGAUUCCUUCGGCGCCGAGCCGCGCACUCUCUCGCGCGCUCUUGUUUACCUGGACACGCCCUCGAUUUGGGUAGGGAAAAAAAUGGUUUUCUUUUCCUUUUCUUGGCACCCUUUCUGUGGCGCCGAGUGGAGGAGCACACGCAGCCGUGGCCAUGGCGAAUUGGCGAUUGGCGAAGAUGGGUGGAGUCGAUGCUGGCCACUCAGUGUUACGGCGUGGCCACGUCACCCGUGCCCAAACUAGGGGGAAGCCUUGCUACCCACAGCCACAAGUACGGUGCCCGCUCCCUGAUCGCUUCGAGUUGGACCACGGGAAAUUUCCAAAUUGGGGAAAUAGAUAGGAUUUGGACUGAACCUUGAGCUUCCGUAAUUAAACACUCCAUACAUUAUCUUCCACCUCCGUGGGACGAGAAAUAUCUAGCUUUCUCUGUCUUUAGUGUUUUUUUUUCCGGGUUGGGAUACUGAAGAUACUCAAAAGAAAAGGCUUGGGCUAGCGUUUGGUUCAGGCAAACUGUGUUAUGAGACGCGCAUGUUGAAAUUUGAUAAGCAUUUUCAAAAAAAUUACCAAAUACUCUCUAAGAAUCCCCAAAAAAUUUCAAUUGUAUCUUAGAAUAUUGUGUUUCUUUGUCAGAAAUAUCCAUUUUUCUAACAAAGCACUAAAGUUAGACAUCAACCAAACAAACUACGCUAUGCUUUUGCGGGUAUAUUGGGUGGCAUGAUUUGAUUCUCACUUAGGAUAAGAACAGAGGAUAAUGGGACCACAGGAAUCUUCUGAGCAGAAUCAACGCCGGCGCCCAGCACUCCUCAAGCCAAGUCACGUCAACCACCCCCUCCACUUCUUUUUACUCUGGGUAGUAUGGUUGACUAAGGAUACAGAUACUUAAGAAAGAUAAUUGUAGGUAUUACCCGCUUGCUUCGGGUACCGGCUUACACAUGGUCUGCCAAGCAUAUCCGGCUAUUAGCUCUACGGCCAAUCCAAACGUGGGGGACUAGGAAGGACGGACAGGGAUGUCACCACCGCCACCUACCCCGAUAGACUGUGGGAAAGAGUAGCAAACAAAGGUGACUUCAAGUCUAGACACCACGUCUACGCUAUCGAUCACUACUUCUAAUCCCGGCAAGACUCUGCCUUAAGACUCAAGUCCUAGGCUAGAAGCAAACAUCCAAGGACAAAUGAUGAUCCCACAAGCGAAUGAUAACUAGAACUUAAACUUGAUAAGUACUCACUGCCGUAGACGAACCCAGAUACUUAAUCAAAAGAGGUUCGUAUCCGCCGAGAUACAAGUAGAGGGAGGCCGACAACUCCGGCUCUCCUCCCAAACUUCUCCACACACUCCCUAACCUACUCUACAAAGUAGCUCUAAAAGGGUGGAGCCCCCCUACUUCUUAUCUUCUCCAAAAUGGUGUGUGUUGAAUGAGGGGGAGAGGGCCUCCUUUUAUAGCCUCCCAGGGUGGUUCCCGCCAUCUUUAAGUAUGGAAACCUUAGCCAUGGCCUUGAGGAAGUGUAGGGGGUAAUCCACGUCAAAGUGCACCUGGACAGGAACACAUCUGGGUUCGGCCGACCCUAGGUGAACCUCCCAGGCUUUGCAUUCCUCUGGUUGGCUGGCAGGUGGGCCCUGGUGUUAAUCCUUGGUGAUUCGUGCCUUGGUGCGCCUGUUUGGUCUGCAAGAUGGGCCCUUGAAUCUGUGUGCCUGCCUCUGAUUGGUUGGAGGUGUGUUUCUUGGCCUCUUGGGUUGUUUGUUCAGGAUGUGGGCCCUCUAAUUCAUGUGCUUGCAUAAAAUGCUCUGAAAUAUACUUUUUUGUUUGUUUGAACAUGGUUUUCCUCUGUAUGCAGACACGUUAGAUAGGUUUUGUUGUGAUUUGGAUCCUAUUUGAGCAGUUUUGUCCACUUUUGCACUUUGUCCCUGUCUUUAUACAUAUUUACGUAUAGGUCCCCGCAAGAAGGAGUUGAUUGACGUCCCGGACGACCAGAAGUACCCAAGAGGCCCAGGAAGACUAUGAAGAGAUGUCAGGUUCAUGCCCAUCUAUAAUCUAAAUACCCAUUAGGCAUUUCUUGCUAGAUAUGCUAUCGCUUUAUUUUCUGUUAUGAUGAGAUGAACCUGCAUAGCCUACUUUUAUGCCUAAACUCCUUGUACUCCUAUUUACCACAUUGGAUCUAUGAGAUGCCUUGCCUUGCAUGUGUAUGUGUGGUAUAUGGUCAAGUAGUCUUGGCGUGAGUGGAGAUACACUUCUGAGCAGUUGGUGAUUAGGAGCUUCUAGCUGGGCCGACUGAAUUAACCUGAUCCUCGGAUCUGGGGCUUGGUGUGUGUUGGGCAGACCCUAUGGAGUACUUGUUGCGGGUACAUUCUUUCUGAUUACUUGUGAUACUUGAGGAGUUUGGGGGCCAUACCUGUAAUGGGUGCCAUCGAUGGACCAUUGCGGCGGAUACACCUUGUGAUGAAGAUACUCACCUCGGCACUUAAAGCUGAGUUAGUGGACCUGGAGAUGGAACUAUAUCAAACAUGCACACCACUUAUCCAUUAUGCAGGUGGAUCCGGUUCGAGCUAGCUACGCACGGCACCAAGCCUAUAGGAGGAUAGGGUAUCAGUGUAAGGGAAGGAGGUGUUGACCUCACGUCUCCCGAGUAGCAGGAUUCUGUGGGAUCCCGGUGUAGGAAGGCUUCAUAGUCCUAGGGCGACCUCUCGCGGGAGAACGCACCCCAAACUCGGUAAAUCAGGAUGGUGGCCGUAGCCGCUAGUUUCAUUACAGUAGACCAGUGUCUCAUCGUUCAGUUAGGUUGCUCCUGGCUGGCUCCGAUUCGAGUGGGUCCAAAUGUACAACCCCUGCAGGGUGAAAACUAUACGUAUAGCCACAUACUCGGUCAUGUACAACUCUUGAUCUAGUUUCACUUUCAUAGAUUAGUGUUACUGAUCUUCUACCUCCCUCUAGUGAUGAAUUCCUUCCUGGGGUAGCUGAGGUGCGAGGAGAGGGAGUUCUCGCACCGACUUGGUGGUUUUGGAAGGUGUGUCUAGACCGGAAACCCGGGAUGUCGGGACAGCCCGUGUUAAGGUGUUUUGGAUGAUGAUAUAAACUCGCUUGCAGCUUGCAUAGGAAAACCCCAGCCUUAUCCUUUGGCUACUUUUUAUACCCUUGCAUUCCACUUAAAGCUUGCAUGCGGAUGGAGACAUGAACCUAUCCCGUCCUUGGCGAUAGUUUGGUAGAUGCAGGAUCCGACCCGAAGAUCAAGCCCGACGAUGAUGGAUGAAACUAGGACAGCCCGUGCUACACUCAAGUUUGCCUGUGGAGGAGAGACACCAAGAUGAAAGAUGACCAGAAGCUUAGUUACUGCUUCCGUUUUCUAUUUAUUUCAUUUAGCCCAAGGGGCGUGUACUAGGAAACUCGUAAUACAAUCAUCUAGAUUAUGUAAUAAUUAAAUCCAUGUUUGAAUCUAUGCGAUGUAUGACUGUGACAUGUAAUUGAAAUAAGUUCUAUAUGCGAUAGCUACUGAUCCAGGGACUACCAACCGGUUCUUUUGAGGCCACUCCCUCUGUCGAUAAGUACUCUGGUGAGCCUGACAUUGGCCACCAAUAGAUCCAGCACAAUGGGAAAUUACCUAACUCAAAGAAGCUAGUCCACUGGUCGUCUCUUGAAAACGAGAUAGGGACCUCUGACCAUUGAAGUGGUCAUGGUACCGCUAGCUUGAUAGACAAUAUCUCGCAGAGUGCAAGCUUUUGAGCUCGUUUGGAGGCGAAGCCGGAUUCACCGCCAAAGAUGACAUUGAUGGUUUUUGAUGUGUCUUGGAAUUGACCAGCUCCCGACUUGUCCUCUGGUUAAUCAUCCUCCUUGUCCAUGCCCUUCUUCUUGGCAUUCUUGUCAAGAGGUGGGCCGUUGAAGGUUCUUCGGAGGUUGUAGCACUCGAUCGCUGAAUGCUUGGCAUCUGGAUGCCAUGGGCAUUGCUUUUGCAGGAGUUUCUCGAAUUGCUCCUGCGCCAUUCCCCGACAUCUUGCCUCAUGGGGGACAGUCGACAGCCGUGACGAGCUCGUCUGGCUUGUGCUUUCAGGAAGAUCCCGAGUAGUCCCGCUGGCUUCCCUGCUUGUUGUUGUUGUAAUCAUUGCCACGCUUCGUAAAGCGGUCGCACUCCUACUCCUCUUGAUCAGCCCAAGCUUGCAUCAUGUCACGGAGCCCGCAACGAUCUUGGGUUGGUUGUGGCCAUAGUCUCUAAAGAGAGUUUGGUCGGUGAUGCCAUUAUGGAAGCAGCCGAUGAUGUCUUGCUCGAAGAUGUUGGCGAUGGUGGUGCGAGUGUCAAAAAAGUGGCAAGUGUAGGAUCGUAGGAGCUCAUUACAUUCCUAUUUGCACUGCGAUAGAUCGUGAUGAGUACCUACUCGAGUGAUAUCGCCUUGGAAGUUGACGGUGAAGAUAGCUUUCAGGUCAUCCCAGGAGUCGAUCAAGUCUUUUCUAAGGCUCUUCAGCCAUGUGAGGGGAGCGGUCUCUAGCACCAUGGGGAAGUGGACGACCUUGGUGGUGUUGGAGCCGCCCCGACUUCUAUAGUUGUAGAGUAGCACCUAAACACAGUUGAGGAGCUUGCUUGCCGUCGUACUUGGUGAUGCGGAUCGGUUUGAAGCCCUCUGGGUACUGGUACUAAUUGAAUCGGCAUGUGAACGCUGGGAAGCGAUCACUAUCAUCCGAUGCGCGAUAUCCUUGCUUCACAUCUCGCUCUUCACGCUAGGCUUUAAUGAUAGAGCGGGCGUCGCGCCCCUCAUUGAUCUUCUAGCGAAGGUCGUCCGUCGGUAGUUCCUCGAGUCGUUGGUUGUGACUGCUGGCGGGACGCUGCCAUGGCGGUUGAUUAACAUGGUUGUUCUGUUUUCAUGGCCGGGGUCUCCCACCUGCAUUGCGGCUACCUUGUGCAGCGUCAUUGUUUCCUUCAUUGCCUCCUCGGUGUUGACAAAGACGUCCUCCGGGUGUCCGACUAGCCUAUGGUCAUUGACUGCGACUCUCGCCCAUUUGUUCUUCAUUAGCCGGCAUCGAUGGAGCUGGAUUCUGGCGGUCGAGAUGUAGCCAUGCCUUCUGAGCCAGUUGCAGACCUUGCUGCGCAUGUGGUUAUUGGCUGGCGACCAGAAUGGCCGUGACACCUGCGAUGUUGGCGAUCAGGGUUUGGAAACCCCGCUCCUCAGCUGCCGCAAACUCGGCAUUAAGGUUGCAUCGUGCUCUGCAACCGGUGCGCUUUUGGUUCCUCAACCUGUGGGCAUCACGCUCAUCAUUCUCAUUGCUGGCGUCAACAGUGAGCUCAUCCCUAGAGAUUUGUCCGAGCAGCUCGUUGGGGUCGUGGUUGCUCUCCUUUCUCCACCUUCGCCAUGUAGACGUGACGGUGCGAGGAGUGCUCAUCGGAGCUGUAGUUGACCAGAAGGUUCUCUUCCAUGAUGGCGGAGAGGGACCUGCCUUCUUGAAAAGGCAGUAUGUUACGGUGCGCCACAAGAUGAGCGCCGUCUUUAGAGGGUUUCAUGCCCUUCCAAUGCAUGAAGUGACCUUUUGGUGUUGAGGUGAUCACCAGACCCUGAUUAUCGCCCAUGAAAGGCUCCACGUUGUCAUCAGAGUCCGAGUCAUAGUCAUCGAAGAUCGGGGCCUCCCGACAUGCGGUGGUCCCGACUUCUUCGAUCUUGAGUAGGCCAUCGAAGUCCUUCUCCGAUGCAGAGAGGAACUUGGAUUGUAUGGCCUCCUGAUAUACAGUGGACGCGUUGUGCAACCCGAAUGAGAAUCAGGUAUGCUGUCCCUCCGACUGAAUUGAAUUCGAUUCGAGGAAGCUUGGUGCAACACAGGUCGAAGUCGCGUAAAAAACAGACUGCUUCUUGAGAUCCCCGAUGAAGCCAGGGAGCAACAUCUCAUCAAGAUUAUCGAUGAACUUGUCGAGUUCGCUGCGUUUGGUUGCUGUGGGGCCUCCGGCUUCAUGUUGUCGAUGAGGUGCCGAUAGAAAUCGCCUGCACCGUCAACGACACAAACCCACGAGUCGAAGAUGAAAGUUGUGCCCUCUAGGAGCACGGCGCUGUUGAAGUUGAACGUUGCCAUCGAGUUAUCUGGUGGAUCUUCAAUGAACACCCGUGUGCCAGCUGUCAGUGUUUUACUGCCAAGCCCACCGAGGGAUACCCCCGAGGUGGUAGGUUGUAGGUAGGAUGUCGCCGAGAUCAGGAACUUGAAUGUGCAAACAACAUAAGAUUUAGACAGGUUUGGGCUGCAAUGUGCGUAAUACCCUACGUCCUGUAUGGUGGUUUGUAUUGCCUUGGAUUUGUUAUGCUUUGGAGAGGGUCCCUGCCCGCCCUUAUAUACUCUUGGCGGAUAGAGUUACAUGGAAUUCUAGUCCAAUACUAGCUUAGAAGUCCUACUCGAGUACUACUCGGGUAGUUUCCUUCUGUUCCAACUAGUUCUACUUGCGUGCGAGUAGUUACAACAAAUGUAAGGUAUGGAACAUGCCUCAACCCUUACUCUUGAAUAUUCUAUGCUAUGUGCGCAGUCCAUAGCCCCUGGUCUGACAGACUCCUAAGCUCGUAUCUGGCUAGGAUUCUUUGUAACCCUGUCCCCCCAGACUAUAUAAGGGCGAGCAGGGACCCCCUCGAAAGAGAACAACCACCAUAAAACCCUAAGGCAACACAAACCACCACAUAGGAUGAACGGUAUUACGCUCCUUGCAGCCCGAACCUAUCUAAAUCUUUGUGUUUCUUGCACCUUCGAGUUCCUGAUCUUGACGACACAUAACCUAAAACCUACCACCUCGAGGUAUCCCUUGGUGGGCUUGGCGGUAAAACACGGACACAACACAACAUAAUAUUACAUGAAUAUGGCUAAUAAUCAAGUUUUGGGGUAAUGGAGACUAGUUGGUGUCCCCAAAUAUGUCGUUAGAUUGGAAUUCCAUGAGCAUAUCAUCAGUGCUGAAUAAGUCCCCCAACAGUGAUGGGAUCUUCUCAUCAUUAUUUUCCUUAGGAGUAUCCUUGGAGCAACUGGCGUCAGUACAUUCAAUAGUGAAGUGUGCUUCAUACUUGUCCUCUUGAACUUGUUUGCUAAUAGAUUUCUAGUAGAGUUCAACCAAACGCUUGGCAGUGUGGCACUUCUUAGUGAUGUGGUUGUUACAUCCACACCUUUGACAAACUUGACAGUUGUCAUGGUGAAAAUUUUUCUUUGGAAGUGCCUUUGCCUUUAUGAGAAUCCUUGUUUUUCUGAUAAUGAUGCUUGUUUUUGUUGUUCCAUUUUCCCUUGAAAUUCUUUUGAAUUUCUUGGCAUUGAAGUUCUUUUGAGUGUUCUGAUUAUUGUAAUGAACUUCAAGCAGAGGUAAUGUGCCCACAAGGCGCAUUUGAUGAUUCUUUGUUAAGGGUUCAUCAUAUUUUUCUGUUUGGAGUAAGUCGUAUAUAAAGUCAAAAUAUUUGCAUAGUUGUGGCCGCGGUAUUGCUGUUGAAAUAACCUAUUUGUAGGGAGAAAUGUAGACAACAUCUUUUCCAUCUUUUCUGCAUCAUUAAGCGGUUGAUCAAAAAACUGAAUCUUGGAACAAAUCUUGUGGACGACAGAGUUAUAUUCGGCAAUAGAUUUGAAAUCCAUAAGACGAAAUAGAGACCACUCUCGCCUUGCUUCGGGCGAAAUGAUUGCCUUCUGUUGAUCAUAGUGUUCCUUGAGUGCAACCCAAAGUGCUCUAGGGUUCUCUUCCAUCAUAUAUUCAUUCUUGAGAUCUAGGUGAGAUGGUGUCACAAGAAAUAUAGUGUGGUUUAUUUAGCUUCAUCUGAAAUUGGGGCUUGUGGAUUUGGCUCUUCAAUUGUAUUAUUGAAGCCUGUUAGCAUGAUUUUUACAUCCAUAAGCAAGUCAGAUAGUCGCUACCAUCUGCUGCAAGUUCAGCAAAAUCUUUGUUGACUAAAUAAGCCAUAUUCCUACAUGAGAGAUCAUGUAUAGGAUUAAUUUACUGCGGUAAACUAAAUAACAUGUGAUGUGUAAAUUUAUGCAAAAUAAUGAAGUCAAGAUGAUUCUUGCAACAUAAUUAAGGUAUAUUGCAUGUAAUAGUGCAACUAUUUUGUUUGUAUUCCUACGGAAAUUAAUAACUUGAUAGUCACAAUUGAUACAAAUUUCAUUAUAUAGAAUAUUUUGGAUAUACAUAUUGUAGGUAAUCAUCAUAAGAUGUAGACCUCUCAGUAAUGGGCAAGUAACUUGCUGCCUAAAAGCAUGAUCUCAGAGCAAAUAAAUUAUUGCAGCCGAUGUUUAGGUCUGCAUCACCUUUGUGUUUUUCCAAAAAUUCAGAUUUAUAUACCUUAAUUUUCAUUUUGCAUAUUGCUACAUGAUGUAGAAUAUAAAUCCAGUGCCAUAUUUGUAAAGAUACAAAUAAAAUAAAUAGCACAUGAAAAGAUUGUUCUAAGGUAAUAUUUGCAUAACCAUUAUGAGAUCUACAGAUCACAUAAUGUACACUUACUGUAGUAAUCAUAGCAUUCAUAUUACAUCGGUGCUAGCUUCCAAACCGGAUGGUCUCGAUAGCUAUUUACAACAUUUGUGCAAAUCCAUAAUAGUCGGAGGAGUAAAACAGAACAAUCUAAGACCUUAAAUAAAAAACAUGUAGGACUGGAUAGUCUAAGCAUGUAAAUAGAUAGAAAUCUCGGGCCAUUUUGUAAAAACUCAUGGGACAGAGGAGGGCUUGGUUCGGCUCGGCUGGUGGCCUAGCUCGGCCUGCAACUGCUCGCCUGCUGUGGCAUGGCUUGGCUCACUACGGGCUGGCUUCGGUCAGCCUGCUGGCUGCUCGGGUCGGGUCGGCCUCUAGGUCUGCGCGGCCUGCUUGUGGCCCGGUUUGCGGGCCGUUGUGGCUGGCCUAGGGCAGCCGAGUCGAGGCCAGCCUGUAUAGAAGGGGCGGAGGAGCGGUUAGGGUUUGCCCUAAACCGCUCCCUCCUCUUGAGCCGCCACCGUCGACCGCGUGCGCCGCCGCCUCCGCUUUGCCGCGUGCUGGUGCAAGUCGUGCGCCGCCUUGGGAUGUGGCUCCGCCUCCCCUCCUCCUCUUAUUGCGCCACUUGCACCCUUAUGUGCCGGCCCUUUCCGGCUAUCGGCCUUAGCUAGCUGAUUCAAUGGUCGGAGGGGAGCCCCAGCGCGACGGGCUCCAAGUGCCACGCCAGAUUCUGGGGCAGUGGUCCACAACCGCUGGUGGAGAGGAGGCCAUCGUGGGAGCGGGCGCUGCUGAGGGCGGCGCCACCAUGGCAGUGGAGGGGCGAGUUCUGCAGGUGCGGGCGCCACCGCCGAUGACGGCCAGGUGGGCGCUGCUGGAGCUUGCUGUGCCACCGAUGGCAGCCGAGCAGGUGUCGGUGAUGAGUCGGAUGGCGAGGUAUCCAACAUCCCUAGCCGUCGUUCAAGUGCCAUCCGUGGCCACCUCAGAAGCGACAGCCACAACAAGCACUUCAGCCAUGGUGUCCCGCAUGGCAACGACCAUGGCUCAGAAGAAGUGGCUAUUCCUGUUGCGGAAGUAGUGGCCGGGGUGGCAUGCAGUUCAUUGUUGGCGGCCACCAAGCGGAACGAUGAGAAAUCCAUCAUCGAGUGCAAAGAAAUAUAAGUUUGUCGGGUCCAUACUUACCCAACGAAUGUGAGGCCUGCCGGCCUCUGCCUUCUUUCUUGUGCCUAGGGAGAACAACGCGACUGAUAACGUUUUGAGAGUGAAAGUAGAAGAGAGAUGAAAGUGACUUGUGUAUUCCAUUGAUAGAGGACCACUGUUUAUAUACAUGCCCAAAGGGUCAAGGCAAGGCCGGACUGGAGGGGGGCAAGGUGGGCGACCGCCCUGGGCCCCCAAAUGCAUGGGGCCCCCACAUAUGUAUGCAAAAAAAUAUAGCAACAGCCCACGUCCAUGUAUUAAGGCCCAGCAGGUUUGUUUGAGGCCCAGGUGGCUAGGUGUAUUAGAGUUCUGAAGUAGGAUAUUAGAAGUUCAGAAGACGUCUCACGCCGCGGCCAUCGUUUCGUCUUCUUGUUUGCUUGUUACUCGGCGACGCGGACGGCGGAUCUCACUGAUCGCUCUUGCCUCCAAUAGUCCGAUCCCAAAACUCCCCGCAACACGCUCCACUAAUCUCAUCGCUGAUCGCUGGUCAUUCAAUUGAUCGUGUGCGGCGGCCUUCUGUAGUCCAGCUCCGGCACGGUGCAGAGACCAGGACAGGAAGCCAAUCAGGUCUGAAGCCGAUUCAGAUUGGUACGUGCUGCGUACAAGUUCUUCACUGCCUUGCUAACUAAUUUAUCACAUGUUCAUCUUUUCUAAUUAGUGCCUUGCUAACUGAUUUGGCUACAAUUGCUCUUUUCUAAUUAUCACAUGUGUUUGUUUUUAUUUUCAGCUCUUUGUGAUAUACUAAUAUCAUGUCAUCAAGAAAGUAUCCAUCUGGUAGCGAAAAGAGGAAAAGGAAAAAACAUGCAGAUGACUUUAUAGAAACACAAAGAGGAGCUAUGAAUAAAUUUUUGAAGAUUAAUCCUAGUGUUUCGACGAACCCAAAUAAUGAAUUGGCGAUCGUUGCUGUGGAGGAAGAGGAACCGGCUGUUAGGAUUUCUGAAGAAGAGGAAAAUAUCGACAUCAACGUCGAUGAUAACAAUGUAAGUGGCCCUGAUAAUCCAUCUAAUUCAUCACCUGCACAAGCACAGUCUGCUAGUCUUGAUGAGGAGCCAUUUUAUACUCCUGAAAUUUAUGAUCCGAUAAAUUGGGAUAAUCUUGAUAAUAAAGCAAGAGAUAUAUUAGUUGAGAAAGGGCCUGUAAGAGAACAAGGUAUUGAAUUCCCUCUAGAUAAUGCAUCAAGACAUUUUUCAUAUGCUCAUUAUUACAGAAAAUUAAGCAAUGGAGAGGUACAUGAUAGAAAAUGGCUAGUUUAUUCAAAGCAUGUUGACAAAGUUUUUUGCUUCUGUUGUAAGGUCUUUAAGUAUCUCGGUAACAAGAGUCCAAGUUUCUUAGCACAAGAUGGAUAUAGAAAUUGGAGGCAUAUCAGUGAGAAGCUUAGAGAACAUGAAAAUAGUGUUGAGCAUAUUAGCAAUAUGAACAAGUGGAAUGAACUACGGACUAGAUUGCAGAAAGAGGAAACUAUUGAUAAAGACUUGCAGAAGCAAAUUAAUAAGGAGAAAGAACGUUUGAGGCAAGUUUUGCUAAGAAUAAUAGCAAUUGUAAAAUUUCUUGGUAAACGCAACUUGGCUUUUAGAGGAAGCAUUGAGCAACUUUACAGUGGUAGUAAUGGCAAUUUUUAGCCUGUGUUGAGAUGAUUGCUGAAUUUGAUUUGGUAAUGCAAGACCAUCUUAGACGUAUUCAGAACAAAGAAAUGCAUUACCAUUAUCUCAGUCCUAAGAUUCAGAAUGAGUUGAUAGUUCUUUUGUCUUCUAAUAUUACAAGGUCUAUCAUAAAGGUUGUUAAAGAGGCCAAGUAUUUCUCUGUUAUCUUGGAUUGUACUCCUGAUGUCAGUCAUCAAGAACAAAUGACUUUGUUAGUUCGUUGUAUUAAUUUGUCCAAUGGAAAAAUAAAUAUCGAGGAGUACUUUUUGGGGUUCUUGAAUGUGGAUGACACAUCUGGUUUGGGGCUUUUCAAUGUGUUGCUUGAUUCUAUGAAGUCAUUUGGCCUAAAUAUUAAUGAUAUAAGGGGUCAAGGCUAUGAUAAUGGUUCCAAUAUGAAAGGCAAACAUCAGGGGGUGAAAAAGCGGCUGCUUGAUAUUAAUCCAAGAGCAUUGUAUAUGCCAUGUGCUUGCCAUAGUCUUAAUCUUACUCUUUGUGAUAUGGCAAAAUCUUGUGGGAAAGCUGUUUCAUUUUUUGGGAUUGUUCAAUGCAUAUAUGUGUUAUUUGCUGGUUCAACCAAAAGGUGGAAUGUUUUGUGUAAACAUGUUCCCACUUUUACUCUGAAAUCAUUGUCAAAUACUCGUUGGGAGAGUCGAAUCUCAAGUAUUAUAGCAAUAAGAUAUCAAGCAAAGGAGUUAAGGUCUGCUUUGUAUGAGUUAAGUCAUUCUUCUGAUAUUGAACCUAAGGACAAAAGUGAUGCAAAAAGUUUAUUUGAUGCACUUGGCAACUUUGAGUUUCUGCUUGGUAUGGUUAUCUGGCAUGAUAUUUUAUAUUCUAUAAACAAAGUGAGUAAGAAAUUGCAAUCGCCAGACAUGUGCAUUGACUCUGCUUUGAAUCAAAUACAAGGUAUGGUGCAGUACUUUGAGGCAUACAGAAAUGAGGGGUUUUCUUCUAGUCUGAUCAUUGCAAAAGGCAUUGCAACUGAAAUGGGUGUAGAGGCAUUGUUUCCUAUAAAACGUCGUGCCUUAAGAAAGAAACAGUUUGAUGAAAAUAAUUGUGAAGAAGAAAUUCUAGAGGGUGAAAGGGCUUUUGAAGUGAAAUAUUUUUUGUUUGUAGUUGAUAUGGCAAUCACUUCAUUGAAAACCAUAUUUGAAGAACUCAUGGUGUUCAAAGAUAUAUUUGGUUUUUUAUUAAGCUCAACUAUCCUGAAGUCAUUGAAUGAUACUGAACUAGAAGAGUCUUGCACCAAAUUUGCAAACACUUUCUCUCAUGAUGGUUCAUCUGAUGUUGAGGUACAUGAUCUUAUUUCUGAGUUGAAGAUUUUAAAAUUUACUCUACCAGAUGGCAUAUUGUUUGCUAUGCAGAUAUUUGAGCAUGUCAGAGAUUUAGAUUGUUAUCCUAAUGUCUCAAUUGCUUAUCGGAUAUUAUUUACUAUUCCUGUGACCGUUGCAUCAGCUGAGAGAAGCUUUUCAAAAGAAUUUGUUGGAUGAGAUUGAUCUCAAUGGUAUAAUCGAUGACUUUGUAUCACAAAAUGUUAGAAGAAAUUUUUAGCAUGCUAUCAUGUAACAAGUAAGGGUUUAUAACUAUACUUUAUAUUUGUUAUCUUAUAAACUUUAAAGCAUUAUAAAAAAUUAUUGAAUGUUUAAUAAUAUGUGUUUAUUAUUAUAUAUAUAUAAAUAUAUAAUAUAUACACAUAUUGAUAGAUGGGCCUCCAUAUUGGAUUUCGCCCUGGCCCCCCAAAAAGUCAGGAACGGCCCUGGGUCAAGGGCCCAAGGGACACCCCUUCGGGAUUGGCCCUUUCGUAAUUUGUAAGCAACUAAUGUGAUGUCAUUAAUCACUAAUUAACUAACUAUAAUAAAUUGAUCACUAAUUCUGAUUUUCUUCAUAACAAAUUCUACUCUUCUUGCAACAAUAGCAUACAAGUCAUAUCUGAAUUCUUCAGAAUUACGAGAGCAUUCACAGGGAACUCAUGGACCAAACAAUCACUGCCUCUCCUAUGCACUCCAGCAUUUUUCUAGAGCUUGAACCAAACAUAACUAUCGACAAUUGGAGGUCUAACCAGGUAAUUUUGCAAUCAAUGAAUAGAUUUGCAUGAUUUCAGGACUCCUCCAUGACCAAUGAGGCCCACUCUUUGGCUAAGCUAUCAUUUGGUCGUACUUCUUUUUUUAUGAAGUUUCAUGUCUUUAUUAAUCUCAAAGUAGUUAAAUUUUGAAACCUACAUCUCUAAUCUAAUCUUUAUUGUUUCUUGUUUAUUCUUCAGGCAUCAACACCUUCCCCUGUUCUCUCUUUAUGAAGUCAGAGAGGUUCUUCAUUCCAAGCAAGCAGGACUGACAUAGGAUCUUUUUCAGGAUUGUAAAUAAUCCUUUUAUUUUCAAAAAAACCGUAUUCCUUGAUAUUUGCACGUUCUCACCGAGGCCAUACGUAUCCCCAUCACAUACGGAGUACUAAGCGCUACGCUUGUACGUACACAUGUCGGAUUUUGAACGUAUAAAACACCGUAGGCUUACACCACGACGCAUGACACAAAACGUGGCAGUAGACGGCGCGACGCCGCGUUCCGGCGCGCCACAAGGAAGGCCGCCCCUCCGCCGCUGCCGCCAUCCCCUCCCUCACCAGGGCCGCGCGCGCUCGCCUCCACCUUGCAGGAUCCCCGCGCCGCCACGGCCGGCACGCCGCCGCCGCGCACACGUCCGUCCACUCGGGCGCCGGUGCUGACCGACUCGCUCAUCAUCGUCAUCGCGGCCUUGCGGUUCCCUCCCGUCGUGCGGGGCGCGGCGAGCACGGCGGCGGACGACGCCUCCUGGCUCCGGAGCCUCCGCCGCCAGGGUAGGAGCUGCUGGGCCGCCCUCUCGGGCAAUGCCGUCGAUGCGAAAAAGCAAAUGCUCGUGCUGCGGACGAAGGGUAUGUUUAUAUAUGUAGCUCGCGGCGGCGGCGUGGAUGGCAAGGGAGUUCUGGUGGGUGGUUGUCUCGUGGAUGCGGCAUGCAAACUGAUGCAUCGUCGUAUUUGUUUAUUGGCAGCAGGUUAUAAGCUCUGGACCUCCGGUUAAUUUCGUUGUGUGGUUGGAGUUGGAGCGAGUGCUGGAGCGGUUGAAAGCGUGGCGCGCUUCACGCCUCCGCGCCGCGCGCGGCCGCCGGCGCCGUUCAUGCCUCCGCUAGUAAGGACAGAUUUUGGCUCUGCGUCCCUGAAUGCAUCUCACUGGCACGUAGGGUCCAACUUGUGAGAGAAGUUAGUAUGAGAGUGGUUUUCUAAUGUAAAUUUCAUAGAGAAACUCCAACAAAAAUCCUACUUUUGCCUUCCUGUUGGGCUCAAAUGAGGACCUCCCAUCCAGUUCUCUCUCCUAUAUUUUACAACGGACUUGCUAGCGUCCGGAUGUCCGAUGUCCGGGGCUAGCAUUGGAUGGUAUUCAUAUGGUAAAACUCUAUCCAUCACAAAAUUGCAACAUAAAAAAAUAGCAAAUGCAACAUGAGAAAAUAGCAUCUGCAACAAAAAUUAAUAAUAAUUGCAACAUUCAAAAAGUGUACUAAAAAACUUCUCAGCCAUCCGACAAGAAUUGAAAAACCCGCCGCAACAUGUGCGUCGUGUUGCUUGAAACGUCCAAUGUAGUAGCAUCAAAAAAUACAACAUCCCAAACUAACUACUGCAACAUGUGGGAGCAUUUUGUGCAACAUACUGGAACAUCACGAAAAAAAACCAUCUAACAUCGAAUUGUCAUCUCAUAAAAUAUUCAAAAUUUCUUCAUAAUUGCAGCUUUAUAGAAAAGCUAUAAUAAAAACGGAUUGAAAUAUUUGCAACACCUCGAAUCAACUAGUGAAACUUUACAAAGCUAUCUAUUGGAGCAUCCCGAAUCAACCAUGCAAUAUCAAAAAAUACCAGCUACCCCCUUUAGAUUUGAUCGACCUUUCUGCUAAAAGUACCCAGUUCAACAUCAACAAAGAAGUUAUGCAACAUUAUAGAUCAACCAAUGAAACAUCUCAAAUCACCGUGCAGCAUCAAAAAAAAAAUAUUACUACAACAUCACAAAUUACCUACCGCAACAUCAUUAAAUCAACUAUGCAUCCUAGUGGUCGAGAAACAGAGGAGCACCGACAUGUCCUCAUCGUGCUCGAGGAUGAGCACAUCGCUUAUAGAAAGCAAGCAGCAUGCAGCUACUCCGGGCAUAAGGACCUGCAACAUGACAAAAGCAAAAAUCACAAACACAUAAGACCGUGCAGCCACAAUAGUAGCACUGUUGGCCGUCUUAUCUCAAUAAACUCGACCUUCAAUAUUGUAUGAAAUAAACCUUUUUUAGCAAUAAAACUUUAUCUAACAAGUUUCAUAAGUUUUGAUGUUUACUAGUAUGCAAUACUAUUUUUUAGCAAUAAGCCUCUAUCUAACAAGUUCCAUAAGUUUUGAUGUUUACUUGUAUGUAGUACUGUGGCAGACAAAUUUAGACCAAAAUGGCUAAAAUGCUAGUUUGGCCGGACUCGCUUGGUUCGGCCAAAUUGGGCAUGAGUCUUCUCGCAGUGAUCUUCAACCAUGCAAGGAAACACGCUUGGAAUCAUUGUGAAGUAUGGGAUAUAUAACGGUUUGAUCCUAAUGACCUCAUAUCACCAUGUGGAUCAAUGAGCCAAAAAAGCAAGAACACCGAACUUACGUGUCCACCAACCUAAGGAGGCAAUAUAAUCUAGGAGUCCACGAAGCAAGGCGGUGCAUCAGAGAGUCAACUGAGCUAGGUAUGGUUCGAUCGAACUAGCCUUGGCGCAAAUGGACCCAGAACUCCGUUGUUUCGAUCACCAAGUAUUAGUUAGCGCCGCGCUUCUCUCCGUAGCUCGAUGGCUAACACUCAAAGACAAGGAUUUAGACAGAUUCGGGUGACUGCCCUGCGUCCGGUAGGAGUGGUGUUCUUCAUGUUCUUUGCGUUCUGAGUGUUGGUGCUUACAAUGGGGCGCUUAACGGGGCACUUUGUAAGCGGUGAGUGUUGCGUAGAGUUCGGAUCAUGAAAGAGAAGGCCCAGCUCCGCCUUAUAUUUCUAGCCGGCUGGGCUACAAUGCGUGAGAGAGAGGGGGUUCCUCGCCCCCCGGGUUUGGCUUCCUAGGAAGGAGGUCAGGAGUAUCACACGUGUCUUGCUGGGGCCCUCGGGUGAUCGUGCUCCGCCUCGUCCCGAAGCGAAGUCCGCCCUGUCCGUGGCGCCGCUGGACGUGUCCUUGGUCCCAUUCACGAUCCCUGUGGUAGGGGAUGGCGCCGUCGUACCUGCGGCACGCCAUCCUGGUGCAUCGGGAGCAGGCCUCUUGUCCAGUUGGUAGGGCCAGCCUCCAUCGCGGUGGUCAGGAGGCCGGGUGCCCUGUUACCAUUGCUGCCGGCUUGAGGCGGGGCCUGCUAGCUCGACGCGCCUGCCUCUCCCUCCACUGUCAAGAGGUUGACCCGGUACGAUCUGUCCCGUUGACCUGACGGAGGGGGGUGUGACCGGCGCAACGCCGGUUGCGGCGUCAUGAUUGCCCGACUGACUAGGGGUUCCCCGCCGGUCCUCCGGUCCAUAGGCGGUGACCCUACCCUGGAUGUCGGUUGAGGGGCAUGCAUGCACGUCUUGUCAAGCUAGCGCAAUUAAUGCCUCCUCGUUACUUCCCCGAGGGAUCUCGGGGUCGGGCUCCACCCCGGGGUCGGCACGGGGCACCCGAUCCCGCACGGCUCGCUACGGGUCGGCAAAGCGCCACGUGUCCGGGGCCUUGCUGUUGGGCCUUUGCGUCUUCUCCCAUUGAUGGGCCGGUGCUGGCCGUGUCCCCGGCGGGCCGGGCUGCCCGACAGUGGAAGGCUAAUUCCCGCUUAGGCCCUUAAGGAUUUUUUUGAGGUACCCGUAGUUCUUAUCCCUGUCACGCCUUGAACUGUGAGGCAUCGACUCCUGGAAAGCAUCCCCGUUGUGCACGUGGCAAGUCAGUGGGAUGUACGCUUCGGCCAAAUCCAUCCAGUUCAGCCAAAUUGGGCCCGCCAAUCACCUUGCGAAACCAAACCAAGCCAAAAUGAUAGCUAAAGCAACCUAGUUCCCACCAAAGUGAAGUGGGAUCAAAGCGAAAUCAAAACCGUUGUACCCAGAUUCCACCGAACCAUUAGCGGUUACAUUUGGGUACGACUGAUUAGUGCAUUUAAUUCUUCAUGCGCAGCGAUCUCAGCUGGUACUGUGCUAACAGGGUACUUAGAUCCAAGUGUUAAUAUUCAAAAGUGCUAAAUUUUAGUACUAGCCUUUCCAAACAGUAGUGCUAAUAGGGUGGGUAAGACUUUAGACAAGAUUUAAAAAAUUUUAGCAAAAAUAUAAGUGCUAAUAGGUGAUAAAGUUUAGCAUUCAACUUUAGCCUAUCAAAAGAGGUGCUAAAUAAGAACUGAACUCCCUUUUCAUGGUCAUUUCAUUGUUUGCGCAUACAGAAACGAUUGGAACGUCAUUUCUGAAUUCUGAUGCAAACGAAGAACGAACAGGUCUGUACUGUUCCUACCAUACACUACGGUUUCCAAAAAUCGAACCUUAUAUACUACACGGUUUGUAAAGGAAAGAAGCAACACAGACACCUUCCGCCGUGGAGGCAUCACCACAGGCAGGCAUGCACGAUUCUUUUCCGCUGAGGUUGCGAACCAGCUGGCCAGUCGGGAACCAGAGGCCCAUGGCGUCCGCGACGACGUGCCUCUUCUCUUCUUCCAAGGACGGCAUGGCGGCGGAGACGAGCCGGGGCCAGAAGUGCUAGCGGUCGCAGGGACCGAGCAUGUGCGUCGUCGCCAGGGACAGGCCCCGCCUCUUCCCUUUCGCUCGGUCAAGUCAAUGGUAGUGGCAUCGUCUCGGCGAGUACUACAGGCAUUCAUGCAUGCCAAAUUGUGGACCCUGAAUUAUUGCACUGAUGACAGUGCCCAAAAGCCUGCAGCCACGGCUCGGCGGAGCCGGGCAACGGCGCAAGGCGUGCUCGCAGUCUCAGGCCAAGGCCUAGGCCCCGCAAUGGUAGUGGCAUCGUCUCGGCGCUGGAUGCCUGCCAAUGUCGACCGUGAAUUAUUGCACUGAUGGCACUGCCCAAAGCCUGCAACCACGGCUCGUACGUACUGACCUCCUCCCAGAGCACAGCACACCCAUCCCAAACCAUUUUCACCUUCUUACCGUUACUGAUUGUGCCUGCUGAGUGGUAAUUGAUACUAUCAUACAUUUGUGCCUAUGUAGAUAAGACAUCACACACUGUUCUUGUACUGCUCAUACUCUACUUAGGCUUCAGAAGCUAGCUGUUUAUUUCUUGAGAUGACGGUCGUCGAACCGUCUUCUAUUAGUGUUUGGUUGGGCUGUUUUAUUACGACGUAAUCAGAUUGUUGAGUUGGAUUCCAAAUUUAGUUGCACAAAAAAUGCCGACCUGUGGCGGAGCGUAGCGGAGGCCCAUCGCCGGAGUCCUGGGCUGGAAGCAAAGCGGAGGCACAAGUGGCCCAUGUGGUUCGACCCAGCGUCGCCUGAGGGGGGUUGCGGGGGGCAGCGCCCCCCCCCCCCCCGCGGUACACAUUAUAUACCCGAUUAGGUUUCCCCUUGAUGACAAUCUUCUUGUAAGCUGUCGCACGGCGUUGUAACCCGACUUUUGAUAUAUUGAAGUUCUUGCUAACCACUUCCGCAUUGGUUGGGUUUUCCACGUUAAAUCUCGUGUCCCCUUUUCGGGUUGAUCCGUUUACUUUCAUCGUUUAUUCGUCAUCGUUUAUAACACAGAUCACGCUGCAAUACGUUUACAUUAAUUUGUAUUUGGUUGAAGCGCUACGUAAUCAGCUAGCACGGGACCUGAUACGGGCUAGUACAUGGUGGAUACGGCUUCAUAUAUCUCAUAUCUAAUACCAUCGUAUUUAUCGCUCGCUGCUGUUACUGCAUGCAUGCAUACGUCGGCAUCACCGCUGUUACUACUGCACUCUCCCUGCGCGUGCUCUCUAAUCUGAUCACCCCUCUUUCCAUUAGUGUUACAGUCUCGAAACCAAACAAAGCCUGUUUUCUCUUGCUUUGUUAACGAUACCCUUGCUAUCUGUUUAUGUUUGCGUUACAAUUUCUGAACCAAACAUGUCGUUCCAAGCUGGAAGGGAAAAAAAGCAGCACAUCCACGGUAGUACACGUUACUGCGUGCUUGCAGGGGCCUGGGGCCAGGUCGCCCAUGUGCAUCCAGUCAGUGGCGAGCUCGUUAGUUUGUGAAUGCGCGUGCAGCACGCGCUGGUGUCUUCGCGUUCACUUGCAUUUCAUCUACUGGUAGCCAGUUCACUUGUCACCUGCCACUACCAGCGCGCUAUGCUGCAACCUCACUCGCAUGCCCGCGCGCGCGUCUACUUCAAUCUCUCCUCUAACUAGUGAGCUGAGCUCGAUCUCUGUCUCAUCAAGGAUCCCCUCGACCGCAGCAGUUCCUUGGAUCUUCGGCCGUGCCUGGCCCGCAUUUCAAAUCUUGCGAGAAAUCACGGAUGGUUUCUCCGAGGAGCGGAAACUUGGGCAAGGAGCAUUUGGAGUUAUUUACAGGGUAAGCCUCGGUCAUAAUUUUUCUUCAUGGAGUAUGGACAAAUAUAUUCUCAACAAGUCUGGCCAGCACAAUGCGAGUGCUUUGAAACAAUAUAUGGUGUUAUUGCAUACAGUAAAACAACAAAUAUAAGAAGUAGAAACAGGGUCAACUUGUACUGGGUACUGACCAUAUAUGUUUGGCAGGGAGUGACUAGAAACGGAGAUGAUGUUGCUGUGAAGUUGCUUCCCAAAUCCAGUCAAGACUAUGGGCCGUUAAGAAAUGAGUUCUAUAACCUCAGGAAGCUUAAUCAUCAGAACAUUGUACAGGUUCUGGGGUAUUGUUUUGAAACAGAGCAAAAACCUAUCAUGCAAGGUGGAAUUAAGGUGUUUGUUGAUGAGAUACGUGGAGCGCUUUGCUUGGAGUAUAUGCACAAUGGCAGCCUUCAACAGCAUCUUUCUGGUACGCUGCUACCCUAUUUUCAGUAUGUGUAUAUUGUAACAAUACUUCUUUAUUUGCAAUUGAUUAAGAAUCUUUUUGUUUACUGCUGCAGAUGAGUUCUCUGGACUUGAAUGUCACACACAAAAUAAUCAUGGGGACUUGUGAGGAUCUAAAUUAUAUUCAUGAGGAGCUGAAAGAACCUAUUUACCACUUGGACCUAAAACCUGACAACAUAUUGCUAGAUAAGGACAUGGUGCAAGAUUGCUGAUUUUGGUUUGUCCAGGAUCUUUCGUGAAGAACCAACACGAAUCACACAAAAUCCUUAUGGAACACAGUAAGCUAAAAGUCUCAGCUGAACAUAUAAUUUUUCUAAUCGUACAAAUUAAGUCAUGUGUUUUACAAAUUGGUCAUGUAUGAUGCAAUGCAGAGGGUACCAGCCACCAGAAUACAUCAACAGAGGUGAAAUAUCAGGAAAAUUUGACAUAUUUAGCUUGGGUGUCGUAAUGAUAAGGAUAGUGUCAGCACCCAAGGGCUACUCCAAAUGUCUAGAUAUGUCUUCGGACAAGUUUAUUGAUCAAGUGAGAAAUAAUAUUUCUUAUUAACAGGCCUCUUUUUUUAAUCUAAUACUAUCUCAUAUUUACAUUGGAAUAGUACAUAUCAGCAUAGCUUGACAGUUCAAUGUAUCAGGUCCUAAAGAACUGGAGGAACAGGUUGCAGGCGACAUACAGUAGUGGUUCCUUGGUUGAAGCAUAUUGCCACCAAGUAAAUACAUGCAUUCAAAUAGCAUUAUUAUGUGUGGAGGAAGAUAGCCAGAAAAGGCCCAACAUAGGGAAGAUCGUUGAGAAGCUGAAUGAGAUUGACAGUGCCAUUGGCGAGGUAAUUAAUAUCAUUUGAGAAGGCAUAUAAUGGAUAGCUAGGUCAGGAUAUAAUUUCAAUAAAAGCGAAAUCAAGUCAUCAGUUCAGUUAGUUAUUUUUUUCUAGUAUAUUAGUAAUUGUUUCACAACACUCAACAGUAUAGAUCCCUCCAGGAUUCAGGAACUCAAUAAUAUACAGCAGUUUUCCAAUCAUCUAAAACUUAUAGUGACUUAUAUUUAACCACCACUUCCUCUAAUCAAAAUUAUAUACAUUUUAUGAUUUGUAUUCAUAUAGAAAUAAUUAUUGAGAAUGACUGCACCAUACUAAUAUUAGUUGAAACAUCAAGAAAAAACUUUCAGAAUAUACAUUUUUAUUUAACUUUCACAUUUUAAACAAAUUGUUACUCUAAAUAUCAUCUUGAAAAUUGUAUCAAUAACUUAACAACAUUAUUAAUCGAAUUGUGUAGUUUGUUGACAAACCAACUGAAAUAUUGUAGCUUCCCCAGAAAGUUUCCGGAAUGGCAAUGCAUAAUAACAAGAAUAUAGGUAUGAGAAAGGAAUCAGAGGAUAUCAAAGGACAACAUCAGAAUAUUAAUUUGAUGACAGGCCCUAGUUGCAGUGAGCUAGAAGCUGUUGAUGCACGAGAAACAUCAUCAAACGCAGUAGAAGAACUCAUUGUAGUGAGGACAGAAGAGAAAUGGAAAAUAAUAGCUUUUUUAUUACUUGAAAGCAAGUCAAAAAAGAUCGUCAUCCUUCCUAUAUAUGGUAUUGGAGGCAUUGGAAAGACAACUUUUGAAAGAUUGAUUUACAAUGAUCCAAAGUUCAAAUAUUAUUCUCGGGUAUGGAUCCAUGUGUCCCAGAUAUUUGACUUGAAUAAAAUAUAUGAGUCUAUAAUUUUGAAGCUAUCUGAAAAGGAGAGUCGGGCUAAUGAAAGGCAGAUGAUAAAUAGUUGCCUUCUGAAGCUACUAUCUGGUAAGAAGAUUCUGAUUGUUUUAGAUGACCUGUGGGAGGAUGGUCAAUUCCACCUGCAGGAGUUGAAGGAUAUGCUAUAUCAUGCUGAUAGCAACAUAAUUAUUUUAGUAACAACACGCAGCCAACGUGUUGCCGGGAUAAUCUGUACUAACCUUCAACCAUACAAGAUAUUACCCUUGACAAAUGACAUGUGCUGGGAUAUAAUAAAACAAAGAAGUGCUUUUGAAGCUAGAGAUGACAAAAAACAGUUGACAGAUAUUGGAAGGGAGAUUGCCCAAAAGUGUGGAGGUGUGGCUUUAGCAGCUCAAUCUCUGGGCUUCACUUUGCGGUCCAUGAAUUUUGAUCAAUGGAUGAAGGUGAAAGACAGUGAUACCUGGAAUGAACCUGUUUCAAACGAUGCAUCUUUGCCAAAUUAUGUUCUUGCAUCUUUGAAGUUAAGUUGUAGCCACAUGGGUUCAAGCCUGAAGAAAUGCUUUACCUACUGUGCAAUCUUUCCAAAAGGCAACAAGAUAGCUAAAGAUGAUGUAAUUUAUCAAUGGAUUUCUUCGGAUUUCAUCAAGCCAACAAAAAUACUCUCAGAUAUGCAGCUUGGUAAGAAGUACAUUAUGCAGCUGCUGGGACUGUCUUCCUUUCAACAUUCAAUGCCACCCACAUUUCUGCAUACCAGUACUACCUUUGAAUUAUUCUUACUUAUAAUUCAAUCAGUUGAAAUAAAACUUACAUAUUAUGAUUUUGAAAAGUCAACUAACUUGUAGUUCAGACUUCUUUUUUUAAAAAAAAAUUGGUCAAAACCCUAAGAGACACGGUUUAUUAGGGCUACUCUUAUGUGGUCUCGGACCUAAAUCUACACAGUCAUGAAGCAUGCUUGUACGGGAAGCAUCCAACCAAGCCAACCAUAAAUAAAUACCUGACCCUGCGUAAUGUUAAAUUAGCCUAUUUGAAAUAUCGAAUCAAAGUUUGGACCUUGUUGAAUCAGUUGUAAGAAAUAUUGAAUCAUGUAUCAGAUGUGGAAAAAUCUAGAUGAAGUGGGGCAUAAAGCUGUUGGGGAUCGCCUCCUCCGAAGGUAACGACCGGAGGUCCUGGGCGAGGCGAGCCAGCGCGAAAGAUCACGGGAGUAACCUCUGAUCUUCCUUUUAUUCCUGUCUAAGUCAUUUUUAAGGAAACAAAGAUUAGGAGAUCGAAGGUCUUCAAAGGUUCCAGGCAUGAUUGAACAAGAAGGUGGAAAUCUCCGACCUCCGACCGAAGGUCCUUGGUCACGAAGAGGGAGGCUGUAACGCCCGUGUUUUUAUCUUAUUUAAAUUGUAUUACCAAUCACUCGCUUAAAAAUCUUUUAAAUCCUUUCCGCCGCUCGAGCUCCCGAAGCCCACCUCCCGAUUUUCCGCCGUCCCGACAUCGUGCAGUCUCUUCCUCUUUUCCGCGGAGCCGCCCGUCCCUUUUCCUUUUCCACCGGCCCCGCCGUCCAGUCGCAUCACCAUCGUGUCGCGGUCGGCCGCAUGUGCCUGCCCGGCCGCGAUCGUCGGUGCCGCGCGCAUGUCCCCUCCUUUCUUUUCUCAUAUUUUGUUCAAAUCCAUUUUAUUUCUCUUGUAAUUCAUUUUGUUCAAAUCCAAUUUUUUCCCAUACUCCUUUUUUUCCUUCCUUUUCUUUCUCUUCUCCUUUCUUUUUUUCUCCCAGCGCUGGCUUCCUCUUUCUUUUUCUUCCCUGUGCUGCCUGCUCGAGCUGUAGCCCGCUCCUUGCGCACACGCGCGGGCCAGCGCACGACUCGCCGCUGCCCCCCGUUGCUGGCUGUGCACGCGCGCUCGCAUUGCGCCGCCCGCGUCACGCCACGGCCGUCGCGGCUGCUGCUGCUCGCUGUGCCACUGCGUGUUUGCUGCCCGUGCACGCCAAGCCGGCGUGCGACCCGCUGCUGCGCAGGCCCGUCUCCGUCCCGUCCCCUCACCCUCGCAGCUUGCGUCUUGUCCCUGAGCAUCCCGGCCGCCAUUAAUAGUGAGGUUCCUGUACUGCCCGUGACCCUCCCAUGUAGGCCAUCUCCCCUCUCCCUCUCGGCCUAUAAAUCAGCCCCCGAGCCGCCCCUCACUCCGCCCACGCUGCCUUAGCACCUCCCCUCCUCUACCUCGCGCUGCAGCUCGCCGCCGCCACUCACCAUUGCCGGCCACCACCCAUCUUCAUGGACAGCCCUCCGUAGACCGUCUCCGCACGAGGUGAGGGGCGGAAUCAGACCCCCUCGGCCUCCUCUCCGUUUUCCACUCCUCCCCGGGCGUCGCCAUGCACCAGGGGGCCGGCGCCCAUGGCCUGGCCCCCCAUCCUACCGUUCCCCUCCCCCUCCUGUUCUGUAUCGAGGAAGAAGAAAGGCAGACUUGUGCAUAACCCCCUCCACUUUUUCUUCUUAUGCAGUCCGCAGCCCUCCACCUCCCUCUCUCAAAUAUUUAAUCAGAGCUCCUUCUAUCUCUUUAUUUCAUUAUAAAUAGGUCCUCGUCCUUUUAAACUACUCUCUAAAUGACCUUUAACUCAUCAUUUCAUGCGAUAUUUUGUUCCGAAUCGAUUCCAAACUCCACCACGCAUCAUCUCCAAAUAUUUUCUCCAAGUCUCACAAUCCACAUCCGACAAAUAUAAUAGUCUUUUCUAAUUUUUUAUCGAAGCUCCCUAUUUCCCUCUCUUUUUUUAAGCUCGUCGGCGUACUCUAUUUUUAUUGUGUGAUUGUUUGUGUGUCGUAGCCGACGGUGUGACCGAGGAGGAGCAGUACGGCGAGCCGGAGCCCGAAGACCUGUACCUCGAGGAGGAGCUUCCGAAAGGCUUUGAGGACGGCAAGUCCAAUCCCAUCCUUUGAUGCAUAUUUAUCCUAAUUUUAUAAACACAAUCUAUUGGCCUGUUUUAUAAAAUGCAUUAUUUUAUUGCAAGACAUGGUUGGAUAGCCAUCCCUUGAUUGCUAUGACUAUUUCAUGAUGACCUAGGUUGAUGUCUAUAUAGGAUUUGCUCUGUUGGACGUUAACUACUGCUAGAGAUGCUUAGGACCUUUUAUUCCCUUUAUUAUAUUUUAACCAUGACCACAACGCGCUUUAUCGAAAAUAAAGGUGUGAGUGUUCUAAAAGAUAAAACGGGAUUUCGGAAAAAUAAAAAAAAGAUAUAACCUGAUGAGAUGGAUGGUUUUUCCUGUGUGAAAAUGCCACUGGUGAGCUUGUACCUUUGUGGUCGAGCAUGGUUGGGAGAUGUCCAUCUUGUCAAUGUAAGGAUGAACUGAGGUGUCAUAUUGCCUAACCCACUUAUCGUACAACCACUCGACCGUUGUGUGGGUAACGGCUUAGCAUAAACCCCACUAGUUGUUCUGCUAGCCAAAAGGAGAGCUGGUGAGCAACGGGAGAUCAUGGAGAAGGAAUACGAUCUAUGUGAGUUAUGUCCCGGUUAUAACUUUGUUGAUAGGUCAUUAACCUCAUGGUUGCUUCCGUAUUGGCUAGUUAGAUUCAGCUAAGGUGGGUAAUGGCUUUGUUAGGAUCCGCAGCGACACUAAGCUUGAAAUGAACCGGAUUCUCGAAUCGAGGAACCCGACUCCCUGUAUCGUCGUGAUAGUCCCUGAAUCAAGCGCUAUCACAUACAGAACUCACUUCAGGCAUAAUAUCACAGUCAUACUCAUUGUGAGGUCAAACACGGGUUUAAUUAUUACAUAAAUCCAAAGGAUCUGUAGUACGGAAUUUAUUACAAGCCUCUCGGCUAGAUCGAACAAGCAGAAGGCGCAAAACGGUAGCUAGGUUUUCGGCCGUCCUUCAUCUUCGGGAACCUCCUCCACAGGCGACUUGAGCGUAGCUCGGGCCUCAGUCGUACCAUCCGUCAUCGUUGGGGUCGAAUUCCAGAUCGGAUCCUGCAUCGUACCAGGCUAUCCCCAAGGAUUGGGAUAGGUUCACGUCACCAUCUGUAUGCAAGCUUUAUUGUGGUCUACACUACGGAUAUUCAAGAGUUCAAGAAGUAAGGCUGGGGUUUCCCUAUGCAUGCAAUAUAUAUAUAUGAGAUUACACAUCUCCUUUCAUUUCCGACUCGGGCCCUUCCGGCAUCUCGGAGUCCCGGUCACACACACCUUCCAAAGCCACCAAGUCGAUGCGAGGACUCCCUCUCCUCGCAUCUCAACUGCCCCCUGGCAGGAAAAAUAUUCUAGAGGGAGGUAGAAAUCAUGAGUAACACUAACUAAUAAGAGCAACAGAGGAGUAGAGAUGUCCAUAACCGAGGACGCGGCUAUACGUAUAGUUUUCACCCUGCAGGGGUUGUACACCUGGACCCACUCGAAUCGACACUAGCCGGAGAUCAGCCGACUAGUAUACGAAACACCGGUCUACAGAAACGGAAUUAGGAGCCACGGCACCAUCCGGCUUUCCCGGGUCUUGGGCGCAUCCUCCCACGGGAGGUCGCCCCGGGACUGUGAAGCCUCCCAUGCGUCUCGGGGAACGUGAGGUCAGCACCUCCUUCCCCUGCACCGAUACUCGAUCCUCCUACCGGCUUGGUACCGCGCUUGCUAACCCCGGACCUGGCCCACCCUCAUAAUGGGUAAGUGGUGUGCACGCUUAACAAAUUCCCACAAGUCAUGGUUACUCUCACCCGGUCCUUAACUACCGAAGCGGGCAUCUUCGUCAAAAGCGUAUCCACCACGGUGGUCCGCAACUGCACCCUUAACGGGUGCCCCAAACACCUCAAACACGUAACCAAAACUGUACCCGCCACAGGUACUCCGUAGGGUGUGCCAAGAUACACACCCCAAGCCCUCGAUCCACGAUCGAGUUAGGUUGCCCACUUCCGGCUAAAAACCCUAAUCACCAACUCCUGAAGAGAACCACUUCACUCACGCCAAGACGUGCGGGGAACGGGCGCGCGCGGGCGGUCGCGGUGCGGGGAACGGGCGCGCGCAGCGGUUGCGCUGCGCUGUCGCGGAGCGGGGACAGGCGCGCGCGGUUGGCAGGUGACGUGAGGGAGCGGGGCCGCGGCGAGGGAAGAAAAGAGGAAAAAGGGAGGCGGGCGGUUGGAGGCGCCUGUCGCGAAGCGGGGCGACGCAGUGGAGGCGAGCGAGCGGGAGAUCCAGGGGUCGCAGGCGAGAGGAAGGGGAAAGCUGACGGGUGGGUCCCGCCCGUCAGUUGCCCCGGGUGGAAGGGAGGCGAAGCGUCGCGACGGGUCGCGAGGCUGGGCUGGGCCGGCUUGCGCGGGCUGGCGCGCGUGCGGGGGAGGAAGGGAAAAAUGGAAAGAGCGGUUGGGCUCGGGUUGCGUGGGCCGGUGGGCUUGUGGCCCACUAGGGGUGUUAGAGUUUAUAGUUUGGAUUUGAAUUUGAUUGGCCUAUUCAAAUUCAAAUCCCACACAUUCGAAUCCAACAAAUUCGAAAGUCCAAUCAAAUAACAUGCAUCAACUCCUGCAAACCAAGAUCAUACACAAAAGUUUUUGAAAUUCACGAUUUUUGUUACACAAACCCUCUAGGGUUUAACAUGGAAUGUUACAGACUCCCCCCCUCACAAGAAUCUCAUCCCCGAGGUUAAAGGUUUACCUGAUCCUCGAAAAGGUGUGGGUAUUUCUCCUUCAGUUCGGACUCUUUCUCCCAAGUGGCUUCCCGUUCAGUGUGAUUACUCCAAAGAACCUUGCAGUAGGGAAUGGAGGUCCUCCUAGUCUCCUUAUCUGCCCGGGCCAGUAUCUUCACGGGAUAUUCGACAUACUCGAGUGUUUCUUGCAAGUCCACUGCCUCUGGGGGUAUUGUCUCAUCCGGCACCCGCAAGCAUUUGCGUAGCUGAGAUACGUGGAAAACCGGAUGUACCCCAGCAAGUCCUUCUGGUAGCUUCAGUUUGUACGCCAAUCCUCCGAUCCUUUGGAUGAUCGGAUACGGUCCAACGAACCUCUUGGUGGUUCCCAUUGACAUGGAACCUCUUGGUGCCUCGGAGUGGUGACACCUUCAGGUACACGUGGUCUCCGACCUCAAACGAGAGGUCCCUCCUUCUCUUGUCGGCGUAGCUCUUCUGUCUGCUCUGCGCUAUCUUCAGGUUUUCCCUGAUCUUGGCAACAUUUUCCUCAGCUUCUACGAUAGAGUCUGGACCAAAAUACGAUCUCUCCCCGGUUUCUGACCACAUCAGUGGUGUUCUGCAUUUUCUGCCAUAAAGUGCCUCGAAGGGUGACAUCCGCAAACUGGCCUGGUGGCUGUUGUUGUACGUGAACUCGGCAUAGGACAAACUCUUUUCCCAGUCACUCCUGUAGGCUAGCACACAUGCUCUAAGUAAGUCCUCGAGUAUCUGGUUCACUCUCUCGGUCUGCCCAUCGGUUUGGUGGUGGAAGGCGGUGCUGUAAUCUAGCUGAGUCCCUAGGGAUUUGUGCAAGCUCUACCAGAAUUUCACGGUGAAUUGAGGGCCUCGAUCUGAUACUAUGCUUCGUGGUGCCCCGUGGAGUUUCAGAAUGUUCUCUAUGUACAGUUCGGAUAGUCGGCUCACGGGGUACGUGGUCUUGACGGGGAUGAAGUGUGCCACCUUUGUCAGGCGAUCAACGAUUACCCAAAUGGAGUCAUUGCCCUUCUGAGUCCAGGGUAACCCUGUUAUGAAAUCCAUGCAAAUGUCAUCCAACUUCCAUACGGGAAUAUCAAGUGGCUUCAGCAGACCGGCAGGGCGCUGGUGUUCUGCCUUGAUCCUUCUACAAAUGUCACACUUAGCCACGAACUCGGCUAUGUCUGUUCUCAUGUCGUUCCACCAGAAACGGUCCUUCAAGUCUAGGUACAUCUUGGUGCACCCUAGGUGUAUGGUGUACUUGGAGUUAUGCGCUUCAUCCAGAAUUUCGGCACGGAUCCCUUGAUCCUGGGGGUACACAUAUGCGAUCCUUCAGCCAUAUGGUCCCUUGGUCGUCGACCCUGUAGUCGGUCGCUUUUCCAUCUCGCAUUGCUCGCUUGAGCUUCUGAAGUUCUGGGCAUCGUCGCUGUGCUUGCCUGAUUCGAUCUUCCAGAUCGUACUUGACUGUCAUCGUGUUCAGGUGUCCUUGUUCUACUAUUUCCAACUUCAGUCUCUCGAGUUCAUCGCACAGUGCAGGCUGCUCGUCACGAACCAUCAGAUUGCUGCAAUAGUGCUUCCUACUUAAGGCGUCUGCUACGACAUUAGCCUUGCCGGGGUGGUACUGAAUAUUUAGGUCGUAGUCCUUGAUCAGCUCUAACCACCUCCUCUGCCUCAUAUUCAGCUCUGCCUGAGUGAAGAAAUACUUCAGACUUUUGUGAUCGGUAUAGAUGUCGCACUUGUUGCCAAUUAGGUAGUGCCUCCAAAUCUUCAAGGCGUGCACUACAGCUGUGAGUUCAAGGUCGUGGGUAGGGUAGUUUUCCUUGUGUUUCCUCAACUGUCGGGAGUCAUACGCCACAACUUUGCCAUCUUGCAUCAGCACACAACCCAUGCCUUGAUGAGAAGCGUCACAAUAGACUACGAAGUCCUUCCGGAUGUCCGGAAGAGUGAGGACUGGGGUAGUAGUGAGUCGGGACUUGAGCUCUUGAAAGCUGGAUUCACACUUGGAUGACCAUACGAACGGUACGUUGUGCUUGAGUAGCUCGGUCAUAGGCUUGGCAAUCUUGGAAAAGUUCUCAAUAAAUCGCCGGUAGUAGCCUGCCAAGCCCAGGAAGCUCCGAAUAUCGGUAACGCUCUUCGGCUGCUGCCACUCGGACACUGCUUCAAUCUUCUCGGGAUCUACAGCAACCCCCUCUGCAGUCAACACGUGGCCUAGGAAGGCAACCUUCUCUAGCCAAAACUCGCAUUUACUGAACUUGGCAUACAGCUGGUUCUGCCUCAACCUCUCGAGUACUAUCCUCAGGUGCUCAGCGUGUUCUUCGGCUGUCUCGGAGUAGAUCAAGAUGUCGUCGAUGAAGACUAUGACGAACUUGUCCAGUUCUUCCAUGAACACUUUGUUCAUCAUGUUCAUAAAGUAGGCGGGUGCAUUGGUCAGUCCGAAGGAUACCACGGUGAACUCGUACUGGCCAUAUCUGGUCACGAACGCUGUCUUCGGAAUGUCACACUCCCGAAUCUUCAUCUGAUUGCAUCCGGAUCUCAGAUCAAUCUUGCUGAAGAAUUUGGCCUUUCUCAACUGGUCAAGCAGAUCAUCGAUUCUGGGCAACGGAUACUUGUUCUUGAUGGUCACAGCGUUCAGCGAUCGGUAGUCGAUGCAUAACCUCAUGGUUCCAUCCUUCUUCCUCACGAACAACACGGGUGAUCCCCAUGGCGAUGCACUAGGCCUGAUGUACUGUUUAUCUAGCAGGUCCUUUAGCUGAUUCUUCAACUCGGUGAGUUCUUCUGCGGACAUGCGGUAGGGUCGCUUCGCGAUCGGUGUCGUCCCUGGCACAAGGUCAAUCACGAGCUCGACAUCCCGGUCCGGUGGUAGACCUGGAAGCUCCUUGGGAAACACAUCAGGAUACUCGCAAACCACCAGCACGUCUUCGAGUGUCCUUUUCUCCAAGUUGUUCAAAUUGUACACCUGAGGCACAUCUCGUGACUUCAACGGUUCCACCUCGAUCUUCUUCCCACUAGGGUGUUCCAGGGUCACCAACCUGGGCGAGCAAGAUAUGACACCCUUGUGUGCAGUCAACCAGUCCAUCCCCAAAAUAACAUCUAUCCCCUCUGAGGGCAGUACUGUCAGGUCAGCUGUGAAUGGCAGUCCCUUAAUCAUGAUUCUCACUCCCUUACAUGCUAGUGUGCACCUAUGAUCCCCUAGUGGGGAGCUAGUGAUGAUAGGAUGGCUUCUCGGGGUCAUCGGAAGGGAUUUUUGUGCAACACACUUCGAAGAGAUGUAGGAGCAAGUGGCUCCAGAGUCAAAUAACACCAAAGCUUUAAAGCUGUUGAUAAGGUACUCACCUGUCAUGACGUCGGGGGCAUCCCGGGCCUCCUCCUCAGUGAGGUGGGUGAGGCGGCCACGGUCUGCGGAGCGCGGAGCUUGAGCGGGCCUGCCGGCGGAGCCUGGCGCGUGAGCUGGGGUCGAGGUCUUCUUCUCGGGGCACUCAUAGGACUUGUGGCCCGGUUUGUUGCAAGUGAAGCAAACAAACGGCGUCGAGCCACUGUUGGUCCUCUGUGCCGGCUGCUGGCGGUGGUAGCUGCCUCCUCCCUGGUUCUGUCCUCCGUGGGUCCUGUUGCCGGAGUAGUGGUUGCCUCCCCCACCGUAGUUCCUGCUCGGCUGACUGGAGCCGGAACGGAAACCGCUCCUCGGUGGCAGAGGUGGCGCGUUCCUUGCCUUCUGGAAGGGCCGGUCUCGUACCUGGUGGUCGGUCUGGCGCUUCUUGUUGCGUUGACGGUCUUCCCAUCCCAGUCUCUCCCUCUCCACAGCAAUGGCACGGUUGACCAAGCUGCGGAGCGAGGGGUACUCGCAUCCCGUCACGAUCUGACGGAUGCCGUGGUGUAGUCCUCGGAGAAACCAGAACUGCUUCUUCUCCUCGGUGUUGGUGUCGUCGGCAGCGUACCUCAUCAUCUUGGUGAAGUGGCGCUCGUACUCCUCCACCCUCAUCAUACCCUGAGUCAUGGUACGGAACUCCUAGGCCUUCUGGAUCAUCACUUGCCGGGGCACGUGCUACUCACGGAAUGCCCUGGCAAACUCCUCCCACGAGAUGUGUGCUGGGUCAUGAUGGGAGUCACAGUAGCUGUCCCACCAUGACUUGGCGGUACCCUCAAGUUGGUGGACGGUGAGUGCGAUGCACUCUUCGUCGGUGCAGUUGGUGAGGUCCAACUUGGUCUCAAUCACCCUCAGCCAGUCAUCAGCCUCCAAGGGGUCCUCGGCGUAGCUGAAAGUCGGGGCCUUCAGGCGGAUGAACCUCUCGAUCUUGCGCUGGAGGUCCUCUUCAGGCGGGCCAUGAUGGUUGGCCCCGUGGUUCCUCUGAUCCACUGACUCGGCCAGACGCUGGAGUAGCUGAGUCUGCCUAUCCAUGAUCUCUGCGAGUGUCGGCGGUGGUGGCAGUGGCUGCUGUGCAGGCUCGGCGUCGAUUUCCUCAUCGACCUCCUCCUCAUCGGCUUCGUCUCCACGGCGUGCCUCCCCAAAGGCGCGAGGUGCGGCACCUGCGGCAGGUCCUCUGCCUCUUCCAUGCCCUGCUGCCGGGGCACGUGCUGGGGCAGCACGUCCGCGCCCAUGGCCAAACGGGCGGCCUCGUCCGCGUGCCUCGGCUGCGGCUUCCUCCUGGGCGGCUUGCUCGAAACGGGCCAUCAAGCGAUCGGAUCUCCGGAUCAACAUUUCUUGUAUAGGGUGAAGGGGGAAAUUCUCUCCUGUAAAUGUCGGCACUCACCACCCAAAGUAAAAGAAUACACACAUGGGCAAACAUGCCAAUUAUCCGAAAAAGAUGCAAGAAUAAAAGCCAUAACAUUUUAAAAUGAAAGCAAUUAUCGAAUAAAAUAAUGCGAGAAUAAAGAGACAUAACAUCCAUCCAUUUAGACAUCAUUCAGGCAGUACAAGGAAUCACUGGUGUUAUCUCGAGGUCAACACAUAAGCCUUCAAGAUAACACCCCCAACUCACACUCUAAGAAUACAUCGUGAAUGCUUACAAAAAGAGUGGCGACUCCUAUCGUGUCUACUUGGACUCGUGACAUCAUAGGACGCUAGCCGGAAACAUGUCAUCGGCUCAGAACAAGACUCAUGAGAACUCUCGCCGGAAUGGACCAUCGGCGGCUACUUACCCUACAUCUACCCCUACCUAAGACACUGACUCACUCCCUAGUAGAAGGUGACGCGUGGCUUCUUGUAGGACAGCACGCGCUUGUACUCCUCCGGGUAGUCCUCCGGGAAGAUGGCGUCGAUGGCUGCGACGGCCUCCACCACCUCCUCGGUCUCGAUCGCGGGCGGCAUCUCCUCGUGAGGGCACAGGUGCAGGCGAAGCUCCGUGGGGAUGAGCUUGAAGUCCUCCUUCCUCACCAGGGGCUGACUCUCCUCGGGUAGCUGGUUCCUCAGCUCGUGGAUCUCAUCGACGCGGAUGGAGUCGGAAAUCUCCCACGUCUGCAAGGCGCGUGCAGCCUUGUCGCGGAGGUACACGGCGGUGCGGGUCAGCAAGGCGAUGUUCUUCUUGUUCCUCUCCAGCCGGGUCUCCAGUUCCUUCACCCGGUCCUCCACCUUGGCCUCGAAGUAGCCGUGAAGGGUCAUGAAGUCCUGCUGGUCGUCCACCUAAGUCUGCAGCUGGCGGCACUCGGCCUCACUGUCGGUUGCCCAGUCCUUGAGCUUGCUGAUGGUGGCGAGGUAGUCCUUCUCCUUGAGCUCCCACCCGGCCUUCUCCUCCCGGAGCUUCUAGAGCUCGGCCUCGGUCUGGAGUAACUUGGCUUCGGCGGCCAUCCUCUGCUGGGUCUCGAUCUGUCGCAUCAUGUUUGCCUCCAUGUAGCACACCUUGCUACGGCGGGCCUCUACCCGGGCUGCGGUGUAGAUCUGGUUCCACCCCUGAAUCUCAUGCUGCAGGACGUGGAUGUGCCUCACACUAUCGUAGAACCCCUGGUGGAGCUGCUCGCUCUCCGAGGAAAGGUUCACAGCUAGGUGGUCCAGGUCAUAGAGGUAAGAACCGGUGGUGUGGACUAUGGACUGGUCCCCUCCGGUCUCCUGAACCGAGGCAGAGUACAUCUCCAGGUAGAAGGCCUCGGGAUCCUCAUUGGGCAGGACGGCUCGAGGUAGUAGGCGGAAAGAGGAGUCCGCAAACUUGGUCUGCCAGAACUGGGCGAGUAGCUCCAUCGUCAUCUUUCGAGCGGCUGACUGGAUGGCUGUCUCGGUGAGCACGCCGAAGCUGUAGACCAUCUUGCCCUCGAAGUCGGGCACUGCGGGGUCUGGCAAGACGACGAGUGUGGCGAUCUUGGAGUGGUAUGGGAGGGCGGUGGUCGACUUCAGGGAGAGCUUGACGUAGGCCAGGUCGAUGCCGAUGUGCUCCACCACGCGCUCGAACCACUUGAAGACACCCCUCUGGUGGUACUCCGCGUACAGCUCGAGGUCAUGGGUCACACUCUCCAUCGUAGUUGCCAUCGCGGUUGCUACCCUGCGUAGGAACGUGAGAAUUGAGUCAGUGUAGGUAAGAGAGUAACUCAAGAGUGGAGGAAAACUGAGUCAAGGUAUCGACGAAUAAUAGUCCAAGGUAUUAUAGUAAGUGGAUAGAUUCGUAUAGAUUUCCCUAGGUCUACCGACCAUGUCUAAGGCUCGUGCUAUGGUCAAGCAUGGCUCUGAUACUAACUGAAAUGAACCGGAUUCCCGAAUCGAGGAACCCGACUCCCUGUAUCGUCGUGAUAGUUCCUGGAUCAAGCGCUAUCACAUACAGAACUCAUUUCAGGCAUAAUAUCACAGUCAUACUCAUUGUGAGGUCAAACACGGGUUUAAUUAUUACAUAAAUCCAAAGGAUCUGUAGUACGGAAUUUAUUACAAGCCUCUCGGCUAGAUCGAACAAGCAGAAGGCGCAAAACGGUAGCUAGGUCUUCGGCCGUCCUUCAUCUUCGGGAACCUCUCCACAGGCGACUUGAGCGUAGCUCGGGCCUCAGUCGUACCAUCCGUCGUCGUUGGGGUCGAAUUCCGGAUCGGAUCCUGCAUCGUACCAGGCUAUCCCCAAGGAUUGGGAUAGGUUCACGUCACCAUCUGUAUGCAAGCUUUAUUGUGGUCUACACUACGGAUAUUCAAGAGUUCAAGAAGUAAGGCUGGGGUUUCCCUAUGCAUGCAAUAUAUAUAUAUGAGAUUACACAUCUCCUUUCAUUUCCGACUCGGGCCCUUCCGGCAUCUCGGAGUCCCGGUCACACACACCUUCCAAAGCCACCAAGUCGAUGCGAGGACUCCCUCUCCUCGCAUCUCAACUGCCCCCUGGCAGGAAAAAUAUUCUAGAGGGAGGUAGAAAUCAUGAGUAACACUAACUAAUAAGAGCAACAGAGGAGUAGAGAUGUCCAUAACCGAGGACGCGGCUAUACGUAUAGUUUUCACCCUGCAGGGGUUGUACACCUGGACCCACUCGAAUCGACACUAGCCGGAGAUCAGCCGACUAGUAUACGAAACACCGGUCUACAGAAACGGAAUUAGGAGCCACGGCACCAUCCGGCUUUCCCGGGUCUUGGGCGCAUCCUCCCACGGGAGGUCGCCCCGGGACUGUGAAGCCUCCCAUGCGUCUCGGGGAACGUGAGGUCAGCACCUCCUUCCCCUGCACCGAUACUCGAUCCUCCUACCGGCUUGGUACCGCGCUUGCUAACCCCGGACCUGGCCCACCCUCAUAAUGGGUAAGUGGUGUGCACGCUUAACAAAUUCCCACAAGUCAUGGUUACUCUCACCCGGUCCUUAACUACCGAAGCGGGCAUCUUCGUCAAAAGCGUAUCCACCACGGUGGUUCGCAACUGCACCCUUAACGGGUGCCCCAAACACCUCAAACACGUAACCAAAACUGUACCCGCCACAGGUACUCCGUAGGGUGUGCCAAGAUACACACCCCAAGCCCUCGAUCCACGAUCGAGUUAGGUUGCCCACUUCCGGCUAAAAACCCUAAUCACCAACUCCUGAAGAGAACCACUUCACUCACGCCAAGACUAUCCAUCCGUAUCCCACACAUACACAUUCAAGGAUUUACAAGGCAUUUCAUAUAAUCAACAAGUAGGAUAGGUUGGCAAGGAGCAAGGUACAUAAAAGAGGCCAUGCAGGUUUAUCUUGAUAUAUAUAUACACAUACUGCGAUAGCAUAUCUACAAGCAAUGCCUAAUAGGGAUUCAAAUCGUAGAUGGGCGUGAACCUGGCGUCUCUUCGAAGUCCUCCUGGGCCUCCGAGUAGUCCUGGUCGUUGGUCAGCUCCUCGCGGACGGGUCCUAUUCGUAAAUACGGGUAAGAGUAGGGACCAAAGUGCAAAUGUGCACAAAAUGCUACAAAUAAGAUCCAAAUCACCACAAUGCCUACUCUAACAUGUGGUUCAUGAUUUUAGAAGAAUUAUGAAACUGGUUUCAUAAUUUUCGGAGGUCCGGAUAAUUUAUUAUGAAUUUUCUAAGGAAAAACCUAUUUCUGAAAUUAAUAAAAUAAUUUUGGAAAAGAAAGCCAUUAAACAGAGACACGUGGCAGCACCAGGGUGUGCCACGUGGCAUGCUGACGUCAGCAUGACGUCAUCAGGGGGGGUCCGGGUAUGCUGACGUCAGCAGUGGCCCAUGCUGACGUCAGCGUUGACCGGUCAACAGUCAACGGUCAGGGGGUCCACGGUCAACGGCCCCACUGGUCAGCCUCGGCGCGAGGCUGACAGGUGGGCCCCUCGGGUCAGGCCUGGGAUAGGAAAAAAAGAAAAGAGGCCUUGGUUUGGACCUGGGCUGAAAGUGGUGGUGGGCUGGCUCGAAACCCAGCUAGGCUUGGCUAGGCUCGUGGUGUCAGCUCGGCCUGCAGCUCGACAGGCCGGCUCGGGCAGUGGGCUGGCUGGGCGCAUCUUGGGCCGGCUCGGCUUAAUCCCUCGCAAGCCAGCUUCUCUUCCUCGUGGACUGUGCUCGUCGCUUCGCCUUCUCCUCCUCGCGGCCCGGUGGCUUCUGGUCUCCUCCUUCGCUGACAGGGCGGUCCCAUGUGUCGGCCCCCGUGGGAUCAGGUGCGGCGGGGUUCGGGUCCGGUGUGGCAGAUGGGUGUGCGUGUGUGCGUGUGGGCGCCGCGGCGCGUGUGCGAGUGAGGACGCCCGAAGGGUGCUCGGGGAAAAGCCUCAACGGCUUGGCCGCGACGCGAACGCGACGUCGCGGCCGCGUCGUGGGGGCUGGGCGCGCACGGCGAGGCCGUGGCGCGGGCAUGGCGAGGCAAAGCUGUUUGGUCAGUGCGGGGUAUGCGUGCGUGUGGCACGGUGAAGGCGACGGCGGCUGCGGGGUGCGGAAGCGGCGCGUCGGGCUCCUGCACAAGAAGACGACACGGCGGCCGGAAGGGAAAAGGGGCGCCUAGGGUUUUCUACAGAGGGCUCCUCGGCGGCCCAUGGCUCACGCCGGCAGCAGGGGGAAAGGAAAGGGAUGGCGGCAGUGUGGCUCACCGGUGGGGCUGGAGCAGAGGAUGCUCGGGGCUGCGGAGAGGCGAGCUGGCGGGUCGGGGCUGUGCAGGGAGCGCAGCUACAUCGGUGUAGUCGUACGGGCGCAGGUGCGGUGGAGCUCCGGUGGUGGCGGCGGCGUCCUCCUCGGGCUCUUCUCCUCCUCCUCCUCCUCUCUCUCUCGGGUGUGACUGCGGAAAGGGGAAGAUGGCGUAGGUGGCUAGGGUUUCUGGGGUGGCGGCCGAGGGGUCCUUAUACGCGGCGUCGGGGCUCGAGUGCAGCUGCGGCCGAGGCCUUUUUGGCAUCCGCGCCGGGACGCGUGGUGGCAUCGCGGCGCGGAGGCGCGCGGCUAGGGUUAGGGUUCGCGGCGCGGGCGGUCGGGGAGCGGGGAACGGGCGCGCGCGGCGGUUGCGCUGCGCUGUCGUGGAGCGGGGACAGGCGCGCGCGGUUGGCAGGUGACGCGAGGGAGCGGGGCCGCGGCGAGGGAAGAAAAGAGGAAAAAGGGAGGCGGGCGGUUGGAGGCGCCUGUCGCGGAGCGGGGCGACGCGGCGGAGGCGAGCGAGCGGGAGAUCCAGGGGUCGCGGGUGAGAGGAAGGGGAAAGCUGACGGGUGGGUCCCGCCCGUCAGCUGCCCCGGGUGGAAGGGAGGUGAAGCGUCGCGACGGGUCGCGAGGCUGGGCUGGGCCGGCUUGCGCGGGCUGGCGCGCGUGCGGGGGAGGAAGGGAAAAAAGGAAAGAGCGGUUGGGCUCGGGUUGCGUGGGACGGUGGGCUGGUGGCCCACUAGGGGUGUUAGAGUUUAUAGUUUGGAUUUGAAUUUGAUUGGCCUAUUCAAAUUCAAAUCCCACACAUUCGAAUCCAACAAAUUCGAAAGUCCAAUCAAAUAACAUGCAUCAACCCCUCCAAACCAAGAUCAUACACAAAAGUUUUUGAAAUUCAUGAUUUUUGUUAUACAAACCCUCUAGGGUUUAACAUGGAAUGUUUCAAAGCUGUUCGUAGUGCGGUACCCUACUUGUGGGUAAAGUGUACACCCUCUGCAGAGUGCAAAAACUAUUCGAAUAGCCAUGUCCACGGUGUUGGAUGAGUUACGGCAUGGUCACUUCAAUAGAUAUUUUGGGAUGAUUGGUUUUGUGGCGUGAGUUGUUUUGAAAGUGGCCGGCAGUUGUGCCGUGAGCUACUGUGGAUGUGGAGUCCGGUAGCAUUAAAACUUGGAUCCUUUGUGUAGGAUCAACCCCACUUAUUAUUUGAUUACUACAUAAAUAUUUUUAGAAAGUUCUUUUAUUAAAUGAACCCUUGCAUGUGUCAGACGUUGCUUUAUCGCAAAUGAACCCUAGCCUUAUCCUUGAUAUAUCCUGUGCAUGAUCUUUAUUAUCCCCCUCCGUGGGUGUGGUUGGACUUGUUGAGUAUGUAUGUACUCACUCUUGCUUAGUUUUUACAGAGGAGGAUACAAACUUCAUUCCUGAAGAUGUCGAGUAGGUCGCCGUCCUGUACCCAACCUUGCCUGUGGUUCAGGGUCUCCACAGGAAGCUUACCAUGGCGUAAGACUCUGAUGUUAUCUUAGAUUUUGUUGGCACUUUAGUUUGGCUUUUAGUCCUUAUGUUGUCCCUCAUGAUAGUGGUGCUCCAGUGCCCACUACCUCAACAGUUUGUAUGGUAAUGAACCAUCUGAUGUAAUAAAUGUGUUAUCAGCCUUCUGGGACUGAUAUUUGUAUCACAUUUAGUCACCUCUGAUGAGGGGACACUUCAGGUGGUAUCAGAGCCGUAGGUUGGCCGUAGAAUGUGACCCUUAGGACCGAGGAUAUUUUCUAAGCUGUUUCCCAUUAGAUCUUUCCCACUUAACUCACCUUUCCACACGGCACUUACCUUUGGCCCUUGUCUGGUUCCAGAUAGCUGACAAUGGAUGGAGUGACGGAAUCUGCCCCGCAGAGUUUGGCCUCUCUAAGUUAUUGCUACUCAGCCUAGAACGCAUCAGAGUUGUUGAUCCACUGGAGUGCACCUACCGGGAGUACAACUUCAGAGGCACCCUUCGGUGUGACCUGAUGAUCUUCGUGGGAAAAAGCACACUCUACCCCGACGUGGAUCCCUGGUUCAUCUCCAUCACCGGCUUUGGGUUCCCAGACACCUGCCGAAAGGCUGCCCGAAAAGCCCUGCGACGCAUACGCAUGGUCUAUAAACAUCAUCUUCAGCGAACUCCUAUGGGAUUUUUUCCACCUGCUGGAGUUAGAGGACGCUCAUGGAUUGCCCGGAUGAGAGGAUUGGGAAGGGAAGAAGAACUAGAAGAUACGGUUUCCCACCUAUCCAUUUACCUCACCGGCCUAGACCAACUUUACCGCGAACAGGCAAAACAACUGAAGCACCAAAUCCGCAGGGUAGAAAAGGCAGAACAAGAGUUGGAAAUACAAUGGAGGAGAACAAUAGAAGCUGAGGCACAAGCUGAUAGUUCCCUAGCCUCUCUCCAAGACAUAUGGCGAAGCGACGCUCGAGAAAGGGAACGUAUCGAGGCACGCAGAAGAGAAGCUGGAUUACUGGAAGGAGAACCCGAAGAAACCCAUUGGGAUAAGGGCACUCAGACCGAAGAUGAGGUAUUGGAGCAAUGUCUUCCACCAAAGAAGUGCCCUAACCGGAUCAAGGAAGAAUCCCCUUGGGAAGAGUAGAGUACCUAAGCUAGAGCUAUCAUCCUAGUAAUAAUGUAUCUUUGGGAGAUGUACCCGACCCUGUUGAAAAAUAAAGACUUUGUGCUAGAGGACUGCGAGUAGAUCGUGUCUGCACCCAAGCUGAUCGAGUGGAGCCGUGAUGGUUGAAGAGCUAGUCCUCCAUGCCGUCAUGCUAGUCGUUAUCCUAUGGUUGUGCUGUGUAGCUCUGUGUUGUCGCUUUACCCCUCGUGUACAUGUUGAAUAAAGCUCUGUAUGACUCUGGACUCCACUUGAUGUAACAUGUAUUAUGCCGAAGACCUCAUUCGGUAUUUAAUGCAUGGUUUAGCCUUGAUCUUUGGGUCGGGGCGCUUCAGGUUUAAAAGAUUUUUAAGCGAGUGAUUGGUAAUGCAAUUUAAAUAAGAUAAAAACGUAGGAGUUAAAAACCUACCCCACUUAAAAUGAAUCUCGUCCUCGAGAUUCGGCUGGCUACUAAAUAGAUGGGGAAACUCUUUCUUCAGGGCAUCUUCACGUUCCCAUGUAGCUUCUUCCAUUCCGUGUCUACUUCACUGAACUCUGCAAAUCCGUAUUUCGGAGUUUCUUGUCCUUUUUGUGAUAGUGUCCAAAAUCUUGAUAGGUACUUCCUGGUACCGAAGAUCUGUCUGUAAAUCUAUUUCUUCUUCCGGUACAUGCUCUUUCUCGGGUACCCUCAGACAUCUUCUCAGUUGGGAUAUAUGUAAUACUGGGUGUAUGUCAACCAUUCCUUCUGGUAGCUCUAGACGGUAUGCUAUGGCUCCAAUUUUCUUCUGUACUCAGUACGGUCCAAUGUACCGAGGGGCUAGUUUCCCAUGUACCUGAAAUCUUCGAGUCCCUCGAAAAGGUGAAAUCUUGAGAUAGACGAAGUCUCCUAGAUUGAAGCUUAUUUCUCGUCUCUUCUUGUCUGAGUAACUCUUCUGUUGAGAUUGAACGGCCUUCAGUUUUUCUCUAAUUUCGGCCACUCUUUCUUCCGCUUCCUUUAUGAGUGCGGGUCCAACUAGGGCACGCUCUCCAACUUCUGACCACAUCAGGGGGUUCUGCACUUUCUCACAUAGAGAGCUUCAAAUGGUGACAUGCCCAAGCUUGCUUGAUAACUGUUGUUGUACGAAAACUCAGCACAGGGUAAACUUUGUUCACAAUCCUUGCCAUAAGUAAGGACACAUGAUCUUAGCAUAUCUUCUAUAAUCUGGUUCACCCUUUCUGUUUGACCAUCAGUCUGCGGGUGAUAAGCUGAACUGAAAUCCAACUUGGUGCCCAUGGCCUUAUGCAAACUUUUCCAAAACCUAGAGGUGAAUUGGGUUCCUCUAUCCGAAACAAUUCUACUAGGCACACCAUGCAGCUUCACUAUGUUGUCCACAUAGAGCUGGGCUAGCUUUUCUCCACCAUAAUUGGUCCGUACGGGUAGGCAGUGAGCGACUUUUGUGAGCCGGUCCAAUAUCACCCAUGUGGAGUCAUGUUGUUUCUGUGUCUUGGGUAAACCCACUACAAAAUCCAUUCCUACCUCAUCCCAUUUCCAAACCGGGAUGGGUAAAAGUUGCAGUAAUCCUACUGGCUUCUGAUGUUCAGCCUUGAUUCUUUGACAAGUAUCACAAUCGGCAAUGAACCGUGCAAUGUCCACUUUCAUUCCACUCCACCAAUACUUUUUUCUUAUAUCCACAUACAUCUUGGUGGACCCUGGGUGGAUGGAAUAUGCCGAGUUGUGGGCCUCAUCCAUAAUAGUCUGCCAGAAGUCUCCUUCCUUGGGUACACAAAUUCUACCUUUGUACCAUAAGGUUCCUUUGUUAUUCACUCUAAAAUCCGGUGCCUUGUUCUCUCUAGUAUGCAUGCGGAUUUUCAUCAAGUCCUUGUCUGAACCUUGGGCCUUUCUAAUCUUAUCCUCCAAAGUGGGUUGAACACUCAACUUGCGACUGGAACCAUAGGCGGUGAUGUGCACAUUUAAUCGUGCCAUUUCUUCUUGUAGGUGAGCAUCCUUAAGUCCAUAAGAUUUCCGGCUUAAGGCAUCUACUACCACGUUUUCUUUACCAGGGUGGUAAUGAAUUUCCACAUUAUAAUCCUUAACUAGUUCUAACCACCUUCUUUACCUUAAGUUCAAAUCUGGCUGGGUGAAGAUGUACUUCAAGCUCUUAUGGUCUGUGUAGAUCUCACACUGAUUCCCAAUCAGAUAGUGUCUCCAAAUCUUGAGGGCAUGCACUACGGCUGCAAACUCCAAAUCAUGGGUUGGGUAAUUCUGCUCAUGAGGCUUGAGUUGUCGGGAAGCAUAUGCCACUACUUUCCCAUCUUGCAUAAGGACACAUCCUAAUCCUUGAGGGGAUGCUUCACAGUAAAUGACAAAGUCUCGUUGAAUAUCCGGCAAGUUUAAUACCGGGGCGGUUGUCAGUCUUCUCUUUAACUCCUGGAAGCUUCUCUCACAUGACUCAGUCCAGGUGAACUUCUUCUCUUUCUUGAGUAGUUCUAUCAUGGGUCGGGCUAUCUUGGAGAACCCUUCAAUAAAUCUCCGGUAAUAUCCGGCUAAACUGAGAAAGCUCCUGAUUUCACUGACAUUGGUUGGUUGCUGCCAAUUGGAGACUGCUUCGACUUUUUUGGGAUCCACUGCUACUCCUUCUGUGGUCAAGAUAUGACCAAAGAAUGCUAUUUUCUCAAGCCAAAAUUCACACUUGCUGAACUUGGCGUAGAGCUUGUGUGCUCUCAACUUUUCCAAAACCACUCCUAGGUGCUGCUCAUGUUCUUCGACACUCUUAGAUUAAAUAAGUAUGUUGUUAAUGAAAACUAUGAUAAACUUAUAUAACUCUUCCAUAAACACCUUAUUCAUGAGGUUCAUGAAAUAAGCAGGUGCAUUGGUGAGUCCAAAGGACAUCACUGUAAACUCAUAUUGCCCAUAGCGGGUGACGAAGGCCGUCUUCGGAAUGUUACUUUCCUUAAUCUUGAGCUGAUGAUAUCCUGACCUUAAGUCUAUCUUGGAGAAGUACUUGGCUCCCUUCAGCUGAUCAAAGAGGUCAUCAAUUCUGGGAAGAGGGUAUUUGUUCUUGAUGGUGACUUCAUUUAGUGCAUGGUAAUCCACGCACAUCCUCAUGCUUCCAUCCUUCUUCUUGACGAACAAGACCGGAGCUCCCCAUGGUGAUGAGCUCGGUCUAAUGGAACCACUUUGGUGUAACUCUUCUAGUUGUUUCUUUAGUUCUGCCAAUUCAGAGGCUGCCAUCCUAUAGGGUCUCUUAGCUAUAGGGGAGGUUCUAGGGACCAGGUCAAUGACAAGCUCUAUAUCCCUAUCUGGCGGCAUUCCCGGGAGUUCUUCAGGGAAAACAUCUAGGUAUUCAUUUACUGCUGGAACUUCUUUCAAGGAUUUAGCUUCCAUACUAAAAACUAUUGGGUCCGGUCCACUUCCCCGAGUAUGGCAGGUUACUUGUACUCCUUCUGGGUUGGUUAGGUGUACCACCUUGUCAGCACAACUUAUAAGGCCAUUGUGCAGGCUUAGCCAAUCCAUUCCAAGGAUCACGUCUAUAUCUUUAGACUUAAGUACUACUAGGUCUGCUAGGAACUCUACCCCACUUAAAAUGAUCCUUACCCGAGAAUAAUCCAGUUGACACUUAAUGUCACCUCCAGGCGUUCGGGUUAAUAGGGGUGUUUUUAGUAGUACUGUUGGUAUAUUGUGAUUUUCCACAAAACUUGAGGAUACAAAUGAAUGUGAUGCUCCAGAAUCAAAUAAUAUUGUUGCCAAAACUGAGCUGACUAGAAACUCACCGAGCACUACACCCUGAGCAUCCUGAGGCUCUUGCGCGUUGAUGUGGUUCACGCGGGCUCGUCCGAAGGACUGCUGGGGCGGCCUCAUCUGCUAGUUGUUGUUGCCGGUGUUGUUGCUGCGGAUGGGUACACGAUUGGCUCCUGAUAGAGCUGGCCUUGGUCCAUUCACCGAGUUGGAGAAGGCUGAUGCUGCCGGCUUGUUGUUGGCAUAUGGAUAGUUGGCAAUGAAGUGCCCUGUCUCACGGCAGUUGAAGCAUGCUCGGGCAUUGUUGCUGGUAGUAACUUGGCUUGCAUUGCUCUGUGGGGCCUUCAUGGUGUUCUAGCUCUUGAAUUGCCUGAAUUGGGUGUUGGGGGCCUGAGAGCCAGUAGCUUGUGACUGGGUCCUGUACUGCAUAGGGGCUUGGGACCUAGGCACUGGAGAGCCGAAGUGCCUCGGCUUGUGGAAAUGGUCCUGCUGGCGAGCCUUAGUUUCCAGGAACUUACGCUUAUUGUCUCUCUUUUCCUCUGCCAUGGCUCUCUUGGUGAUGAUAGCCAUGUUCAUCAGUGUGUUGAAGUCUGGGUAGAUGCAUGGGGAAAGCAGCUUCUUAAAUUCUGGAUCCAAACCCUUUUUGAAUAUAUCCUGCUUCUUUUCAUCCUUGUUUACUUCCUCCGGUGCAUAGCGAGCUAGUUCUAUGAACUGAUAUGUGUACUCCUCAACGGACUUGUUGCCUUGUUGCAGCUCACGAAACUCAUCUGCCUUGCGCUUCAUGGUGGCUGCUAGGAUGUGAUAGCGACGGAACUCAUCCACAAAUUUCUUCCAAGUGAUAAUGGAGGCAUCCUGAGCAGUUGCACAGUAGUUCUCCCACCAAGCUAAAGCAGUUCCAGUGAGCUGGUGAGCAGCCAAACAGACCUUGUCACGGUCUCCAUGCUCAAAUGGCUUGAGUUUUCUCUUGAUAACAUGCAGCUAGUCAUCUGCCUCCAAGGGGUUGUUGAAUCCUGCAAAGGUGGGUGGCUUGGUCCUCAGAAAAGCUGUCAGUUUGUCAUUUGUACUCUGCUCACGGGGCCUUGGGUUGGUGAUGACAUUAGUCAAAGCUUCCAGUAGGAGGUUCUAGUUGUUCAACACUUGCACCAGGUCAAUGGCCGGUAGGGGUGGGGCCUGACGUGCUCCCACUUGGCUUUCUCCGUCCUGCUGGCUUACUUCCUGAUCCUCCUGAUCUUCAUGGCCGGGGACUUGUCCUUGCACACCCUGCUGCCUCUCCGCACUUGGAGUGGUACGUGCCUGACUUUGGGAAGUCCUGGCGUUAUGCCUGGGGGCCAUCUGUGGAUUGGGUAAAACUUUUAUGAGACUUAGAUUUGGAAUUAAGUGAUGUUUAAAUUAUUUACUUUCAUAUUUUUGAAAAGGCAUAAUCCACCUCCUGCCGACAAGCACAUAGACUAACAAGCAUCAAGCACAAACAGUUUUAUUUAUUAAGCUGGGGGUACAACACUUGGGAGGGCACAGCCAAAACACACACUACACAGUCGGGUACAAAGGGCACAACAGAUGGGAGGGGCACAACUCUAAGCUUGAGGCCAGGACGGCUUCAUUCCUAGGGGCAUCUCUGAGGCAUGCUACUCACGGGGUGAGCCGUCUUCCGGGGCGGAGUGCACUUCCAGUGGGAUGAGUAGCUCUUCCUCGUCGUCCUCGAGGAUCCCAUUUACUCGGGGCUGGUCGAUAGCUUCUUCUUCUGCGGCCGCAGCUAACCAUUCGGCACCUUCGGGUGGACCUUGCGGGGUCCCAAAAAGUCAUCCCCAUCCUAUGAUAGGUUUCCAAUUAGGACUUGGGUCUCCCCGAUUGCCGGGACGGGCAUUCCACUGCUGGUCCAUUCUUGCAUACGCCGAUCCUGGAUCUGCCUGAGGUUCUCAUGAGUGACAGCUUCGCUACUGUGACAUCCUGGAACAAUUUACCAAAGAAAUCAUACGCUAAGAAUAUCUUUUUCAGAAACCUUUUUGUCGAAGCCCUAAUUCCCCGGAACCCCGAACCAACACCCGAAUCCGACCGCUGUCACGCCCCCCUUUUUCUCCUCGCGCAGCGUGCGAAUGUCGCGAGCGCGUGGCCGACCAACCGCGGUCGCCGCCGCGAAUAUCGCCGGCGCGUGUCACCCCCUCCUCUGUUUCCUGUCAAUGAGAGGGGGAAGAAGGAGGGCAGAUUUGCCCAAAGCCCCCUGUCCUUUCCCCUAUUCUUUAAGGAACCCCCACCCCUCUUUAGCCUUUUCCCAAAGAAACCCCUUCAACAUUCCUAAUUGCAAAUAAACCCUCACCCAUAUAAACACACCCUUAUCUUUUUCCAGGAUAACCCAAACCUUCCCCAAAAUUCCAAAUGAGUCCUUUUCAGUAAUUACAAACAAGUCCCUAGACCCUUGUUUAGACCCUAACACCCCGUUAACUUAUCAUUUUAUGUCCCAAACGAUCUCUGAUCGACCCGAAACUUUACCACGCCCUUUUUACUAUGGUUUCGACCAUGCCAUCAGGAAACCACCCAAAAAUAUGAUCCCUAUCUCCAUAACUAAUCUGUUUCUGACUCGAACUCAAUGAUAAAAGCUUUUAGUUCAUUCGAUUGAUUGGGUGCCUGUUUGUUUGCGUCGUAGGACACAGAGUGAACGAGGAAGGCCCCGACUGUGAUCAAGUGAACGAGGACCAGUUCUGCGACCUCGAACCCGAGGGACAGUGCUUCGAUCAGGACCUCCUGCAAGGAUUUGAUGAUGGCAAGUUCAAUCCCGCCCUUUGAUGCAUGUUUCUAUCCUAGUUUUUAUCAACACAACCCAUUGGCCUGUUUUAUAAAAUUGCAUGUGUUUUGUUUGCUGAAAACAUGGUAGGAUAGCCACCCCUUGAUUUGUGAUAACCAUUCCUUGACCACCUGGUUUUAUAAAGAAAAUGUGUGCGUGUGUGGGAGGGAUAAAUUUGGAAUUUUGAAAGAUGGGUUUACACGGGAUGGAUGGCAUUUCUGUGUGAUUUGCCGAUUAGAGUGCUCGUGCCUGUGUGGCAGGGCAAGGAAAGGAGAUAUCCAUCUUGUCACCCCUAAGGACCGAGUUGAUGUGUCAUCUCACCUAGCUUCCUGUCGUGCAAACCACUUGACCGUUGUAUGGGCAACGGUUUAGCAUAAACCCCACUAGUUAGUCUGAUAGCCAUCAGGAGAGCUAAGAGCAACGGGUGAUCAAGGAGAAGGGAUAAGCCCUGUGUGACUUAUGCCCCGGUUAAACCUCGGAGAUAGGUCGAAUGACCCCUUGAUGGAUCCCGUGGUGGCUAGUCAGGUCUAGCUAAGGUGGGUAAUGGCUUUGCUGGGAUCUGCACCGACACUAAGGUGAUCGUGCUGUGGUACCCCACCUGUGGGUAAAGUUGCACACCUUUGCAGAGUUAAAAUCUAUUCGAAUAGCCGUGCCCACGGUAUUGGGCAAGUUACGGUGUGGUCACAUAACUAGUGUUUCUCUCUGGGAAUGGUUGGACUGGUGUGAGUUGUUUGGAAAGUGUCCGGCAGUUGUGCUGUGUGCUACGGCGGACGGGUGUCCGGUAGCAGCUUAAAAUUUGGAUCCUGUGUGGAUCAAUAUCAUGUGCUCCUUGGUACUUAAAAACUUGUUUUGAAAAAUGUUUUUAAACAAACCUUUGUAUACAACCGAGUUUUCCGCAAAAGAACCCUAACUUUAUCCUUGGACUGUCCUGUGCAUUGAUUUCUGUUAUACCCCCCCGUGGGUGUGAUUGGACUUGCUGAGUACGUUUGUACUCACCUCACUCUUACUUUUUACAGCAGAAGACCUAGACUACCUCCCCGAAGACGUCGAGUAGGGUUUCGUCCUGCACCCAGUCUUGCCUGUGGUUAGGAACACCGCUGGAGUUCCGCAUGGCACAAGACUCUGAUGACCCUCUUUUCGUAGCUAGUGUAGUAGUGUGGGUUUUAGUUGUAAUCCUCGCGAUAGUGGCGCUUCACUGCCCAUUACCGCGUAGAGUUGUACGGUGAUGUACCAUCUGAUGUAAUAAAAGUGUUAUCAGCCUCCUGGGACUGAUAAAGCAUCACUUUUAAGUCUUCCCUGAUGGGGGGACGCUUCAGGUGGUAUCAAAGCCGUAGGCUGGCCGUAGGACGUGACCCUAGAAACGAGACCCUUUUACAGGCCCCAGGACUUGUUCUGACUUAGCUCUUUUCCUGCACAAACACUCACCACUGGUUCUUGUCCUGUUCCAGAUGGCUGACAAUGGAUGGGUUGACGGAAUCUGCCACGCAGAGCCGGCCUUCCUAAGUUAUUAAUACUCAGCCUGGAACGCAUCGGAGUUAUGGAACCACCAGAGUAUGCCUACCGAGAAUACACCUCCAAGGGCACCCUUCGGUGCGACAUGAUGGUCUUUGUGGGAAAAAGCACCCACUACCCUGAUGUGGACCCCUAGUUCAUCUCCACCUCUGGCUUUCGCUUCCCUGACACCUAUCGAAAGGCCGCCCGUAAAGCCCUGCGACGACUGCGUGUGAUCUACAAGCACCACCUUUAGCGGACUCCUAUGGGAUUUUUCCCACCUACUGAGGAAGAGGACGCACUUGGAUUGCCCGGAUGAGAGGACUCGGAAGAGAAGAAGAAGACCUAGAAGAUACGGUCUCCCACCUAUCCAUCUACCUUACCGGCUUGGAUGAACUCUACCGCGAACAGGCGGCACAGCUGAAGCAGCUAAUCCAUAGGGCAGAAAAGGCAACGCAGGAACUGGAAGAACAAUAGAUAAGAGCCGCACGCGCUGAGUAUUCCUUAGCCGCCCUCCAAGCCCAGAUGCAGGAAUACGAAAACCGCAGAGAAAUAAGUGGAUGGAUAGAGGAAGAAGAGGAACCCGAGGAAACCCAUUGGGAUAAAAGUACUCAGACCGAAGAUGAGGUGAUGGAUCGGUGCCUCCCAAUAAAGAAGCGCCCUGUCAGAAUCGGGGAAGAAUCCCCAUGAUAGGAGUAGCACUCCAAGCUAGAACCCUACCCUAAUAACCAUGUAUCCAUGGAAACGGUACCCCCCAUGUUGCAAUAAUAAAUGUUACCUACUCCCUUUUGUACCUGUGCAAGAUUGUUUACCCUGUCCUUGUUUCAGAUGGCUGAGGAAGGAUGGACCCAGGGCAAUUGCCAAGCUGCACCUGGCUUUCCCAGCCUUUUGAUCAACGCCCUGGAAAGCCUUGGCGUUACAGAAUGCCCAAGGUACUAUAGCAGAGAGUACGAACACCAUGGUACCCUCCGCUGCAGGGUGAUCUUGGUCAUCGCCAGGAGCAACCGCUACCCCGACAUCCAGCCAUGGCGAGUGACUGCCACAGGGUUUAGGCACCAGGACACCUACCCCUUGACCGUCAGAAAAGCACUCCGUUAUUUAUGCUGGAUUUUUGAAAGACACCUCGCCCCCACGCCAGUGAGGUUCUUCCCGCCGGCCGUCAGAACCCCAGUUUGGGAAGCACGCAUGAGAAGUCUGGAACGACGUCGCCAUGAAGAAGGCCCUCUGUACCAAGUGGCUACUUAUCUAGCCGCAUUGGACUAUCUAGCCACAUUGGACCAACUCUUUGAUGAGCAAGCCAACCUUCUGAGAGAGCAGACCCAUCGAGCUGAGCAAGCAGAGCUCGCAAUAAGACUGCAGUAGAUCCGAGCCUCCCAAGCCGAGGCAAGGGCCGCAGCCGCGGUCAACAGUGAAGCAGUCGCCCAAGAGAGCCUCAGGCAGGCCCGAGACCGGCGUAUGCAAGAAUGGACCCAAAGUGGAACACCAGUCCCGGCAAUUGGAGAAGACCAUGUUUUACUCGGGACACCCGUCAUAGGAUGGGGACCACUUCUUGGAAAUUCACAAGCCCCAUCCGAGAACCCUGAAAGUUCUGCUACCGCCGUUGAAAGAGAUGGUGCUGCACAACCCUUGGCAAAUGGAAAUCCAGAGAGCGGCGAGCAAGGAUUACUCACACUCCUCGCCCCGGAAGAAGGCACGCCCCGCGAGUAAAAUAACCGACGCCGCCCUAGUGAUGUACCCCCCCCAGCCUCUUUUGCUUAAGUCGUGCCCUUAGGCAUGACCCCGGACGAGUAGUACGAGAUCUGGUUUUACCCCCAAGCUGUACCCCCUUGCAGUAAUGAAGUUGUUUGUGCUUGUUGUUUGUGAUGUUGUAUGCUGGUUUGUUGUGUGCUGUUUGUUUGUGUGACUACCAGCAGGAGGUAGAUUCUGCCUUAUAUACGAAUUAAACAACUUAAACAUCAUGUAAUCGUAACCCCAAUCUACCCAAUCAACAGGUGGCUCCCCGGAACGUCACGAGGGCCUCCCAUAGCCGGAACCCCGCAGCCGCUGGUGCCGGAGCACAGCCUGUUGGACAAGAUCUUCCUCAGGGAGAACAGGAAGUAAGCCAGAACCGAGGGGAAAAUCAAGGAGGAGAGCAACUACCACCACCCCCACCCCUCGAAGACCUGGCACAGAUAAUCCACAACCAGACCCUUAUACUGGAAACACUGGCUAAUGCCCUCGUUAACCGGCAACCACGAGGGCAGAACAUGAAUGACAAGCUGACAGCUUUUUUGAGGACCAAGCCGCCCACCUUUGCCGGAUCCUGCAACCCUUUGGAUGCAGAUGACUGGUUACGAGUAAUCUAGAGGAAACUCGAACCGUUUGAAUGUCAGGACCGAGACAAAGUCCUUCUGGCAGCUCACCAACUCACCGGAACCGCAUUAGCCUAGUGGGAGAAUUAUUGUGCCGCAGUCGAGGAUGCCUCUACCAUCACUUGGGAGGAAUUCGUGAGGGAGUUCCGCCGUUAUCACAUCCCUUCGGCCACCAUGAAGCGCAAGGCGGAUGAGUUCCGCGCACUGCAGCAAGGAAGCAUGACGGUGGAAGAGUACACCCACCGGUUCAUGGAGUUAGCCCGAUAUGCACCGGAGGAAGUGAACGAUGAUGACAAGAAACAAGACAUGUUUAAGAAGGGACUAAACCCAGAACUCCGGACCUUGCUUACCCCUUAGAUCUAUCCUGACUUCAAUACCUUGAUGAACAAGGCUAUCCUUACGGAAAGGGCCAAAACCGAAGAGAGGAAGGAUAACAAACGCAAACUCCUGGAAAGUAAGGCCCGCCAGCAGGACCGUUUCCAAAAGCCAAGAAACUUCAGCUACACUGCACCAAGAUCUCAGGUCCCAAUGCAGUAUAGGACUCAGUCUCAAGUGAUGGGACCACGGGCCCCUAACACACAGCCUAGGAGCCAGAGUACCAUGAGGGCCCCGCAGAGCAAUGCAAGCCUGGUCGCCUGCGAGAACAACAGUGUUAAGGCCUGUUUUAACUGCCGUGAGACAGGGCAUUUCAUCGCCAAUUGCCCUUAUGCCAAGAAUAAGCCGGCUACAUCAGCCUUCUCCAACACGGUGAAUGGACCCAGACCAGCCCUGACCGGUGCCAACCGAGUACCCGUCCGCAACAACGACAACAGUCAGCAGAUGAAGCAGCCCCAGCAAUCAUUUGGAUGAGCCCGCGUCAAUCACAUCAACGCGCAGGAGGCUCAAGGAGCUCAGGGCGUAGUGCUCAGUUAGUACCUAGCCAACUCAGCUCUGGCAACAGUACUAUUUGAUUCUGGAGCAUCGCACUCGUUCAUAUCCUCAAGUUCUGUGGAAAAACACAAAAUACCCACAGUACUACUAAAAACACCUCUACUAACCCGGACGCCUGGAGGCGACAUCAAAUGUCAACUAGGCUGUCCACGGGUAAGGAUCAAUUUAAGUGGGGUAGAAUUUCUAGCAGACUUGGUAGUACUUAAGUAUGGGGGAAUAGACGUGAUCCUUGGAAUGGAUUGGUUAAGCUGACACAAUGGUCUCAUAGGCUGUACUGACAAAGUGGUACACCUAACAAACCCCGAAGGAGUACAAGUAAUCUGCCAUAUCCGGGAAAGCAAGUUUAACCCAAUGGUGUUUAGCAUGGAAGCCAUGCCCUCAGGGGGAGUCCCGGCAGUAAACGAAUACCCAGAUGUCUUCCCCGAAGAACUUCCCGGUAUGCCACCAGACAGGGAUAUAGAGUUCGUCAUUGACCUUAUCCCUGGAACCUCCCCUAUAGCCAAGAGACCCUAUAGGAUGGCAGCCUCUGAGUUGAUGGAAUUAAAGAAGCAACUAGAAGAACUGCAAUGAAUUGGCUUCAUCAGACCAAGCUCGUCGCCAUGGGGAGCCCCAGUUCUAUUUUGUCAAGAAGAAAGAUGGGAGUAUGAGGUUGUGUGUAGAUUACCGGGCACUGAAUGAGGUUACCAUUAAGAAUAAGUACCCCCUCCCCAGGAUUGAUCACCUUUUCGAUCAGCUAAAAGGAGCCAAGUACUUUUCCAAGAUCGAACUCAGGUCAGGAUAUUUUCAGCUCAAGAUUAGAGAAAGUGACAUCCCUAAGACAGCUUUUGUCACCCGUUACGGGCAGUUUGAGUUCGCCGUAAUGUCCUUCGGACUAACCAAUGCCCCUGCCUAUUUUAUGAACCUCAUGAAUAAAGUAUUCAUGGACGAGCUGAAUAAGUUUGUCGUAGUCUUUAUCGACGACAUACUUGUCUACUCCAAGAGUAUUCAGGAACAUGAGCAACACCUGCGGGUAGUAUUGGAAAAGCUGAGAAUACAUAGGCUAUAUGCCAAGUUUAGCAAGUGUGAAUUCUGGCUGGAGAGAGUAGCUUUCCUUGGUCACAUUUUGACCGUGGAAGGCGUAGUAGUGGACCCAGAGAAGGUCGAAGCAGUUUCCAAUUGGCAGCGACCGACUAAUGUUAGUGAAAUCAGAAGUUUUCUUGGAUUAACUGGGUACUAUCGGAGAUUUAUUGAGCGAUUCUCCAAGAUAGCCUGACCCAUGACGGAACUUCUUAAGAAGGAGAAGAAGUUCGCCUGGACGGAAUCUUGUGAAAGAAGUUUUCAAGAAUUAAAGCAAAGGUUGACAACCGCCCCAGUGCUGACCCUGCCGGACAUUCAUCGGGAUUUUGUCAUUUAUUGUGAUGCAUCCUGACAAGGAUUAGGAUGUGUGCUGAUGCAAGACGGAAAAGUCGUUGCAUAUGCUUCCCGCCAACUCAGGACUCACGAGUAGAACUAUCCGACCCAUGAUUUGGAACUUGCAGCCGUAGUGCAUGCCCUUAAGAUUUGGAGACAUUACUUGAUUGGAAAUAAGUGUGAGAUUUAUACCGACCAUAAGAGUCUGAAGUAUAUCUUCACCCAGCCGGAUUUGAACUUAAGGCAGAGAAGGUGGUUGGAGUUGGUUAAGGACUACAAUUUGGAAAUCCAUUAUCACCCCGGAAAGGCGAAUGUGGUAGCCGAUGCCUUAAGCCGGAAAUCCUAUGGACCCAAAAAUGACCAUCUACGCGAGGAAAUGGCACGAUUAAAUGUGCACAUUGUUCCUCGAGGUUCCAGCCAUGUGCUGAACAUCCAAUCAACACUAGAGGAUGGAAUUAGAGAGGCUCAACGCUCGGAUCAGGAGUUAAUAAGGAUCUGCAAACAAACUGGAGAAAACAAAGCACCGGGUUUCAGAGUGGACGAUAAGGGAACGUUGUGGUACGAGAAUAGGAUUUGUGUACCCCAGAAUGGAGACUUCCGGCGGAUAAUCAUGGAUGAAGCCCAUAACUCGGCCUACUCCAUCCACCCAGGAUCCACCAAAAUGUAUAUGGACAUAAGGCAAAAAUAUUGGUGGAAUGGAAUGAAGGCGGAUAUUGCACGAUUUGUGGCUCAUUGUGAUACUUGUCAAAGGAUCAAGGGCGAACAUCAAAAGCCAGCAGGAUUAUUGCAACCCCUACCCAUUCCGAUUUGGAAAUGGGAUGAGAUAGGAAUGGACUUUGUAGUGGGCCUACCUAGAACACAGAAGGUGCACGAUUCCAUAUGGUUAAUAGUAGACCGACUCACUAAAUCGGCUCAUUUCAUACCCGUACGAACUAAUUACGGUGGAGAAAAGCUGGCGAAGCUUUAUGUGGAAAACAUAGUAAAGUUACAUGGAGUGCCUAGCAGAAUUGUCUUAGAUAGAGGAACCCAAUUCACCUCUAGGUUUUGGAAAAGCUUGCAUCAAGCCAUGGGCACCAAGUUAGAUUUCAGCUCCGCAUAUCACCCACAGACGGAUGGUCAAACCGAAAGGGUAAAUUAGAUUAUGGAGGAUAUGCAAAGAGCAUGCGUUCUGACCUAUUGAAGUCAGGAUAGAUCUGAGGGGUAAGCAAGGUCCGGAGUUCUGGGUUUAGUCCCUUCUUGAACAUGUCUUGUUUCUUGUCAUCGUCGUUCACUUCCUCCGGUGCAUAUCGGGCUAACUCCAUGAACUGGUGGAUGUACUCUUCCACUGUCAUGCUUCCUUGCUGCAGUGCGCGGAACUCAUCCGCCUUGCGCUUCAUGGUGGCCGAAGGGAUGUGAUAACGGCGGAACUCCCUCACGAAUUCCUCCCAAGUGAUGGUAGAGGCAUCCUCGGCUGCGGCACAAUAAUUCUCCCACCAGGCUAAUGCGGUUCCGUUGAGUUGGUGGGCUGCCAGAAGGACUUUGUCUCGGUCCUGGCAUUCAAACGGUUCGAGUUUCCUCUGGAUUACUCAUAACCAGUCAUCUGCAUCCAAAGGGUUGCAGGAUCCGAUAAAGGUGGGCGGCUUGGUCCUUAGAAAAGCUGUCAGCUUGUCAUUCAUGUUCUGCCCUCGUGGUUGCCGGUUAACGAGGGCAUUGGCCAGUGUUUCCAGUAUAAGGGUCUGGUUGUGGAUUAUCUGUGCCAGGUCUCUGAGGGGUGGGGGUGGUGGUAGUUGCUCUCCUCCUUGAUUUUCCCCUCGGUUCUGGCUUACUUCCUGUUCUCCCUAAGGAAGAUCUUGUCCAACACGCUGUGCUCCGGCACCAGCGGCUGCGGGGUUCCGGCUACGGGAGGCCCUCGUGACGUUCCAGGGAGCCACCUGUUGAUUGGGUAGAUUGGGGUUACGAUUACGUGAUGUUUAAGUUGUUUAAUUCGUAUAUAAGGCAGAAUCUACCUCCUGCCGGUAGUCACACAAACAAACAGCACACAACAAACCAGCAUACAACAUCACAAACAACAAGCACAAACAACUUCAUUACUGCAUGGAGGUAGAGCUUGGGCAUAAAACCAGAUCUCGUACUACUCGUCCGGGGUCAUGCCUAAGGGCACGACUUAAGCAAAAGAGGCUGGGGGGGGGUACAUCACUAGGGCGGCGUCGGUUAUUUUACUCGCGGGGCGUGCCUUCUUCCGGGGCGGGGAGUGUGAGUAAUCCUAGCUCGCUGCUCUUUGGAUUUCCAUUUGCCAAGGGUUGUGCAGCACCAUCUCUUUCAACGGCGGUAGCAGAACUUUCAGGGUUCUCGGAUGGGGCUUGUGAAUUUCCAAGAAGUGGUCCCCAUCCUAUGACGGGUGUCCCGAGUAAAACAUGGUCUUCUCCAAUUGCCGGGACUGGUGUUCCACUUCGGGUCCAUUCUUGCAUACGUCGGUCUCGGGCCUGCCUAAGGCUCUCUUGGGCGACUGCUUCGAUGCUGACCGCGGCUGCGGCCCUUGCCUCGGCUUGGGUGGUUCGAAUCUGCUGCAGUCUUACUGCGAGCUCUGCUUGCUCAGCUCGAUGGGUCUGCUCUCUCAGAAGGUUGGCUUGCUCAUCAAAGAGUUGGUCCAAUGCGGCUAGAUAAGUAGCCACUUGGUACAGAGGGCCUUCUUCAUGGCGACGUCGUUCCAGACUUCUCAUGCGUGCUUCCCAAACUGGGGUUCUGAAGGCCGGCGCGAAGAACCUCACUGGCGUGGGGGCGAGGUGUCUUUCAAAAAUCCAGCAUAAAUAACGGAGUGCUUUUCUGAUGGUCAAGGGGUAGGUGUCCUGGUGCCUAAACCCUGUGGCAGUCACUCGCCAUGGCUGGAUGUCGGGGUAGCGGUUGCUCCUGGCGAUGACCAAGAUCACCCUGCAGCGGAGGGUACCAUGGUGUUCGUACUCUCUGCUGUAGUACCUUGGGCGUUCCGUAACGCCAAGGCUUUCCAGGGUGUUGAUCAAAAGGCUGGGAAAGCCAGGUGCAGCUUGGCAAUUGCCCUGGGUCCAUCCUUCCUCAGCCAUCUGAAACAAGGACAGGGUAAACAAUCUUGCACAGGUACAAAAGGGAGUAGGUAACAUUUAUUAUUGCAACAUGGGGGGUACCGUUUCCAUGGAUACAUGGUUAUUAGGGUAGGGUUCUAGCUUGGAGUGCUACUCCUAUCAUGGGGAUUCUUCCCCAAUUCUGACAGGGCGCUUCUUUAUUGGGAGGCACCGAUCCAUCACCUCGUCUUCGGUCUGAGUACUUUUAUCCCAAUGGGUUUCCUCGGGUUCCUCUUCUUCCUCUAUCCAUCCACUUAUUUCUCUAUGGUUUUCGUAUUCCUGCAUCUGGGCUUGGAGGGCGGCUAAGGAAUACUCAGCGCGUGCGGCUCUUAUCUAUUGUUCUUCCAGUUCCUGGGUUGCCUUUUCUGCCCUAUGGAUUAGCUGCUUCAGCUGUGCCGCCUGUUCGCGGUAGAGUUCAUCCAAGCCGGUAAGGUAGAUGGAUAGGUGGGAGACCGUAUCUUCUAGGUCUUCUUCUUCUCUUCCGAGUCUUCUCAUCCGGGCGAUCCAAGUGCGUCCUCUUCCUCCAGUAGGUGGGAAAAAUCCCAUAGGAGUCCGCUGAAGGUGGUGCUUGUAGAUCACACGCAGUCGUCGCAGGGCUUUACAGGCAGCCUUUCGGUAGGUGUUAGGGAAGCGAAAUCCAGAGGUGGAGAUGAACUAGGGGUCCACAUCAGGGUAGCGGGUGCUUUUUCCCACAAAGACCAUCAUGUCGCACCGAAGGGUGCCCUUGGAGGAGUAUUCUCGGUAGGCAUACUCUGGUGGUUCCAUAACUCCGAUGCGUUCCAGGAUGAGUAUUAAUAACUUAGGAAGGUCGGGCUCUGCGUGGCAGAUUUCGUCAACCCAUCCAUUGUCAGCCAUCUGGAACAGGACAAGAACCAGUGGUGAGUGUUUGCGCAGGAAAAGAGCUAAGUCAGAAUAAGUCCUAGGGCCUGUAAAAGGGUCUCGUUUCUAGGGUCACGUCCUACGGCCAGCCUACGGCUCUGAUACCACCUGAAGCGUCCCCCCAUAAGGGAAGACUUAAAAGUGAUGCUUUAUCAGUCCCAGGAGGCUGAUAACACUUUUAUUACAUCAGAUGGUACAUCACCGUACAACUCUACGCGGUAAUGGGCAGUGAAGCGCCACUAUCGCUAGGAUUACAACUAAAACCCACACUACUACACUAGCUAUGAAAAGAGGGUCAUCAGAGUCUUGUGCCAUGCGGAACUCCAGCGGUGGCCCUAACCACAGGCAAGACUGGGUGCAGGACGAAACCCUACUCGACGUCUUCGGGGAGGUAGUCUGGGUCUUCUGCUGUAAAAAGUAAGAGUGGGGUGAGUACAAACGUACUCAGCAAGUCCAAUCACACCCACGGGGGGGGUAUAAUAGAAAUCAAUGCACAGGACAGUCCAAGGAUAAAGUUAGGGUUCUUUUGCGGAAAACUCGGUUGUAUACAAAGGUUCGUUUAAAAACAUUUUUCAAAACAAGUUUUUAAGUACCAAGGAGCACAUGAUAUUGAUCCACACAGGAUCCAAAUUUUAAGCUGCUACCGGACACCCGUCCGCCGUAGCACACGGCACAACUGCCGGACACUUUCCAAACAACUCACACCAGUCCAACCAUUCCCAGAGAGAAACACUAGUUAUGUGACCACACCGUAACAUGCCCAAUACAGUGGGCACGGCUAUUCGAAUAGAUUUUAACUCUGCAGAGGUGUGCAACUUUACCCACAGGUGGGGUACCACAGCACGAUCACCUUAGUGUCGGUGCAGAUCCCAACAAAGCCAUUACCCACCUUAGCUAGACCUGACUAGCCACCACGGGAUCCAUCAAGGGGUCAUUCGACCUAUCUCCGAGGUUUAACCGGGGCAUAAGUCACACAAGGCUUAUCCCUUCUCCUUGAUCACCCGUUGCUCUCAGCUCUCCUGAUGGCUAUCAGACUAACUAGUGGGGUUUAUGCUAAGCCGUUGCCCAUACAACGGUCAAGUGGUUUGCACGACAGGAAGCUAGGUGAGAUGACACAUCAACUCGGACCUUAGGGGUGACAAGAUGGAUAUCUCCCUUCCUUGCCCUGCCACACAGGCACGAGCACUCCAAUCGGCAAAUCACACAGAAAUGCCAUCCAUCCCGUCUAAACCCAUCUUUCAAAAUUCCAAAUUUAUCCCUCCCACACACGCACACAUUUUCUUUAUAAAACCAGGUGGUCAAGGAAUGGUUAUCACAAAUCAAGGGGUGGCUAUCCUACCAUGUUUUCAGCAAACAAAACACAUGCAAUUUUAUAAAACAGGCCAAUGGGUUGUGUUGAUAAAAACUAGGACAGAAACAUGCAUCAAAGGGCGGGAUUGAACUUGCCAUCAUCAAAUCCUUGCGGGAGGUCCUGAUCGAAGCACUGUCCCUCAGGUUCGGGGUCGCAGAACUGGUCCUCGUUCGCUUGAUCACAGUUGGGGCCUUCCUCGUUCACUUCGUGUCCUACGACGCAAACAAACAGGUACCCAAUCAAUUGAACGAACUAAAAGCUUUUAUCGUUGAGUUCGAGUCGGAAACAGAUUAGUUAUGGAGAUAGGGACAAUAUUUUUGGGUGGUUUCCUGAUGGCAUGGUCGAAACCAUAGUAAAAAGGGCGUGGUAAAGUUUCGGGUCAAUCGGAGAUCGUUUGGUACAUAAAAUGAUAAGUUAACGGGGUGUUAGGGUCUAAACAAGGGUCUAGGGACUUGUUUGUAAUUACUGAAAAGGACUCGUUUGGAAUUUCGGGGAAGGUUUGGGUUAUCCUGGAAAAAGAUAAGGGUGUGUUUAUAUGGGUGAGGGUUUAUUUGCAAUUAGGAAUGUUGAAGGGGUUUCUUUGGGAAAAGGCUAAAGAGGGGUGGGGGUUCCUUAAAGAAUAGGGGAAAGGACAGGGGGCUUUGGGCAAAUCUGCCCUCCUUCUUCCCCCUCUCGUUGACAGGAAACAGAGGAGGGGGGGGCUCCUGCGCCGGCCUAUUCCGGCGGCCUAGGGCGCGGCGGCAGCCGGGGGUAGGGGCAAAAGAGAGAGGGGGGCAAGGGGAUUCCAUCCCCUUUCUCACCUCGAGCUAGGGUGGAGCGUGGAGGACGGGCCACUGCAGCCAUCGGGCGGCGACAGGGCCGUGGGCGGUGGCGGCGCUGAGGGCUUGGGGAGGGGGCGCGCAGUGGCGAGGGCGGUGGUGGUGGCCGGGAGCUGCGCGAAGGCCCUACUUAUAGGCCGGGGAAGGCGGUGGAGGGGGGUGGCCGUGACGGUGGCCGGUGCGGAGCGCCAUUAAUGGCGCUUCGGCCGUUUGUUUGCGUCGCAUUGUGGCGUGCGGUGAUGGUCAGGCGCAGGGUAGGCGGCGCUGUGCGGCUUGUCGACGGGGGGCGCGGGGAGCAGUGCCGCUCGUGUCACGCGUGGGCGCGCACGUGGCCCUGCGGGAGCCCGGGCGCUGAGGCGGCGAGCGGGAUGCGGUGCGCGGCCGUCCUGUCGACGAGCGGCACGGCGGGGGGUGCGGCACGCGGUGCACGUGGGGCGAGCGCGUGCGCGCGCGGCACGGCAGAGAAUGGUGAGCGGCGCGUCGGGGCGUGCGCGAGGGAAGGGGGCGACGUGGCUCGGAAGCCGGAGGCCGGGCGGCGUGGCCGUGUGGCGUUCAGGAGCAGAGGAAGGAGAGAGGAGAAGGGAGGAGAAGGGAGGAGAAGGGAGGAGGAGGGAAAAGGAAGGAUAAAAGAAAAGGGAGGGAAAGAAAAGGAAAAAGAAAAGGGGAGGAAAAGAAAAGGAAAAGAAGAAAUGGUGGAAGGAAAAAGGGAAAGAGAGAAAGGGAGAAAAAGGGGGUGACGCGCGCCGGCGAUAUUCGCGGCGGCGAUCGCGGCUUGUCGGCCACGCGCGCGUGACAUUCGCACACUGCGCGAGGAGAAAAGGGGGGGCGUGACAGCGGUCGGAUUCGGGUGUCGGUUCGGGGUUCCGGGGAAUUAGGGCUUCGACAAAAAGGUUUCUGAAAAAGAUAUUCUUAGCGUAUGAUUUCUUUGGUAAAUUUUUCCGGGAUGUCACAGCUACUUAUAGCGGCCGCGGUUCUUGCUUCGUCUUGAGCCACCUAGAUUUGGUGCAUCCUCACUGCAAGCUCUGCUUGCUCGGCCCGGUGGGUUUGCUCCCUUAGGAAUCGGGCUUGCUCGUCGAAGAGCUUGUCCAAGGAGACGAGGUAGGCAACCACAUGGUACAAAAGGUCUUCUUGAUGGCGGCGCCAUUCCAAGUUCCUCAUGCGGGCCUGCCAGACUUGCGUCCUGAUGGCUGGGGGAAAAAUCCUCAUCGGUGUGGGAAUAAGGUGUUCCUCGAAGAUCCGGCACAGGUAGCAGAGAGCCUUUCUGAUGGCCAAGGGAUAGGCAUCCCGAUGUUGAAAUCCUCUGGCAGUCACUCGCCACGGCUCGAUGUUGGGGUAGCGGGUGCUUCUAGCUAUGGAAAGAACCACCCUACAGCGAAGAGUGACGAGGUGCUCGUACUCUCUGCUGUAGUACCUUGGGCGCUCAGUAACACCGAGGCACUCCAGGGAGUUGAUCAAAAGGCGGGGGAAACCAGGCUCUUCUUGGCAAACGCCCUGGGUCCAACCAUUCUCAGCCAGCUAAAAACAAAGGUAGAGUGAACAAGCCUUGCACACAUGGUAGGGUACAAAAAGGAUAGACUGUCUUUAUUUUUCAACAGGUCAGGUACAUCUCCCAAGGAUACAUUAUUACUAGGAUGAUAGCUCUAGCUUAGGUAAUCUACUCUUCCCAAGGGGAUUCUUCCUCGAUGGCACUUCUUUGGUGGAAGACAUUGCUCCAAUACCUCAUCUUCGGUCUGAGUGCCCUUAUCCCAAUGGGUUUCUUCGGGUUCUCCUUCCAGUAAUCCAGCUACUCUUCUGCGUGCCUCAAUACGUUCCCUUUCUCGAGCAUUGCUUCGCCAUAUGUCUUGGAGAGAGGCUAGGGAAUUCUCAGCUUGCAUGUGCCUCAGCUUCUAUUAUUUUCCUCCAUUGUAUUUCCAACUCUUGUUCUGCCUUUUCUGCCCUGAAGAUUUGGUGCUUGAGCUGUUUUGACUGUUCGCGGUAAAGUUGGUCUAGGCCGGUGAGGUAAAUGGACAGGUGGAAAACCGUAUCUUCUAGUUCUUCUUCCCUUCCCAAUCCUCUCAUCCGGGCAAUCCAUGAGCUUCCUCUUCCUCCAGCAAGUGGGAAAAAUCCCAUAGGAGUUCGCUGAAGAUGAUGCUUAUAGACCACGCGUAGACAUCGCAAGGCUUUUCGGGCAGCCUUUCGGUAGGUGUCUGGGAACCCAAAGCUGGUGGUAGAGAUGAACCAGGGAUCCACGUCGGGGUAGAGUGUGCUUUUUCCCACGAAGAUCAUCAGGUCACACCGAAGGGUGCCUCUGAAGUUGUACUCCCGGUAGGUGUACUCCGAUGGGUCCACAACUCCGACGCGUUCCAAGCUGAAUAACAAUAACUUAGGGAAACCAGGCUCUGCGGGGCAGAUUCCAUCACUCCAUCCAUUGUCAGCCAUCUGGAACCAGACAAGGACCAAAGGUAAGUGCCGUGUGGAAAGGUGAGUUAAGUGGGGAAAGAUCUAGUGGGAAAUAGCUUAGAAAAUGUCCUCGGCCCUAAGGGUCGCGUCCUACUGCCAACCUACGGCUUUGAUACCACUUGAAGCAUUCCCUCAUCAGAGGGGACUAAAUAUGAUACAAAUACCAGUUCCAGGAGGCUGAUAACAUAUUUAUUACAUUAGAUGGUUCAUUACCGUACAAACCGUCGAGGUAGCGGGCACUGAAGCACGACUAUCACGAGGGACAACAUAAGGACUAAAAGCCAAACUAAAGUGCCAACGAAAUAUAAGAUAACAUCAGAGUCUUGCGCCAUGGUAAGCUUCCUGUGGAGACCCUGAACCAUAAGCAAGGUUGAGUGCAGGACGUCGACCUACUUGACGUCUUCAGGAAUGAAGUUCGGAUCCUCCUCUGUAAAAACUAAGCAAGAAUGAAUACAUAUGUACUCAACAAGUCCAACCACACCCACGGAGGGGGAUAAUAAAGAUCAUGCACAGGAUAUAUCAAGGAUAAGGCUAGGGUUCAUUUGCGAUAAAGCAAGGUUUGACACAUGUAAGGGUUCAUUUAAUAAAAGAGUUUUCUCAAAAUAUUUCUAUAGUAACUGAAUGAUAAGUGGGGUUGAUCCUACACAAAGGAUCCAAGUUUUAAUGCUAUCGGACUCCCCAUCCAUAGUAGCUCAUGGCACAACUGCUGAACACUUUCAAAACAACUCACGCCACAAAACCAACCAUCCCAAAAUGUCUAUUGAAGUGACCAUGCCGUAACUCGUCCAAUACCAUGGACACGGCUAUUCGAAUAGAUUUUACACUCUUCAGAGAUUGUACACUUUAUCCACAAGUAGGGUACCGCACUAUGAACACCUUAGUGUCUCUGCGGAUCCUAACAAAACCAUUACCCACCUUAGCUGAAUCUAACUAGCCAACACGGAAGCUACCAUGGGGUUAAUGACCUAUCAACAAAGUCAUAACCGGGACAUAACUCACACAGAUUGUAUUCCUUCUCCAUGAUCUCCCGUUGCUCACCAGCUCUCCUUUUGGCUAGCAGAACAACUAGUGGGGUUUAUGCUAAGCCGUUGCCCACACAACGGUCGAGUGGUUGUACGAUAAGUGGGUUAGGCAAGAUGACACCUCAGUUCAUCCUUAUAUUGACAAGAUGGACAUCUCCUAACCAUGCUCAACCACAAAGGUACAAGCUCACCAGUGGCAUUUCACACAGGAAAUACCGUCCAUCUCGUCAGGUUAUAUCUUUCUUUUAUUUUCCCGAAAUACCAUUUUAUCUUUUAAAAUACUCACACCUUUAUUUUUGACAAAGCGCGUUGUGGUCAUGAUUAAAAUAUAAUAAAGGGAAUAAAAGGUCCUAAGCAUCUCUAGCAGUAGUUAAUGUCCAACAAAGCAAAUCCUAUAUGGACAUUAACCUAGGUCAUCAUGGAAUAGUCAUAGCAAUCAAGGGGUGGCUAUCCAACCAUGUCUUGCAAUAAAACAAUGCAUUUUAUAAAACAGGCCAAUAGGUUGUGUUUAUAAAACUGGGAUAAAUAUGCAUCAAAGCAUGGGAUUGGACAUGCCAUCCUCAAAGCCUUCCUGAAGCUCCUUCUCGAGGUACGGGUCUUCGGGCUCCGGCUCGUGGAACUGCUCCUCCUUGGCCACACCGUCGGCUACGAUACACAAACAAUCACACAAUAAAAACAAAGUUCGCUGAUGAGCUUAAAAAAGAGAGAGAGAAAUAGAGAGCUUUGAUAAAAUAAUAGAGAAGACUAUUAUAUUUGUCGGAUGUGGAUCCUGAGACUUGGAGAAAAUAUUUGGAGAUGAUGCGUGGUGGAGUUUGGAAUCGAUUCGGAACAAAAUGUCGCAUGAACUGAUGAGUUAAAGGUCAUUUAGGGAGUAGUUUAAAAGGAUGAGGACCUAUUUGUAAUGAAACAAAGAGAUAGAAGGAGCUCUGAUUAAAUAUUUAAGAGAAGGAGGUGGAGGGCUGCGGACUGCAUAAAAAGGAAAAGUGGAGGGGGUUAUGCACAAGUCUGCCAUUCUUUUUCCUCAAGACAGAACAGGAGGGGGAGGGGAACGGUAGGAUGUGGGGGGCGGCCAGGCCAUGGGCGCCGGCCCCCUGGUGCAUGCGACGCCCGGGGAGGAGGGGAAAACGGAGAGGAGGCAGAGGGGGUCCGAUUCCGGCCCUCACCUCGUGCGGAGACUGUGGCAGAACCAACCUGAAUUACACCGACUCAAGUAUAUAAGUCCUCUCUCAAGGGCUCCAAUCGUACUUCAAACGGUGUAACCCCUUGGCCUGUCGGGUAACGUUCCGAUAAACCACCGAAUGCAGGAUCAAACAAGGUACCUCGCACGAAGGCGAGUCCAGAGAUACAAUCACCGUCAUAUUUUACAUCACAGGCAUUUAUAUUACACAAGUUCUCAAAAGUAAUAUCAGUUCUGAACUGAUAGGAUUUAUUACAAACCGGUUCAAGAUUUCAAGUUUACGGCAGUGGAAUGUAAAACACAACCACUGUACACGUCGCCAGUACAGAUAUCAUGCUAAGCCCUGGCAUGAUAUCACUCGGUAUGAUUGGUGUUGGCCGGGGACGGAUCCCAUUCCACAGACCAACCAUCGGGCAGAGCAUAAGGCCAUGGCACAGGCAGGGUAGAGUCCUCAGGGAGAUUACCUGGACAAAAGUCACAAUGCAAGACUGAGUAUUCUAAUACUCAGCAAGGCUUACCUGUUUCAUGGUAUACUUAGCCAAGUAACUAGACUUAUGAAGGCUUUAGUGGUUCAGGGUAGAGUUUUCAGCUGAAAAGCAACAAAGAAUAGAUCCUUAAUUUCAAAUUUUAGCUUUCAAGUUCUACGUGAUUAUCCAUUCUAGGUAAGCAACUAUGACUAUUCAAGCAAGGUAGAAUCUUUAGUCAAACAUCAUCUUUGAUAAUCAUAAAGUUGCUCUUGUUACUCUAUGUGGCAAAGGGAUCAAACAGUCUCAAUCUCCGCAAGAAAUGGACGAUUCCUUAAUCGAAUUUCAGCCUUGCAAGGGUAAACCUAACUCACACGCUGGGAACAUCCAGAGAUCGUCCCGAAGCAACCGUUUGCCUUUCAUUCCGACUCGUGGAUCAGAUCCACCACAAGCGACUGUAGGACCAUACGCACAUCCAAUAUGCAGGACGUAUGUCUGUAGCACGACUACAUGACCAUACUCCUGUCCGCCUGUGUGAAACGUACGCCUACAGUGUGCGUGACUGUAGGACGUACUCACAUCCACUGUGGAAUGUACUCCCGCACGUCGGUGCAUGUGCGAAAAACCAAAUUACGAGUGGUGGGAGGUAUGUCCACUCCUCGGGCCGAUUGGUUACUAGGCUUACCGCUUACCAUAUUUCGCGGCAUGUGGCUAGUACUUUCAAACACUUAACCACCGCUACCACACACUGCGACCUUAGCCAAAUUCAUCAACACAGACGGGGUAUCAUCUCAACCAUGAUACCUCACAUAAAUCCCGUCUGUCAUCCUUAUAGUGAUUACAGGAAUGUAAAUAUUGCAACUCCUAUAUCGCGCGAGUGAUAGAAAAUCACCCGACUUCUACCAGUCCUAUUAAUAGAGCAUCUAUGCGAUAAGGACUCAGGCACAAUACAUAGGUUUCUAGGAUUCAAUGCAUCUAGGGUUCCAUUUCAUCUCCUAGACUUAAUGCAAGAUAUAAUAUAUAAGUAUAGGAUUGCAUAAUGUAGUAAUUUGAAAUACUGGGUUAUGCACCGGGGCUUGCCUUCGUUAGGGGGGCUGGGGGCAGGAGUGUCAAAGUUUUCUGAACUUUGGUUCGGAGCUUCAGUUAGAUUUCCGACGACGUUCCCGGGGUCUUCAAAAAUUUCCACUUCUUGUUCCGGGAUCAGUUCGUAGUCUCCGUCGGCGAGAGUAGUUGAGUCUAUAUGAUAUGCAAAGAUAUAGUUUAAGAGAUGCAUAUACUUUCAUUUUAGUUCACAAUAAAGUUGCAAUCCAAUGAAAAGACAGUUCACUCACCAAACAUAUCAUUUAUUUUUUUACCGGGCAGUCAUUUAUCGAGUAUAAACUAACCUAGUUAGCUAUAUUAGACAACAUAUUUUAUUUUUACAGAAUAAACUACUAUAGCAUUGGGGUCGAAACUUUUAUUAACUACAAAUAAAGCUAAGUCUAAAUUUAUCAAUAUUUUAUCUUCAUAGAAAUUAUGCUACAAGAAUAAAUAAUAACAGUACUAACAUAUUAGGAAUUAUUUAUAACUGUUGGUAUACACAAGAUUUUGUUUAUGGAUCUUUGUGAAUAUGUUACACUACUCAAGAGCAACACCUCAAAGUAUUUUCGUAAUUUUUCAUGAACUAGGAUCUAGCACAAAUUAAUUAACCCUAGAAAUGCACUACUGACUCUAAAAUUUUUAUCAUGGAUUAUAUUCUACUAGCAGAAACCACUAUAAAAGAUUUAUUCAUAAACUCUAAUGGGUUUAUUCUAGAAUAAAUGCUAGAGAUUUCAAGCAACAUAUCACAAAGAUAUUUAAAUUCUUUAGCUACGGAUCAGCACUAGACCUAUAAUUUUUACACAAAACCAUACAUGGUAAUUAGAACUUAGGGUCCAAAGAUUGCACAUAGCACAGCUAAGGAUCAUCAUAUACAAUUAAAGAACUCAAUUAUUCAUAUUUAAUCUAGAGCAAAAUAUACUGAGAUUCAGCCUAAGAACAUAAAAUAAAACUUGUAGGUUUUGACUAACAUAACCCAGAACAGUUGAGUUUGCUAUUUUAGGAUUUUUCUACUAAUUUCUAGGAAUUUUCAAAGUUCACUGAAACAGAUUUGAAAGGCUCAGACUAUUUUGCAGAAAGGACCCUAGAACUUUUUGAAUCAAAGCAAUGUAGUCCUUGGCCGGAGGGGAACAAGGAACAGGGAGAAGGAUGGUGGUGUUCCGGCGCAAUGACUCACGGGCGGUGAGGUCCAAAGGGUGGAGUAGCUUUAGGAGGUCGAGGCGGGCUUAGGGGUAGCCUUGGGGAGGAAGGGGAAGGGCCGGAGAGGGGUUCACCACGGCGGCCGAGGCGGCGGCGGAGAGAAGAUCAACGACUGCGGUGCUCCGGCGAUCAACGUCGGUGAAGGACCUGCGCGUGAGCUUCAGUGAGCCAUGGGGAAUGUACUGGUGCAGUCAAUUGGGAGCAAAAACCACGGGAUAGGGACGACCGGUGGAGGCAGUGAUGAGGGCGGCGGAGGAAGACGCCGGCGAGCGUCGGGAAGCCUGUGUGGUGCACUAGGGAACCGAUUGAAGGGUCGUAAAGCUUCAUGGGGUCGAAAGGAAGCUAGCUGAGGGGUUGUCGUGGUGCGGGGAGGCUUGGAGUGGGCUGCCCACGGCGAGCAGGAGUCGCCGGAGUGGAGGAAGGGGACGGCGGUGGUGUUUGGACUCGGGGUGCGCACGGCAAGGGAAAAGAGGUGGAAAUGGGUCAAGUGUCGUCUACUGGUACUACUGGGCAGAAGAGAGAGGGAAGAGGGGUAGACGCGGGUGCGGGACAUGGCGGCGACGAUGUGGCAGCCGGCGGAAGCUCGGGUGGUCAUGGCGCGCGCGGAAAAGGACAGCAGGGGAGGGCUAGGGCGGCGGCCGACGUCCAAGUGACGCGUGGGGAGGGUGGAAGCAGGAGGUGGAGCGGCAGCGGACAGCACAGCGGCGGCCGGGGGAGAUGUACUGCGCUGGCGGUAGAGGAGGCAGAGCAGAGCAGGGCGUGCCAGAGGAAGAAGGGAGGGGGGUCCGAGGGGUCUUAUUGAGAUUUUCAAAAAUCUCAGGGAUCCUUCUGAAAAGUAAAAUUUCCCGUUGCUCCAAAACCCUAAUGAGGAAAUGCCCAAAAUAGAAGUUGGAGAGUUUUUCAAACCCUACAACAUUGCUUUAGGGUUCAAGUUCAAAAACCCAAAGUACACAGCUUUUAAUUUUAAAUUUUGAAUAAAAGUUGUAUUUAAAUAAGUUUUGUCCUUACUGAGGUAGAUUUGAUGCAGUUUUGGACAUAAUUGCAAGUUUUCAUGCAAUGUCAUGAUGACUUGCAUUCUUACAUUUUGAUCCUAAGUAAACUUUGAAAGUUACUUUUAUACUUCAAUUAUUUUGCAUAAAAGGACCCAUACUUUUGCAUUAAUCACAUCUAAGUCCUUAUUUUCACAUAAACACCCAAUUUUCAUAUAAUUCAACAUAUCUAUUACAAUUUCUUUCCUAAUGUGAUACAAAUUUGACAUCUAGGAUGUCACAUUCUUCCUAUGCUUUUUAUUUUACCCCCCAUUCUUACCCAUUUAACACUAAAGAGCCUAUAUUUUAUAGAAUUACAAUAAUACCCUUUUUCCCUUUGCACUUAAAUCUGAACACACAUACACAAGAUCAAACGUGCACACUUUACACUAAGAUCUAGUGUUUAUAAUUCUAAAUACCUGAAUGUCACAGAGACAGUCUACGGGGGGCUGUCCACGGAGAUGGGUGGUGGCCGGCAAUGGUGAGCGGCGGCGGCAAGCUGCAGCGUGAGGUAGAGGAGGGGAGGUGCUGGGGCGGCGUGGGCGGAGUGAGGGGCGGCUCGGGGGCUGAUUUAUAGGUCGAGAGGGAGAGGGGAGAUGGCCGGCAUGGGAGGGUCACGGGCAGUACAGGAACCUCACCAUUAAUGGCGGCCGGGAUGCUCGGGGACAAGGCGCAAGCUGCGAGGGUGAGGGGACGGGAUGGAGACGGGCCGGCGCAGUAGCAGGUCACACGCCGGCUUGGCGUGCACGGGCAGCAAGCAUGCAGCGGCACAGCGAGCAGCAGCGGCCGCGGCGGCCGUGGCGUGACGCGGGCGGCACGAUGCGAGCGCGUGUGCACAGCCAGCAAUGGGGGCAGCGGCGAGUCGUGCGCUGGCCCGUGCGUGCGCGCAAGGAGCGGGCUACAGCUCGAGCAGGCAGCAUAGGGAAGAAAAAGAAAGAGGAAGCUAACGCCAGGGGAAAAAGAGAAAGGAGAAGAGAAAGAAAAGGAAGGAAGGGAAAAAAGAGUAUGGGAAAAAAUGGAUUUGAAGAAUAUGAAUUGGAAGAGAGAAAUAAAAUGGAUUGGAACAAAUAUGAGAAAAGAAAAGAGGGGACACGCGCGCGGCACUGACUGUCGCAGCCGGGCAGGCGCACGCGGCCGACCGCGACACGAUGGUGAUGCGACGGGACGGCGGGGCCGGUGGAAAAGGAAAAGGGACGGGCGGCUCCACGGAAAAAGAGGAAGAGACUGCGAGAUGUCGGGAUGGCCGAAAAUCAGGAGGUGGGCUUCGGGAGCUCGAGCCGCGGAAAAGGUUUAAAAGUUUUUUAAGCAAGUGAUUGGUAAUGCAAUUUAAAAAAGAUAAAAACGCGUGCAUUACAGGAACUAGCAUCACCCCUCCGAGUGUGAGUCGGAGCAACAAGCUGAUUUCUUAUGCACCAUCAUCGGCUAUCUCAUCAAUCAGCUUCUCCGCACCUUCCCUCAAGGAUGUUGCUACAGGCAAAGUUUAAGCAGAAGACCAUCAUCAAGAGAAUAUCUCGCAAAAAACGCACUCUUGAUCCAUCAGACGCGUCGGACGAGCAGGAAAGAGAAAAGGUUUUAAAAGCAACAUCACUUGCAGAAAAUGCAUUCCAAGUCUCAAUUAUCCUUUUCCGAACAUGUGUUCAUACUCACAUCUUUCAAGCUAACCCUUUGUCUCUGCAGGCCUUAUUGGGAGAGAAUCCAACUCCUCCGAUUGAAAUGGCGCAAGAUCAGCCGAUUGAACGCUCAGCAUAGGUAGGAACACUUCUACAGGUAGUUCUAAAUCCCCAAGCAGACUUAGCUGAAAACAUGCUAACUCAACCGGAAUCGGCUGAAACGACUCAAGGCCAACUUUCUAAGUCAAUCACUUAAAAGGAUUUCAGAAAAUGAAGCAGCAAUCAACCCAGCGCAAAACACCCAAGUCAUCAUAUUGGAUUCAUCGGCAACCACCUCCGAUCCAACAAACACGUCAGCUCUCCAGGUAUGAUAUUUCAUCAGUACUUCCGAUUUUCCAACCCUUUAUUCUGCUCUCUGAUUAUAAAUUCUUUUCCAGGAUACUUCUUCCAAUAUCCAAUCAGCUGCAAUCCAAGAGUCCAACGUUCUAGCUCCUCUGAUUAACACAAACCCUGAAGUGCCUCAUGAAGCAGAAACAAAUCGUCAAGCACUUCCUCUGACGGGAAUCAUGAUGCCUACACCUUUCGACGAAAUCAGAUUGAAAAUGGUGAGACUCAGUGUCAGCCAAUUUUUUUCUCAUAACUGAUCUCUUUUCCUUGGCUCAUCAACUAAGUAUUAUUUUUGUUGGCUCAGGAUACCCCAGACAAUAGCCUCUUCUCAUUCAAAAUCAGAGAGCCACCUGAAGAAGAUGAUGCUUAGUCAACUCUUCUUGCACUUAGUGAGCUUCCUGAGGAUGCCAAGGCAAAGCUCCAGACUAUGCUCACUCUCCUUGAUCAAAACAUCGAUCAACUGGUGCAAGAUGCUGGGCUGAUUCGGGACCUGUUCCUCAGAAUCAGGGGUCAUCUCCCAGAAACGGCCGUAGAGGCCCUCAUCCCUGUAGCCUAUAUCGAGAGCCAACAGUUUGAGGUUUUGAAAGCCAAGCAACGGCUAGCCGAUCGAUCUCGUCAAGAGUAAAUGGCCAAGGAAAAAGAGUCUCAUGUAGCUCGUGUUGAAGAUCUCCGCAGAAGAAUUGACACACUACGCUGCUCUCAUCCUACCAUAGUAGGAGAAAUCGAUCAGCUCAAGGCUAGAAAAGCGGAUCUGAUGAAGGAGCUCAGAUUAAUUGGAGAUGCCAUCACUGCAGAAGAAACAAAACUUGCCUAGCUCCUGAAUGCCAUUGAUAGACUUCAACAAGAGAAAUUGCAAUAUGCUCAACAAGCCAAUCGGUUCCACAAGAAUAUGCAACCGACUCCUGGAUCUGCCGAUGCCGACCUCAAGAAUAUAGAGGAUGCCGGUCAAAUUUGUUUGCGUGCGAUAGAUACAAUCUGCGGCCUCUUAAACUUGUAAUUUUAAAACUUUCUUGUGCCGUGCCCAUCGAGGCAGAAUCGCAUGGCUGUAAAUACUCUGACCAUGUCCAACGUCUACAUUUGGCCGAUUCCUUGAACGGCUAUCUACUUUUUCUAUUUAUAGUGCUUUUGACCGAACGUUGGCAUUUGGAACGGUCAUUUUGGAUUGAACGUUACUCAUCCAUCAGAUCUCUUCUAUAAAUAUGUGCAUCCAUUCUCUUCCAAACGGCAAGCAUAGAACACAACAACCCCUCCAUUUUUCUUCGGCAAACAAAUCCGGAAGAACACCAAAUCAAGCCAUGGUGUGAUCCUCCUCCUUGGUUAAUUAGGUGAGGGUCACCAGCUUAUCUUUACUUCACCGAUUUCAUCAUUAUUUUACAUUUUCUUUUUCUUCUGUAGCCUCCAAACCCAACAACUAAUAAUCUUGAAGCAAUACUCCAAAUCCUCCAAUCCAAUGAGAGGCUUUCUUAGGCUAACAAAGAUUUGAUCCAGGCUAACAUUGAACAAGUCAAAGACUUCAUCACCACCAGAUUUGACUCCAAUCCUGGCUUCGAUCAAUUCUACCAGCCCAAGGCGUCAGAACAAUUGGCAGAUUCAAGGUCUUGGGCUAUUAUCCUCUAUCCUUCAAGACAAGCUAAGAACUCUGGAGAGCAAAAGGGCAAGUGUCUUGCAGGAGUUGGAGAAGACCCUCGCUCAGUGGAAACAACCGGCGUGCUCUUCGAGGGAUCGGUACAAGAGGUAGCCAUAUCUCGUGAAACUUGCAUUUCCUCUUGCCCCUUGUUUCCUGCUCGUGCUCCUAUACCUACCGAUUUAUUCGGCACCAAUGAACAAAAUCAACGAAUAUUGUAAUACAAGUUUUUAUUCUUCAAGCAAUCCAAGAUCAGAUGUAACCUCUCCUUUGUAAUCCCAUAGAUCUAGAGUUCAUUGAUGUAAUUUUUUGCCCUAAGGGCGACACAUAUUGUGUCGGCCAUGUAUUCAAUCGAUGAGAACCGAAUCCAAUCAGCUAAUAAAUCCUCAACGAUAUUUACCUUGUUAUUUAUUUUUUGUACUAAAGAUGAUUUAGCAAAUCAGCUAUAACUCAUCCGAUGCUUCCAUACAAAUUGGCUAAACAUCUACCCAUAUACUGGGGUAGUAUCUCUUUAAAUAUUUCCUAGUUAAAGCCCUAGAAAACUCUUCUCCUUCAAGCGUCUCCAAAAUAUACAUGUUGCUCGGAGCGCACCGAUUUAUGUGAUACGGUCCUUCCCACGUUUGUGACCAUUUGCCGAAUUUAGAGUCUUUGGAACCAAUCGGCAAUAUGAGUUUCCAGACGAGAUCUCCUUGAGAGAACUCUUUAACUUCAACUUUCUUAUCGUACCAUCUGGCUAUCCUUUUCUUAUUUUCCUCAAUACUAAUCAUGGCUCUCAGCCUAUGUCCCGCCAAAUCUUCUAAUUCAUUUUUCAUUAAAACUGAAUAAUCAUCAGCUGUGAGUUGAUCUUGAAAUGUAGUACGCCUUGACCCUAUUUUUAAUUCCCAAGGUAAUACGGCCUCAUGCCCAUACACCAACUGAUAAGGAGACAACUUUGUAGACCCAUGACAAGCCAUACGAUAGGCCCACAAUGCUUCAUUCAGAGUAGUAUGCCAACGUCUUGGUUGUUCCUCAAUUUUUCUUUUUAUUAACUUGAUAACCCCUUUGUUGGCUACUUUGGCUUGACCAUUGGCUUGAGCAUAGUAAGGAGAAGAGUUUAAUAUUUUAAUGCCCAUACUAGUAGCAAAAUCAUCAAACUCUCCUGAGGUGAACAUAGUCCCCUGAUCAGUCAUAAUAGUUUGAGGAAUUCCGAACCGAUGAACAAUAUGUUCCUUGACGAAAUCAAUCAUAUUGGCCGAAGUCACUUUUUUCAAAAGAAUCGCCUCAACCCACUUUGUAAAAUAAUCAGUUGCUACUAAUAUAAACUUAUGCCCUUUACUUGAUGGUGGAUUAAUUUGAUCGAUCAAGUCAAUUUCCCAACCUCUAAACAGCCAUGGCUUAAUUAUUGGAUUCAUUGCUGAUGCGGGAGCUCUCUGCACAUUGCCGAAAUUCUGACGUUCGUGACAACCUUUAUAAUAUCUAAAGCAAUCCUCCAAUAUAGUUGGCCAGAAAUACCCAUUUUGCCUAAUCAUCCAUCUCAUCUUGAAAGCCGAUUGAUGAGCCCUGCAUGUUCCUUCAUGAAUCUCACCCAUCAAAUUCUUGCCGAGGCAUUUGAGUAAAACCCCAUCAAUUGUUCAGUAACACAACUCAUCUUCUAGCAGAACAUACUUAGUCACUCGAUACCGUAACCGUCCGUCAACUUUCUUAGAUGGGUCCCUCAAAUAAUCGGCUAUCUCCUUUUUCCAUUCAUCGGCCGCCAACUCCACUACUAUUGCCCCAUAAAUCUGCCGAUAUCCAGAAGCGCCCGGAGCAAGUUUAUUGGCUUCUUCAUUAUAGGCUUUGGGAAUAUGCUCGAUCAUCACAGUCUUGAAUUAUUUUAACAAUUGGAGACAUUCUUCAUGAUAAACCCUCAAAAUAUCAUUUUUGCAUUCAUAUUCUCUGAGCAACUGAUUAAUAACCAGCAUAGAAUCGCCAAAUAUCUCAACGGCAUCAGCCUUGAUUUCUCAUAAUAAUUUAAUCCCCUUCAAUAUAGCUUGAUACUCAGCUUGACUAUUUGUAGCAGUCUUCUCAAUCGACAGUGAGAACUCAAAACUUGCCCCCCGAGGCGAAAUCAGUACUAUGCCGGUUCCUGAUCCUACUCCACAAGAUGAUCCAUCGAAGAAUAAAGUCCAUGGCACAGGUUCCACCACUUUAACUUCUGAGCCACAAUGCUAAGUCACAAAAUUGGCCAUGACUUGCCCCUUGACAGCUUUAGCUGAUUCAUACCUUAAGUAAAACUCGGAUAAUGCCAGAAUCCAUUUUCCAAUUCUCCCAUUCAAAAUUGGCAAUGACAACAUGUACUUGACAAUGUCAUCCCUGUAGACAACAGUACAUUCUGCCGACAAUAAAUAAUGCCUAAGUUUGGUGCAAGAGAAAUAUAGGCACAAACACAGCCUUUCAACUGGAGAAUAUCUGGUUUCGACAUCCAAAAGUCUCCUACUGACAUAAUAAAUCACCCAUUCCUUGCCCUCAAAUUCUUGAAUAAGAGCCGAUCCGAUAGCAUUUUCAUCAGCCGAUAAGUACAACUUAAACGGCUUAUCUCUUUGAGGAGGCACCAACACUGGUGGGGUCACCAAAUACUUUUUAAUAUCCUCCAAUGCUUUUUGUUGAUCGGACCCAACAAACUCUUGAUUGGCUUUAAGCUUCAACAAAGGGAUGAACGGCCAAAUUCUCCCAGAUAAAUUUGAUAUGAAUCUCCGGAUGAAGUUGAUUUUGCCUAUCAACGACUGAAGCUCAGUUUUAUUCACCAGAGCAGUAACUUUAUUGAUUGCACCAAUCAUCUUUUGACUGACCUCGAUGCCUCUUUGGUGAACCAUGAAACCCAAAAACUGUCCAGCUGAUACGCCGAAAGCACACUUAUUUGGAUUCAUCUUCAGCCCAUGUUUUCUUGUGCACUCCAAAAUUUUACGUAAAUCGGCCAAAUGCUCCUUAUAACCUUCUGACUUAACCACAAUGUCAUCAAUGUAAAUCUCAACUAUCCUACCGAUAAACUCAUGGGAUAUGUAAUUCAUAGCCUGUUGAUAUGUAGCCCCUGCAUUCUUCAAUUCAAAAAUCAUGACGAUCCACUCAAAUAAUCCAACAUGCCCAGGACAUCUGAACGCAGUCUUAGCAAUGUCUUCUUCAGCCAUAAAUAUUUGAUUAUAUCCAGCAUUAUCAUCCAUGAAGCUAAUAACCGUGUGCCCUACAUCAGCAUCUAUCAACACAUCGGUAAUUGGCAUCAGAUAACCGUCCACCGGUGUUGCCCUGUUAAGAUCCCUGAAAUUAAUACAGACUCGGAGUUUUCUAUUUUUUUUGUACACAGGAAUCACAUUAGAAAUCCAUUCAGCAUAACGACACUGCCUGACGAACUUUGCUUCAAUUAAAUGAGUAAUCUCGGGAUUGAUAUCAGGUAAUAUUUUAGGAUUACAGCAUCUAGCAGGCUGCUAAUGUGGCCGAUGCCCUAGUUUUGUAGGCAACCGAUGUUCAACAAUAGAAUGGUCUAAAUUAGGCAUUUCAUAAUACUUCCAAGCAAAACAAUCUUUACAUUCUUUUAACAAUUGAAUUAACUCUUGCUUGUACUCAGGAUCUAACUUAGUACUAAUAUACAUCGGCCUUGGCUUGCUACCAUCACCUAGAUCUAUCUGUUCUAACUCAUCGGCCGACGUAAUACGUGCCCUAAUUUUCCUUCUUCGAUAUAAUCAUCCAUUCAGAUGAUUCCUUGGAGCCAACUGCUUGGAUCGGCUAUAGGCCAAAAUCGGAUACCUUGAGAAAAUCGGUAUCCCACACCUUGCCCUAUAUGUAGCUUACCGUCUCACAACUCCACUACUGGGCAUUGGUUGCAGCAAUGCUGAAGGAGCAACCGGCGUUGACCAUCUCCACAGAAUCUCCGAUCCAUAGAAUAACACAUUGGUGCAUGGUCGAAGGGAUGCAACAAUUCGCAUGUAUCCAAUCACGUCCCAAGAGCAAGUUGUAGGACCCUUUUCCAUUAACAACAAAGAAAGUAGUAGGUAGAGUCUUACUUCCGAUAGUCAGAUCAACGCAGAGUGCCCCCGAGCUGGCAAGACAUUACCCUCAAAAUCUUUGAGCAUCAUGUCGGUCUUUAUCAAGUCUUCCUCGCCUUUCCCGAGCUUGCGAAACAUGGCAUAUGGCAUUAUGUUCACUGCUGCACCUCCAUCUACCAGCAAUUUGGUGACAGGCCUCCCAUCAACUUGUCCCUUGAGGAACAAUGCUUUCAACUGCCAAUGCUUUUUCUCUUCUGGUUUUUCAAAAGUAGCCGGCAUCAGAUCCAAAGAAAGUUGAGCCAUGCCUCCUUCCGUGUCUGACAUUUCUCCAUUGCUAGUGGGGGCCAUAAACUCCAUUGGCAACAUGAAUACCAUGUUAAUAUCUGCAGCUGAUUCGCUUGUGCAUGCAUCCUCGGCUCUUGGCUUUGCACACCAUACUUGAGACUUAACUUUAUUUUUCUCUAGAGUGCGGCUCUCUUCUUCUUGUUGUUGCUCCCAUUGGCGUAGGCGUUGAACUCUCCUCUUCUAAGAUUUGGUUAACCCAUCUAGGUACCACCGAGGAUGACUUACACCACUGUGUUCUGGGGCCCGCCAUCUUUCCGGUUCACGACACAACGGCUCUUUGUCAGGGACUCUGUUAUAAGCCCUUUCCUCCAACCGAUCACGGAUGCUUACUGUGACAGUUCAUGUAUUUGUAAUGCUAGGCAUAUAUUGUGUUAGUGUGAAGUAUGUGCUUGUUAGUGUAGAACUUGUGUAUGUUUAUGUGAAGCUUUUGAAAAUUUAAAGUGCAAGUAAAAAGGGGUAUUUUUGUAAUUACAGAAAAACCUAGGGUUGUUUUUGCAAAAUGUAUUUGGAUGUGAGGUAACUUCGAAAUAAGUGAAGGGUGGUUUUGCAACGUGUUUUUCCUACUUUAUGUCCUGUAAAAAUAUAUAUUUAUCCAAAAAGUUGCAAUAGAAAUGCAUGUGUUGAAAUGUGUAAAAAAUUUGGGUAAAGUGGUGAAAAUAAGGGUAUUUAUGUAAUUUUAUAAAAGUACAAGUCCUUUUAUGCAAGUAGUUGAUUUACAAAAGUAAUUUUCAAAGUUACUCAGGACUAAAGUAUAAAAGAUGCAAGUCAUCAUGAUAUGUCUAUCCAAUCAUUAUGACGUGUCUAUCCUGUCAUCAUGACGUGUCAUAAAUGCUUGCAUUUAGGUCCUGAAUUUUAUGAAGUUACACUUUUUAGGACAAAAGCGAUUCAAAUCCAACCUUUGUUCAAAAUUUCACAUGUAAAGAUACAAGUUUUGAGUUUUUGAACUUGGGCCCUAAAGCAAUGUUGUAGAGUUUGAAAAACUCUCCAACUUUCGUUUUGGGUAUUUCUUCAUUAGGGUUUUAGAUUGAUGAGAAAUUUAUGCUUUACAGAAAGGUCCCUGUAAUUUUCUAGAUUUACGCAUAAGUCCUUGGAGAAUUCUAUUUCCCUUCCUCCUCUGCUUUUCCUCUCUCUGUUCUUCCUUAUCCGAUUUCUUGCUUCUUCCACGGGCGGCACUCUUCCUGGGGGUCUUCCCCUGCCCCUUCCCUUGGUGUGGCUCGGGCUCCAGGCGAGCCACGGCGCAGGGCGGCGCCCAGGGGCGCUCCUGCCCCGGGCGGCGGUGGCGCGCGGCUGGCAGCGCGUUGGAGCGAGGCCGGCUCGCGGGCGUGGCGCGCGGGCAGCUGCGGCAGCGGGCGGCGGCGUUGAACCGGCGGGCCACGGGGGCGGCUCGGCUCGGGCGCGCGAGCGAGGCCCGGCGCAGGCGCUCGGGUGGAGAGCGAGCGGCUCUGCGGGCAGCUGGCGCGAGCGCGGCAGGUGCGGGCCGGGCGCGGCCCGAGCGAGCGCGGGAGGAGCGCGGCGCUGGUGCGGGCGGCGCUGGGCUCGAACGCUGUGCAGGCGUGCGGACGGCUCAGGCGCAGGCUCGUGAUCAGGCGUGGGCGGCGUGCGGAGCGCGUGGGUGGAGUGGCGCGCGAGCGAGCAGCGCGUGCGCGGCGGAGCAGAGCGGGUGCUGGAACGUGGAGGCGCGGGGGGCUGGCAGAGCGCGCGCAGGCGCGUGUGCGGGCACCCCAGGUCAACGGCGGCGAUGUCCUGGGUCUUUUCCCCGCGACCUCCUGUGUAGGAGAGCAGUUGCAGCACACGCGCGACGCGGGCCAAGGAACGCGCGCGGCUCGGGCGUGCGCGGAUGGAGCUGAGGUGCGGCAGCUCAGGGCAGGCACGCACGGAGGGCAGCGAGGCCGCGCACGGCGGUAGCUUGGCGAGGGCGGCCGCGGAGGGACCUGCGACGCGGCAAGGCUAGAGCGGAGCGCGGGUCCGCAUCAGGAGGAGGAGGAGGAGGAGUAGCGAGGAGCGGAUGUGCGUGCCGCAGAAGCAUGUGCAAGGGAGCAGAAGAGCAGCAGGGGCGGCUAUGGCGCGGCAAGCCGGAAGGAGAGGCGGCAAAGCGAAGGCGGCGAUCAGGUGCGACGAGCUCGGAGGAGCUAGGCGCAGCCAGGCACGGCGAGCUCCCCUCAUCCAUGCGAAGGUCGAGGCAAGAGCAGCGCGACGCGAGUCCAACGCGCGACGCAGGAUUGACGGCCGGCUCGGUUCGUUUCCACAGGCGCCUGCGUAUGCAAGGCAACCGACCACGCGCAUGCAGGUUGAGGGCUAGGGAUACGGAAGUGGAACGGGAACAGCGCGUAGGAGAUGCGACCAGGCGCGGCGGUCCUGCAGGAGGCUACGCGAGUGUGCUGACCGUGUUCUGCAGCACACGCGCGUGAGCAGUGGAGGCUUAGCCGUGAGCAGGAAAACCCUGGGGUUCCCGGAGAAGUUGGCAUAGCGAACCCAUCCGGCUCUAUCGUCUCGUUCUAUGGUCCACGACAUCCAACAGCUCAUACCCCUCGUUGAUCGCUCAACCGACUACCGUCACCACGGAUCACCGUGAGGAAUGUCCCUCCGGCUAUUCUUCACCCACUACAAUCCCCUGGCAAGCUUCUUCGUCACCCACGGAACCUCGUCACCGUCGAGCUCUUCUCAUCGUUGAUCCUGUUCACCAAGGAAAUUCACUUUCCACCCGUUCUUCUCCACAACUAAGGCUACCCCAAGGUUUGCCCCGAUCCACUGAAUCUUCCUAAUGCCGGCGACCUCUUUUGCCGGAAUAUCAUCGUUAUCUUCCUGUUCUCUGUUUUUCCCGACCAGGGACUUAUUUGCUUUGAUUUAGAAAGUUCUAGGAUAUUCUCUGUAAAAUUUCCAGAGCUUCCUUUAUUUCAACUCAGUGAACUUCUACAUUUCAUAGAUUUUCGUAAGAAGUUCAUAAAAGUACAAAAUCAGCUUUGUUUGAAACCCUAGGUCAAAAUCUACAAGUUUUAUGUUGUGAUCUUGAGCUGAAGGUCUUUGAAGUGUGGUCUAGGUUAAAUAUUAGGAAAUGUGUGCUUUAUUUGUACCUUAUGUGAUAUGCAUGUGCUGUAGCUGAAAGGUAAAUCAUAGGAUAUAUGUCUUAAGUAGAGAUGUGUGAUAUUUAGUGAAUUUUCACGCGAGUGCUCACAUCCCUGCCAUCAAGACUUUGUCCUUGUCUUGAUUGCAGUCUCCUUAAGGCCUUUUCCGUAUGGGGAUCCUUGUUGAUUUGUAUGUAUCUGCUGCUUAGCUUAUACAUCUCGGCAGCUAUGCUUCAGUAUCGGCUAUCAGCUCAGCCGCUAAGCAUCCGUUUCCUUUGAGUCUAUGAUGUUUCUGUGUAACAGCUGUCAGCCGAUGCACUUCUUUUGAUAUGCUUCUACCAUCGGCUGGUUAGCUGAUCCGGUUGUUACCCUUCUAAUAUCGGCUACUGCCGAUACAAUUCUUUUAUUCUAUCCUACAUCGACUACGCAUAGUCGAUGUAUCGGAGAUACACACACGAUCUUAGGGUUCUUGCUAUCGGCUGAUCUAAGCUGAUUCUAGUUGUUUUCCAUAGCGGUCAAAGGUGGCCGAUCAAUCUUUCCCAUCCUUAUCCACACACUUCAAUCAGCCGAUUUAUCGGCUAAGAGAUCGGCUAUAUAAGUAUCGGUCACAUACCCUCAAUCACAUUCCAAUCUGCUGUACGUCACUCAAUUGUUGUGCUGACAUAAUCAAGCCGAUACAACCACACCUAGUUACCUAGAAUAACACUUAAGCACAUCUUAGUUAAGACACAGCUGCUUUAGGAAUCAUCCCUCUGCUAAAGUAAUCGAUGCUUUCAUCGAUCAAUUAGGAACCCGAUGCACUUAUCAAUCGGCUAAACCUGAUGCAUUCUCAUCGGUUAAGGCCAAGACCAAUACACCAACCAAUUAGAUAGAUCAGAAACAUGCUGAUAAUCCAAUCGGCAAGAUCCUCCCUUAAUCUAUCCUUGUAACACUAUACCUUCAAUAUUCCUCUCCAUAUCAGCCGAUUUAACCUCAGGUGAACCAAAUCGGCUAAUCCUUUCUACUCAUAUACAGAGAUUACUUCCGCCGAUUUCUCUUCCGAGAUGAAAUUAGCAGAUUUCCUAACACUGUAUAGAGAACUCCCUUCUUUAUCAAAUCUAUCGACUGAACCCCUGUUGUUCCAAUCGGCUCUGUUGUAAUCUUCAACAAGUAGCCGAUCCUAAUUAGUUGUCCACCUAAAGCUCUAUCUAAGUUUAGUUUCAGAUCUUUUUGGUUGUUAUGUGAAUAGUGUGUUAAAUGAGUGUUGGAGGGCAAAUUUAUUGUAAAGUAAGAUAGUUUUAUGUGCACACUUUGAAUGUAAUGUUGCAUUGCAUGUAGAUAUGACUACUUCUGCAAACGGUACCCACAAGAUCUCCCAGGAGUCUGCAGAGGAUGUUCCUGAAGACCAAAUGAACGUCACCAAGGGUUUAUCUGAAGCGCCGAACCAAAGUUCGGAAGAUAACAAUACUAACAUCCCUGACUUCAGCCCCACCAGUAAAGGCAAGCCCCGAUGCAUAUCCCAGUAUUUCAAAUUAUUACCAUUUCACUUAUGUAUUAUAUAUCUUGCAUUAUGUCUAGGAGUUGAAAUGAAACCCUAGUUGCAUGAGAUCUUAGGAAUCCAAUGUAUUGUACCCAAAUCCUUAUCGCUUAGAUGCUCUGCUAAAUAGGACCGGUAAAAGUCGGGUGAUUACCUGUCACUCGCGUGAUAUAAGAGUUGCAUGUUUACAAUUCUGCAACCAUUAUAAGGAUGAUGGACAGGGUCAUGUGCUGUAUCAUGACCUGAGGAUUACCCUGUCUGUUUUGAUAAAAGUUUUAAGGUCGAAAUGUGUGGUAGUGGUGGCUAAGCAUUUGAAAGUACUAGCCACAUGCCGCGAAAUAUGGUAAGCGGUAAGCCUAGUACCCGAAUGGCCCGGCAAAUGGACACGUUUCCACCACUCGACUUUUAUUUUAUGUUUACACGCACCGACGUGUGGGAGUACGUUCUGCAUGACAGACAGGAAUACAGGUUUUGUAGUCGCGCUACAGACGUAUGUCCUGCACAAUUGUUGUGCGUACGGUCCUGCAGUCGCUUGUGGUGGCCCUGAUCCAUAACCCGGAAUAUAAGGGAAACGGUUGCUUCGGAACGACCUGUUGGUGUUCCAAGCGUGUGUGUUAGGUUUACCUUGCAAGGUUAAAUUCGAUUCAGAAUCGUCCGCCUCUCACGAGGAUUGAGACUGCUUAUCCGUUUUGCCACAUCGAGUCAAAAGUAUAAUUAUGGAUGAAAUAAUUUUUGAUGGAUGAUAAUAUCUAUCUUGCUUGUUUAGUAUAGGUGCUUACCUAGAAUGGCUAAUCAAGCUAGAACCUGAAAGCUAAAACUUGAAAGUAGAUUAUACUCUUUGUUGCUUUUCAGCUGAAAAUAAACCCAGAACCUUUACAAUGCCUUCAUGAGUCUAGUUAUGGGCUAAAGUAUACCCAAUUCCAAAUAAGUCUUGCUGAGUAUUAGUAUACUCAGUCUUGCUAGCUUUAUGUUUUUCAGGUAAAGUCUUUGAAGACCCUACUCUUCCCCUGUCUUGGCCCUGUACUCUUCCAGAUGGAUGGUCCGUGGAAUGAGCUCCGUCCCCGGCCAAUUCUGAUGAUAUCGAGUGAUGUCGUGCCCGGGCUUAGCAUGACAUCCGUCUUAUCGACGUGCUAUAGAUCAUCGCGUAUGUUUUCCGCUGCCAAAAACCAUAACUUUAAUAGUUUGUAACGUUUUCUCUAAAUUUGGAACUUCAUACUACUUUUGGAAACCCUUGUAAUGUAAUUCUCUGUGAUGUAAAAUAUGAUGGUGACUGUAUCUCUGGACUCACCUUCGUGUGAGGUAACCUUAUUUGAUCCUGUAUUCGGUGGUUUAUCAGGACGUUACCCGACAGGCCAAGGGAUUAUACCGUUUGAAGCACGUUGGAGCCCUCGUGAAUGGACUCGCAUACUUGAGCCGGUAUAAUUCAGGUUGGUUCUGCCACACUUACUCUCAUCUGAUCGUUUACCGUAACUCUGCCCCCCCAGCCGAUCAUCAACUAAAACAUGCUUUUCUUCAUAAUCACGCCUAUCCCUGAUGAUCGGCCUCUACUUCCUGUCAUCAAAACAUGGUCUUUUGAACCAUUGGCUAUCCCGAAAUGGCCCAUUGCACUCUGGACAAUUAUCACCUGACGGCAGUUUGAUUCCUUCCUCCCAACAGUAUAUGAAGAAUGGGCAUCUCCAAUGAUCCUUGUGCCGAGGCAUCAUCUCUUCCUCAUGUCGUGCUUCUUCAUGCUGUCGAUUCUUGCGCUCACACGAUCGUUGCAACAUGUACAGUAGCUUCAUAACCUUAUUUCAUUCUGUUUAUAUUGUUUGGUGUACUAUUUCUUAUUUUUUAUACUUAUUUGCUUAUAUGAACUUGUGUGGUGCGAUAUAUGGUGCGCAGGUAGAGGAUCCGCAAGAGCAAGGCUUUGAAGACGCUCCUGAGCAGCAGCAGUGCUUUGAGGAAGGCAAGUGGUCCUUGAUCAUAGUCCAGUCCUAAUAAUUUUCAAUAUACACACAUUUACUUUAUAUGCAUGCAUGUGUCUAUAACAUGAUUGAUCCCAAAUUAAGGAUAUGCCUAGCUUCUAUUGUACUUCCUUGAUUGAAUCUUGGUUGUUUACUUCAAAUUGUAGCUAUGCUAUGCUAUGGUCGGUUAACUUGGAAAUAAUACUACUCUUAUUUUUACUUCAUGUUCUGGAAUACCUUUAUGGUGAUAACUAUAAGAUCAUUGCAUUAAUUGGAAUAUGGAGAACCAUCCAGAAAAACAAUGCAACUACAAUACUAUAUAGCUCUGGUCUUGGCUAAUUAAUUAGAAACUUUAGCUUGUAAUGGUCUUACCAAAAGGGCACGAGGGGAGUGUGGUGAUGGGGUAUAGCUCGGUCCUCUUGAGGCUUAGAUAUGAUCCUGGUUAAGGUGUCUUCCUCAUUAGCGAGGGUUAUGACCACUGUGACUUGAAAUCUUAGCAAACCAUUGCAAGUUAGGGAAUCUUUGUAAAGACCUCAUAGUAAAUCCCUGUCAUUCACCUCGGAAGUAUUUAAGGGCCUUGCAAACCCGGGCAUUAAGAAAAACACGAGUUGUGGGUAAAGUGUAUAACCUCUGCAGAGUGAAAACUGAUAUAUCAGCCGUGCUCACGGUUAAGAGCUGCUUGGACCCUCACAUGAUAAUUGAACUUGAAGAUGAUGUAAAUUGAUAUUCUUUAUUUAUGUUGUUGGUACUUAUCUCUUUUACUUAGUUAAGGGUUUAUGAUAUAUACUUACACUUAGUUAAUGCUUGCUAAAUAAAACUUGACCAACUAAAAGUGCUUAUCGUGUCAAACCAUGUCAGCUAUUUCUUAAAAUUGACCUUGCAUGUCGUAUAAUUUACUCCACUUACUGAGUACCAACCAUAAGUGUACUAACGCUUACUUUAUUAAAACCAAUGCUGCUCAGAAUAAGAUAAUUGUCCAGAGUUCCCUGAAGACUUCGAGGAGUUCGAGGCGUAUGUCUCUCAGUCAUCUGCCCGUGAAGUUGAAGUUCCGCUGCUAGUUAAAGACGUUCAUUUGUUUGCUUAAGAAUAAGACUUUCGGUCAUGUAACAAAGUACUUUAAUACUAUGGCAUUGUUUCAAAUAUAAAAUUGUAUUGUCUAUCAUAUGUGUGUGAACUUAUUCCUGAUGCACAAUGCACAUAUGAGAUGCAUCUGGUUUCUUCUUAAAAUCGGGUGUGACAAUAACCAACAAAGAGAUCGGCUAUAGAUGCUCUGCAGAAAAGGUUAGAUAAAUCCGAUAACUUGAUGAUUACCAUAGGAUAAAUUAUGAAUUCUAUUAAGAACUAGCAAGAGAUCAAACAUGCAGCCUUACAAGAACUUGAUAGAAGUCGAUAACUUGGUAGAUUGAACUAGACGAAACUACAGCGAUUCUGACCAGUAAUCUGAGCAGCUCGCCAGAGAUCAUGCAAGCACUCUCCUCCCUCCAGUCGCUAACUCUGGAGAGCCGGGGCCAGCCAGAACCAGAACUGCCAAAUUGGUUGAGUCAGCUUGCAUCACUUAAGGAGUUGACAAUAAAGAGAUACGAGGUGCAGCCAUUGCAGGGUUCCAUGGGGCAUCUCAGUUUGUUACAGUCAUUAUGUUUGAAACAUAUUGAAAGCUUGACAGCACUUCCUCAAUGGGUGCCAGACCUCAUCUCUCUGCAACAAUUGGAAAUUUCGUACUGUUCGAACCUGAAUGAUUUGACAGGGACCAUCGGGUGCCUCAUCUCUCUCAACGAACUCGCCAUCAUCGAUUGCAACGGCAUCACGUCUUUACCAGAGAGCAUACAAAAGCUACCCAUGCUCAAAAAGCUAAAAAUUUAUCACUGCAUUGAACUAGUGAGGUGGUGUGAAACUGAGGAGAAGAAGGCGAUGCUUGCUCACAUCAAAGUAAAGGUACCAGGCGUUUUUGUAAAAGUUCUUUAGUACAGAAUUUACUUCGUUUUUCAUACAUUACACGAUUUUGUCCCAUGCAGAUAUGCCUAUUUUUUCAUAUAUAUUGUGUUGCCAUUUUUCUAUUUUUUUCUGCUCUUUCUUUACAAAUGGCAUCUUGUCGAACUAAUUGUUAUGCUCGACAAGUGUAAAACAAAGAAAACAACUAGUGAUUGCCUGCCAGCAAAAAUGUAAAGAAAUAGUAUCCUGAGGAUUUUCGAAUUUUUCACUAGCAUUUUUUAUGAAACAAUCAGAACAUUUCCCGCAUGUGUAAUGUUUUUCAUUCAUGGAAACUAGAUUCGCGCUUGCGGAAGUAUUUGAAGUUUUUUAUUUGUUUGUUGCAGAAAUUUAUUGACUCGUAGCUAGACAGACAGUACCAAACGCAUAGCAGGCUGCAGAUAAUAUAGGGAUUUUCAUUGGGUCGAUGGAGGAUCAUCGGGACUUCAGGAGCAAGAUUAUAAACUGUUUGCAAGGGCUGGCCCGGCUCCUUCUCAAAAAUCUCUCUGCCUUUGUUGGUAUUCACUUCUGUCAUCUCCCCCUGCUCCGGUCAUUGUACUCACGGGUUAUCCUGCAGUGGUGGUAACGGAUCAUGUCUCUAACGCUCUCUUCACAAUCUAACUUAAUUUUUAUAUAUUUUUAGCUAAAAAUUAUAUAAGAUAAGAGUCUUAUACCACCCCUACCCCGAGGCCGAUGGUGCGCCAUUGGAUCAUCAGUGCCACCGGCGUGGAUGGACCUAGAUGGCUGAGGCUGCCGACGGUGGCGCAGCUGCGACCUUGAAGGUGUUUCAAGCAACGUGCCUGACAAGGUUUUUCUUCUUUCUUUAUUUGGAAACGGGGCAUUUUUUUUAGGUUUCAGAUCAUGAUAUUUUCCUUUGAAUUUUAUUCAUCUACUUACCUCAUGUUAUAAUAACGGUGUCCCAUAAUUUUUACCGAUUUGUAGAUCAUUUUUGUUCAGCUGGAUUUUAUGAAUUUACCUCCUGCAAACAUGUUCUUUUACACUGCCACGAGGUUGUAACUUGUGAGCCAAAGGUAGUUUGUACAAUCCUCCAAACAAACUUAGCCAAAUUACAAUGCAAUAGCAAUUAUGGGAUGGUUCUAUUGUUACUAGAAAAGACAACACUUUUUUCUUUGGUGCCAAUUCUUCGUAGCUAUAUUAUCUUUUGUAAGACUCAGCUUCAUGAAAAAAAAUCGACAAGACCUAUUAUUUAGGAGGAAAGGAUUUAUUUUCCAAUCAAAUUGGUUAUGUCCUGAGAUACCAUAAUUUGAAAGAAUUUUCUAUGUAUGGUUAGAGCGCUGGGAUAACUCGUAACUCUCCCUAAUACUAAGAAAAUACUUUUUUUAACCGGAGAUUCUCCGACAAAUUACCAAUCUAAUCCCAUCAUCAAAAAUAUUUUUGGUAAUCAUUGAAACACAUCUUUCUCUCACCUAAAUGAAAAAUCAUUUGUGCAGUCACGCUCGUCGUUUAAUUAAACAUUCACGCUUUGCUAGAAACAAAGAUAAAUGUGCGGUGGCUCCCAUGUGUGUGAUGUGGUGUCGAGCGAAGGAGAACGCACGUAAUAACGUUGGCCACGACAAACAGGAGUCGAGUAAAAGUCAAUGCUCGCCACGUCACGACUGCCCAAACGGGAAACCUUGCCAUCAGAUGCCUUCUUCCAACAGGCACAAUUUGCCAGAAAAUGGGAUUUUUCGUCUCCAUAUACAAUGUACAUGGUCAAAUGGGUUGCAUGGCCCCACACGGCAUGGGCCUGGUUUAGACACGGCCCGACGACAUCCGGAAAAUUAACCAUGUCGUGUCGUGCCGGUCUGCGGGCUAAGCCGGCAGCCCAGGCACAGCACCAUGAUGGCUUGAUCGGGCUGGGCCGGGCCGGACCGACUAGCCCAUCAAGCAUGGCAGCCCAACUACCCGUCGAGCACGGCCAUCGGCCACCAGCCUCCACCGCCUUCACGCUGGCCGUCCCCCAUGCCAGCCGCCGGCCUCCACUACACGCUCGUCGGCAGCUGUCCUCUGCCGCGCCCCCAACUCAUUCCCCGCUGCUCGCGCACCGGCCACCAGCCUCCACCGCGCAUGCGCCGGCUUCUCAUCCAUCGGUGCGGAAGGGAAGGGGUGGUGAGGAGAGAGGGGCAACUGGGAGAGGGGGUGACAGGGGAACGAGAGAAAGAAGGGAGAGAGAGGGAGAGAGGAGCAAGACAAUGGAGGAACUGGACGAGUUGGAUCAGACCAUAUUAGGACCGGCACUUAAAGUGAAUUUUACCAUUAACCUCGAAUAUUCAACUCUAAAGUUAGUUGUGCAUCCUAAUUUUUGUUGUACUUUUUCAGCAUUCCGAAAACAUGAAUUAAACUGUAGAAGGAUAAGUGUGAAAAUUAUUUUUUCCUCAUACUUAUGGAUAUCCGAAGAUAUAUAAAUUAACACAAGAAAUAUAUAUCUUAUUCUCUUAGGAAAGAAAUACUCCCCCUUUUUGUGACGAAAGAAAUACCUCCUCUGCUCUUUGCACAGAUGACUUUUGGACAUGGCCCUUGACCAUUCAUCUUAAUAAAAAAUAUAGAGAUUUCUUUUUUCUUUUUGUAACUUGUUUUAUUAUUAAAGGUGCUUUAAGAAUGAGUUCUACUUAAUAUUUGCAAUAAGUUUCUGAAUAAUAGGACUGGUCUAAUGCCGUGACUAAAAGACAACGAUCUAAAACAGGGUACACAUUAUCUUCGUAGAACGAAUGAACAAAAAGGUAUUAUACAUUUGGAAAUAGCCAUGCUGAAUAUCUUUAUAUAUGAUUCUUUGUUGAGUAAUAUCAUUGUUGCUAAUAAAUAAUAAUGGACUAACAUUUUGCCACAAUUUAUUACGAGCAAUAUGGAAGCUUUCCCUAUUACAACUGCGUUUUUCUCACCUAUAUAAUUACACCUGGGAGAUUUAGGAGCUCACUAAAAUUUGAAAAAUUCCUUAAUUGGACACAAAAUUUACUUUUUUUAUGGAAAACUAAUUGUACUCAUUGACGAUAAACAAAUUUCAUCGCGGCCCACACUCUCUGGCCUAAUGAAGCACUGAUACUCAAAAUGUUUUGUGAUAAGAUCGAUAUCUGAUGCACAGUGUACUUGUGCAUAUCGUAUUACGCCAAUAUUUACAGUAAAACAAUUUUCAUAUCGUAGCAAUGGCUCCUUUGUCAUGACAAGAUUUCUAGAGGGGUAAAUAAAAACAUGCCGUUGUACAUGUGACGACGAAAUCCUGAAUGCAACAUGCAAACGGGAAAGCACACGUUGGAACUAGCCGCGCGUGCAGUGGACUACACGCGUGACGAUCAGGGUCUUAUACGCUAGCUGCACACAAGCAGACACCAACUCCUCGUGCCCCCGUGGCCGUGAAUGUUGGCAGUAGUUUUCUUGGAUCUGGUGACUGCCACUGCAUAACUGACAAACAUGACGAUCACCUACAGAGAAGCAGUAACAUCAGUAGACAUGCAAAGGCCAUUCUAUAUUUUCUAUGAGUUUAGUAGUAGUCACAUGCUUGGUUUUGGAUCUGGUGACUGCCACUGCAUAACUGACAAACAUGACGAUCACCUACAGAGAAGCAGCAACAUCAGUAGACAUGCAAAGGCCAUUCUAUAUUUUCUAUGAGUAUAGUAGUAGUCACAUGCUUGGUUUUGCAACUCAGCAUAGUAGAUUAUUAGUAGUAAUAUGUUAGGCUGGCUGCUAAGCUUCAUAUUGUUUGCUCAAAAAAAGUGAGAUCAAAUCAAAUAUUUCGAUAGUGGCAUGCAUAUGCUUCCCUUCUGUGUCUUGUGUGAUGAACUUUAAAACCAUGCAUGCUCUCCAAUCAGCACGACAGAAUGGUCUAAACCCAAACUGCAUAUAAGAAACAAGAAAAAAACUCAUGCCUACAAAGAUUUGAAAAUCAUUUCCAGAAAUGAAAAACAUGUAAGAAUACCAAGAGUGGGUUCAGGAUACAUCACCAAAUUCCACAUGCAGAGAGCAAAAAUCUGGAGAAUUUUGAAGAGGGAGGCAUGGCAUGGUGGAUGAGAGCCCUCUGGCUAGCCAAGAAGACCGGCCGAUGCAGCCACAUCGCAUUACCCAUCACACAAGAAUUUCUCAAGAAACACUUUGCCGUCCCCAUGGCUGAUGGAUAUAUGCCAACAGAGGGCACGCAUAGGCAAGUCAUUCUUGGCUACCAAAAGGGGCUCUCCAUCCCCAUGUGAGGCCGCCCUCUUCUUCUCCACCUGCUCUGUUGAGGCCUUCAGCCAUGGCUGUUUCUAUUGAGCUUGGUGUCUCUGUGUCAUCCCUGGUUGCAUACCCGAGGUAUUUAUAGUGUGGACAAGGAAAGGGGUCAGGUGAUGAUUGCCACAUUUCGUUGAAUGGCAUCUGCCAUAUCUUCUUGUUCGUUCCAUUAUUCAGAUGGCAACAAAUAUACGGUGUCAUUCACGGCGAGUCGAAAAUUGAUGGUUGGGAUAGAGGUCCACAAGAAUUUCAGACCUUCAACGAGACUAUCUUGGAAUUUCUAUGUAUUGGAUAGAGAUCCAAAUCUGCGCUAUCUAUAUAGGCAUUCCUCAAAAGCACAAUAUGCGGUCUUAAAAGGGAGCAAAACGGACAUAUCACGCUUGCAUCACCAUAUCUUGCUACGAUUUGAUCCAAGGAAAAAAAAAGUAGUGUGGUUUCCAUUGCCAAUAAUGAUGCCAGCUGCAGCUACCCAGUAUACUCGCCGCAUGUAAAAAUUCUUAAUUAAGAAUCGAGUGCAAGGCCUUGACAUCAUUGUAGAGUGCUUGUUGUGGGCUUAGAGAUCAUGUUUGAUGUAAACCUUACAUUGUGUUGGUUCGCCAUGAGCGCCUACAGAUAGCUCACAUUGUAAACCUUCCGAGAAUUUCUCCUUCUUAAUACAAAGAUACACUGCUCUCCUACAUGUUCUCGAGAAAAAGAAGAUUUAGAGAUCAUCUUUGAUUUCCAUAUAGGCCUCGAAAGGAAUACAUGAUGUGGUUUUAGGGAGAACUAAAGGUAUACGUCGUGCAUUGCCUAAUCAUCUCUUUGAUUCAAGGCUAUGCCAUGGUAUAGUUGGCUAAAUCACCCCUUUUGUGAAAAUCGUGAGACUCCUAAAAGAGCAUGUUUAUAUUAGUGCUACAAAAGAAUCACUGCUGUAGUGUUUGACCUUGAUAAUGUACAUGUAUGCUCAUGAUGCUUGCCACAUUUCUUUGGAUGGAAACUGUGACCUCCUCUUGCUCCAUUCAAAUGGCAAUAAAGGUAUGGUGCCAUUUGCGUUGAGUUGAAAACCAAUGGUAGGGAUGGAGGUGCGCGGAAAUUCUAGACCUUCAGAGAGAAUGUUUACUCAGGUGUUGCUUAUAGUGCUCUGCCCUGAUUUUGUUCUUUUUUCAACUUGUUGCAGAAGCCGAAACUUUAUUGCUAAUAAAGCUUCCUUCAUUAAAAAAUGUUAAAUAGAUGCAUAUUUUGUGAUAGAAGCUAAGCUAGGACAUGAUUUUCACAAGAGUCCCAUAAAUUUACCUUACAGAUGUACCAAGUACAUAAUAACUUUGUAAGCAAACCAGUAGCUGCAACAUGAUCCGCCCAUGUAUUUGCUGCCCUUUAUGACAAACUUUAUUCCGUUCAAAGGGGCAAAUUCUGGAUUCGGGCAUUUUGAAUUAUGCUGGAGGUUGCCAUAGCCUAAAAGCUGGAUUUCAACUUUCCUGAAGAAUCAUGUGGAUUUCCCUCCCGUAGUUGACUUCACCCAAAAUCUUUUGAAAUCUCAUGCUCAUGCACAACUUGCAUCUGAACGGACCAAGAUGCCCAAUGCUAAGGUCGACCAAAGCAUCUGAAAGGUAUCAUUGCUUCAAAGGUAGGUGCAAAUCUUCAGCAACUGUCAACGAGCAUCGAACUAGUCAAGGAAAAAAUUCUGGCAACAUUCCCUUCGAAAACAGGGGGAAGCAAGCAGCGCCUGAUAGGACAAGGAAUGCAGAACCUUUUGCAAAUAUAGGCAAAAGGACGAGCGUAUCAGUAUAGGCAUGAAUGCAUAUCAGAAACGAAAAUCCCAUAUCAUCGAAACAUGUUAGGCCUCUUGCUGUAAAUUUGUUGUGCCAUAUCUCGGAUUCCAAUCAGGUGUAGCCUGCCAUUUAUGAUGGCUCUUCAUUUAUACCCGAUACCUCGAAGGCUAGAAUAAACUAAAUAAUGUGAGCCCACAAUUGCCAUGCAUACCAUCUUUUCUAGUGUACCUAUCUAGAUCUGCUUUUAUGCUCUCAACAUUCCACCAUACUUUGGUUGUGGUACUAAAUUGAUAAGUGGACUAAUAUAUAUAUAUAUAUAUAUAUAUAUAUAUAUAUAUAUAUAUAUAUGCACACCGUUACUUUUGAUCCAUGUUUGAUUGUAAGGUCAGUCUCAGUGUGAGUUUCAUUCUACAUAAAUGAUGUGUCACUUAAGCAUAUAUGAUGACAUGGCGGUUUACAAUGUUUCUAACGCGCUGAAACUCUUCCACGUAUCUAUUGAGAACUAGAGUUUCAUUUCAUCCAAUUACUUGUCCAAUUAAAUAUUUUCACAUCAUGUCUGAAUUAAAUGCUAUGGCUUAGCCUUAAAAACAAUAAGAUGAAACCUUGCAUUAUAGGGAUUGUUUCAUUCGUAGUUAAUUUCAUUCAACUUUGGACGGUGUUACUGGCUUGGAAACAGUGAAACAAAACCGGCCGCUAAGAAUGACCAAUACUCAAGUUUGUAUGCGGUGGGAAGCGGCGAAUAAUUAAAGCAUCUGUACUAAAUCGCAGCCAGCGGGUGCAUGUGCUUUAUCCCUUCUGCUGCAAUAUUUGUUUCCGCUUUGUUGACAACAACAUUUGACAUCUCGUGUGGAUGAUCAUGUGAUUAAGUAAUGUGGUAGCCGUCUAGCCGAGUUACAAGUAUUUUGAAUAUUUAAUUAUGCUAAUUAAUUAUUCAUCGUGAUGGUGAUUAGAUGAUCAAACAAAUUUUAUUCAUAGUGUUGAUAAUAUAAUGAUCAGUUUAGCAAGAGAACCUAGAUGCCUUUCGGAGUAUGACCAGUGUCUAAUUGGUCAGCCAGCUACGUGAUGAUGAAUAUAUAUUGCUAAUGGCUUAUUAGUUUAAUUAGAAACGAGAGGGAGAGAUUGACUACCGUCAAACUCAGCUAGUUCGUCUUCUUGUGUGGAGCUGAAUAGCUGAUCCGACACCAAGACUAGACCAUUAGAAUUACCCGCCAUGACAGGCAAGACCUGCGUGGUUGUUUGGUCCUUGGUUGACCCUGGCUUUUGAUAGAAUCUGGUACGAUCGAAAUGCAUAUACAGAACGUCUGCUUUGAAGUUUAGAUGAGGGAUUAUGACUUUGGAAAGAUCUGAUCCAGGAAAACCGAUCAUAACGGAUUUCUGAAACGGCCAGAUCGGUUUUAAGUAUGUAAUCUGAGUUAGGAGUUGAAUUUUAUCUGAUAUGAAAUUUGUUAGGGUUUCGACUCCUAAUGGCGUAAGACUUCCAAUCUCUAAAUAUAAAUAUAAAGGGCUACAGCCAAUUCAGGGUAUCCAAUCGAUCAAACACAAACCUAGCUUUUCUAACCCCAUACAAUUGUUUUUCAUUUUGUUUCUACGGUAUUUGAGGAUGCUCUCGGUGUUUUGCUGACCCUAGAACAACUCAAGGUGCGCCUACUCCAACGGGAUCCCUCCCGGGCUAGCGUACAUCGGAUCUUCAUCGGGCACCCCGAUGAAACCGGCCUCGUCGGCUUACCGAACCAGUUUGAUUGGUUUCCGCAGCAGCGCUGCAAGAUACGCCCCCAUCAUGAUGCGGGUGACGUGCUCAGGUACCACCAGAGUUGAUUUUACCAAAGUUGAUUUACGUAGUGGGUACCACCAGAUUCGUAUGAAAUUGGAAGAUGAAUGGAAAACUGCUUUUAAAACUAAGUUCGGGUUAUAUGCAUGGCUAAUCAUGCCUUUUGGGUUAACUAAUGCAUCUAAUACUUUCAUGAGAUUAAUGAACGAGAUUCUACGUGCUUUCAUUGGAAAAUUUGUUGUCGUCUACUUUGAUGAUAUAUUGAUUUACAGCAAAUCCAUGGAGGCACAUCUUGAUCAUUUACGUGCUGUUUUUAAUGCUUUACGUGAUGCAUGUUUAUUUGGUAACCUUGAGAAGUGCAUAUUUUGCGCAGAUCGAUAUUAUGCUUUACGUGAUAUAUUGAUGCAUGUUUACGUGACACAUCUUGUCUCUACGGUAUUUGAGGAUGCUCCCGGUGUUUUGCUGACCCUAGAAUAACUCAAGAUGCGCUUGCUCCAAUGGGUACAUCGGAUCUUCAUCGGGCACCCCGAUGAAACCGGCCUUGCUAGCUUACCGAACCAGUUUGAUUGGUUUGCGCAGCAGCGCUGCAAGAUACGCCCCCAUCAUGUUGUGGGUGAUGUGCUCAGUAUUUGAUGCAGUAUGCUUCUGCGUUAAUAUACUUUUUAGCAACUCCGCUAGGAAGAAAAAGCCGGUUGCCAUGGCCGGUAAGAUACCUUAGAUCAGUGAGGUUGAUGCCGAAAACAUUGUAUGGCCGAGGUUUGAGCAUCUCUCGAUCAAGAAUCAGAAAGCUGUUGAUGAUAUAAGAAGAAGAUCCGAGAAGAGAAGGAGAACGAAAUCUGAAAGUAGGAAGAAGAAGCUAUGAAACAUAAUAUGUCACACUUGUCCGUGAAUGGACAAGGAGCUUUCAUGAAGAUCAAGGAUGUCAUCUACGAUCCUCCACAACUUGAGAUAAAACCCUAUAUGAGUAAACAACCUGUUCUUGAAACAAAGAUUGGUAAUAUUGUUGAUGGCGCUAUUGCUUCUCAUUUAAAUAAUAAGCUUGAAUCUGUGGAGCAAAAUAUUUAUAGUAUAUUUGAUGCUCUCUUUAGUCAAAUAGAGAUCUAACUUGUUAUAAAGUCAAUCAAUAGUGAUAAACAUGCAUCUACUUCUAAUUCUAAUACUCUUAUUACCUAGGUAAUGCAUUAGAGGAUAUAUCAAAUUGGCAAGCAAAUAAAAUUCCUAUGGGAGCACCAAUAAAUAAUAUACAAAGCCGAACUAUCAUUGAUGAUUCGGCUAGCGAAGGGAUUUCAGCUCUUGCUACUAUUGCUAUGGUAAUUAAUUUGGCCAACCAAAUGCCUAGCUGAAUUAAUGAACCAAUUUCACAUCAUAAAAUUUUAUAUAGCUCACCCCUAAUGUAAGUGUGCCAUAUAGGCCAGCAAGUUCGCUGUGACAUGUUUCUUCACCCCCAAACCUUGCACAAGCUAAUUAAGCCUAUAGUCCAUCAAUUGCAAAUAAUUGGCCUAGCGCUGAAGAUUUUUGAUCAAGUCACCUUCAAAGGAGGAGUUGACUAAGAUCUUUAGGUACUUUUUGCAAGGAACCUAAAGUCAAAUGUCGAUUAUAUCUAAACAUACCCUAAUGAUUAUGAGUACGUUGCAUAUCCUUAGGGGUUUGGAAUUCCUGAAUUUUUUAAAUUCACUAAUGAUGAUGGUAGAACCAUAUUAGAGCAUAUAGACCAAUUUAUUAUACAAUAUGGUGAAGUUAGCGAUAAUGAUAUUGACAAGUUUAGGUUAUUUACAAUCAUGCAUAUUAUGUGGGCCUCGUGCUUAGAAAAAAAAUUAAUUGAGAACAACACUGUCUUUUUUUUUGAAACGAGACACUGUCUUUAAGUAUACCUGUGGAGUCUAGAGAUUUCUUAGAUAAAGGAAAAUUUUAUUGAUCUCAGAUAAUAACAUCAGUGAUAUAAUCAAACAUAAACUGGUUCCAGCCUCCGCCACAAGCACACAGCUAAAGAAUAAAAAGAAAUCAAACGAUAUGAUCACUAUUAUACCACAGCGAGUAAAAGACAAGUCUUUAGCAUCACCUAUGAGGCCAUGACCAACUGCAACCCCUGGACCCAGUGAAAGCCCGUCUAAAGCAACGUCUCUGAAAGAAAACGACACGCGCACCAGCCAUUGCCAUGACCCAAACCACAAGAGAUAACUUAGUGAGAUCUCUUAUUACUCUGACAUCGCUUGGGAUGCCCUCAUCAUCAGCAUCGUCAUCGUCGUCAUCUGUCAUGUCCGGGCGAUACGGCCGGACAUACACCAGGCGUCGCCGGGCGCGGGAUGUGCGACGCGCAGCAGAACGCGCAUUGCGCACAGCAGGCACGCGUGAAGAGGAAGUCACGGCAUGUGGCUAAGAUGGAAAACAAAGAUAGCUUUCCCUUGUUAGUAGCUCUUUCCUAUUGUUAGUUUCUAAAAUUAGUGGGCUAAGGGCCAUAUAAUCAUGUAACUAUACUUGGACGGAAUCAAGCAAGAAGUUAUCUCCUAAUCUCCUCUCUCUCUCAAGCCUGCGGUAGAGGGGUCUAACCUCACCGGAGAAGACGGACGGCGGCUACGAAUUGCGUAGCCGAGGUCCGGCCAGUCAAGGCUUCGGCGUCCUUGACAACCUGGUAUCACGAUCCCGGCGAUCCUCGCCUCCUCGACCCACCUCGUCAUCACCAGCCACCGGCCCUUCUUCACCAGGCUCAGCCACCUCCUGCGCCGCGCCAACCAUGGGGGACGACCUCAGGACCACCGUCGAGAACCUCGCCAAGGCCGUCCAAGCCCUCCAAACCACCGCUGAGGCCAAUGCCAGGGCCAUCCAAGCCCUGUCCACCGAUCAGUCAUCGUCCGCCGGCCACCGCCAACCGACCGGCGAGCACCACAACGAUCGCCCGCCCCGGUUCCAGAAGAUGGACUUCCCGCGCUACGACGGCAAGUCAGAUCCGCUGAUCUUCAUUAACCGUUGUGAAUCCUAUUUUCAUCAGCAGCGAACCAUGGCGGAGGAGAAGGUCUGGAUGGCCUCCUACAACCUCGAGGAUGUGGCGCAGCUGUGGUACAUACAGCUGCAGGAGGACGAAGGCACACCGCGCUGGGGCCGCUUCAAGGACCUCCUCAACUUGCGGUUUGGGCCGCCCCUCCGCGCGGCGCCUUUGUUUGAGCUCGCCGAGUGCCGGCGCUUGGGGUCCGUGGAGGAGUACUCGAACCGUUUCCAGGCUCUUCUUCCUCGCGCGGGUCGGCUUGAUGAGAUCCAGCGCGUCCAGCUGUACACCGGUGGUCUCCUUCCGCCGCUUAGCCACGCGGUCCGCCUCCACAACCCGGAGACGCUAGCGGCGGCGAUGAGCCUGGUGCGCCAGGUCGAAUUGAUGGAGAUCUCCAGGCCGGCUCCGGCUCCGGCUCCAGCUCGGCCCGCCCCGCGCGGUCUUCUCCCGGCUCUGGCGCCCCGCCCAGCGUUGGCCGCACCCCCUCCACCGCUCGCUCUCCCGGCGCCCCCGGUGGGCGCUCCCCCGGCUCCUGGUGCGGGAAAUCAGAGGCGGCUGACUCCGGAGGAGCAGGCGGAGCGGCGUCGCUUGGGGCUCUGUUUUAACUGUGACGAAAAAUAUUCUCGUGGCCGCAACAGAUUUUGCAGGCGCCUUUUCUUCGUUGACGGGGUGGAGAUUGACGACACCGAGGACGUCGCGGCCGACGCGGACAACGGGGCACCUUGCUUCUCUCUGCAGGCCCUGGCCGGGGUGCCCACGGCAGACACCAUGCAGAUCGUCGUGACGCUUGGGGCCACUUCCCUCGUUGCGCUCCUGGAUUCCGGCAGCACGCACAACUUCAUCUCGGAAGAGGCGGCGCGGCGCUCCGGAUUACCGCUACGAUAGCGACCCCGUAUGACGGCCAUGGUUGCCAAUGGCGAAUGGAUCACCUGCGAGGGCGUCCUCCGCGACGCGCCCCUACUCAUCGCAGGCGCUCUGUUCCCGGCGAACCUCUUCGUCAUGCCGUUGGCAGGGUACGACGUCGUCCUCGGCACCAAGUGGCUCGGCGCGAGGGGACCCAUCGUCUGGGACCUCGCCCGCCGGCGCAUGUUGUUCCAGCACGAGGGCCACACCAUCUGCUGGCACGGCGUGCCAUCACCGACCGCACCGCGCCUACAGGCCACCGUGGCCGUGGCCGCGGACGCCCUUCUCGAAGGGCUAUUGGGCACUUUCACCGACGUCUUCGCUGAGCCGACCGGUCUUCCGCCAGCCCGGGGUCACGACAACCGCAUCAUCCUCAAGCCUGAUGCUUCCCCGGUGGCGGUGCGGCCAUACAGGUACCCGGUCGCCCACAAGAACGAGCUCGAGCAGCAGUGUGCCGCCAUGAUCGAGCAGGGCAUCGUCCGCCGCAGCGACUCGCCGUUCUCUUCGCCCGUCCUCCUCGUCAAGAAACCGGAUGGGUCGUGGUGAUUUUGCAUGGAUUACCGCGCCCUGAACGCGCUCACCGUCAAGGACGCCUUCCCCAUCCCGGUGGUCGACGAGCUACUCGACGAGCUCCACGGCGCGCGCUUCUUCACCAAGCUUGACUUGCGGUCGGGUUACCAUCAAGUGCGGAUGCGGCCCGAGGACGUGCACAAGACCGCGUUUCAUACUCAUGAUGGCCUGUACGACUUCCUGGUGAUGGCUUUCGGCCUCUGCAACGCUCCGGCCAUGUUCCAGGCGCUCAUGAAUGAUGUUCUCCGACCGUUCCUCCGCCGGUUUGUCCUCGUCUUCUUUGAUGACAUUUUAAUUUACAGCAAGACAUGGGCCGACCACCUGCGCCACCUCCGGGACGUCUUCUCCGAGCUGCGGCGCCAGCGCCUCUUCGUCAAGCACACCAAGUGUGCCUUCGGCGUCACCUCGGUCGUGUACCUUGGCCUCGUCAUUUCAGAGGCGGGAGUCGCCUUGGAUCUGGCCAAGGUGCAGGCCAUCCAUGAGUGGCCAGCUCCACGUUCAGCUCGGGCGGUCCGGGGCUUCCUCGGCCUGGCGGGGUACUACCGCAAGUUCGUCCACAACUACGGUACAAUCGCCGCGCCCCUGACUGCCCUUCUUAAGAAGGAUGGAUUCGCAUGGAGUGCAGCGGCAACAGCGGCCUUCGAUGCCCUCAAGGCGGCCGUCUCCUCCGCUCCGAUCCUCGCCAUGCCGGACUUCACCAAGACGUUCAUCGUCGAAUGUGACGCUUCGUUGCACGGCUUCGGCGCGGUCCUCGUCUAGGAGGGCCACCCGGUGGCGUUUUUCAGCAGACCCGUCGCGCCACGACACCGCGCCCUCGCCGCCUAUGAGCGUGAGCUCAUCGGCCUCGUCCAAGCCGUCCGCCAUUGGCGGCCGUACCUCUGGGGGCGUCGCUUCAUCGUCAAGACUGAUCAUUACAGCUUGAAAUACCUGCUCGAUCAACGCCUCGCGACGAUCCCUCAACACCAUUGGGUGGGCAAGCUUCUGGGCUUCGACUUCACCGUCGAGUACAAGGCUGGGGCGGCGAACGUGGUGGCUGACGUGCUCUCCCGCCAUGACACGCUAGAAGAAGGGACUGUCUUGGUCCUAUCGGCCCCGCGCUUCGACUUCAUCGCGCGUCUUCGGCAAGCCCAGCUCACCGACCCAGCUCUCGCCGCCAUCCAGGACGAAGUGCGCGCCGGCUCCCGUGGGGCUCCAUGGGCGGUGGUCGACGGCAUGGUGCAGUAUGCGGGCCGCCUCUACAUCGCGCCUGCGUCCCCCCUCCUGCUGGAGGUCCUCCGAGCCGUGCAUGAAGAGGGACAUGACGGGGUGCAGCGGACCCUUCAUCGGCUCCGGCGUGACUUUCAUUUUCCUAACAUGAAGCAGGUCGUCCAGGACUUUGUUCGCGAGUGUGUCACGUGCCAGCGCUACAAGUCGGAGCAACUGCACCCUGCCGGCCUUCUUCUACCUCUGCCUGUUCCGCAGGGUGUGUGGUCGGACAUCGCCAUCGACUUCAUCGAGGCGCUUCCUCGUGUGCGGGGCAAGUCGGUCAUCCUCACCGUGGUCGACAGGUUCAGCAAAUAUGCCCACUUCAUUCCGCUCGCCCACGCGUACUCCGCCGAGACGGUCGCCCAAGCUUUCUUUGCCGACAUCGUCCGUCUUCAUGGGGUGCCGCAAUCCAUUGUGUCCGACCGCGACCCGAUCUUCACGUCCGCGACCCGAUUUUCACGUCGACAUUCUGGAGGGAGCUCAUGCGCUUGGUGGGCACCAAGUUACACAUGACCACUGCCUUCCACCCGCAGUCAGAUGGGCAGUCCGAGGCGGCUAACAGAGUCAUCAUCAUGUAUCUUCGCUGCCUCACGGGCGACCGUCCACGACACUGGCUGCAGUGGUUGCCAUGGGCGGAGUUCGUCUUCAACACGGCGUACCAAAGCUCACUUCGGGACACUCCGUUCCAAGUCGUCUACGGGCGCGAGCCACCAACCAUCCGGUCCUACGAGCCGGGGGACACUCGGGUGGCAGCAGUUGCCAAGAACAUGGAAGAACGGCAGGAAUUCAUCGCCGACAUCCGUGCUCGUCUCGAGCAAGCUCAGGCGGUUCAGAAGCGUCACUACGACAAGGCCCAUCGUGCUGUUUCGUACAAGGUUGAUGAUUGGGUGCUGCUCCGCCUUCGUCAACGGCCGGUUGCGUCGCUGCCCCAGGCCACCACCGGCAAGCUUAAGCCGCGCUACUUCGGGCCCUACCGCAUCACCGAGCUGAUCAACGAGGUCGCUGUCCGCCUCGCCCUUCCACCUCAGGCUCGCCUGCACGAUGUGUUCCAUGUUGGCCUCCUGAAGAAGUUCCAUGGCACCCCGCCAGACGCUCCUCCGCCACUUCCGCCGGUCCACCACGGCGCCAUUGCUCCAGAGCCGGAACGCGCUGUCCGUCGACGCCUCGUUCGCGGCGUCCAGCAAGUCCUGGUCCAAUGGAAGGGUCAGUCCUCUGCAUCGGCCACCUGGGAAGAUGUCGAGCCGUUCUGUGCCAGGUAUCCAGCAUUUCAGCUCGGGGACGAGCUGCCUCUCGAGGAGGGGAGAGAUGUCAUGUCCGGGCGAUACAGCCGGACAUACACCAGGCGUCGCCGGGCGCGGGAUGUGCGACGCGCAGCAGAACGUGCAUUGCGCACAGCAGGCACGCAUGAAGAGGAAGUCACGGCAUGUGGCUAAGAUGGAAAACAAAGAUAGCUUUCCCUUGUUAGUAGCUCUUUCCUAUUGUUAGUUUCUAAAAUUAGUGGGCUAAGGGCCAUAUAAUCAUGUAACUAUACUUGGACGGAAUCAAGCACGAAGUUAUCUCCUAAUCUCCUCUCUCUCUCUCAAGAGAGAGCCUGCGGUAGAGGGGUCUAACCUCACCGGAGAAGACGGACGGUGGCUACGAAUUGCGUAGCCGAGGUCCGGCCAGUCAAGGCUUCGGCGUCCUUGACAUCAUCAUCCUGGUAGGGGCGCUAGAAGUUUCCAUCAGGUAUGCUUUCGAAAGCGUCAUCAGUGGCUAUGUAAUCUCUAGAGCAACUGUGCUAUAUUUUGCGCUUUGAGGACACCAGGUCUUCCUUUUGUACUCUAGUGCUUGUCGUUGAUCAUUAUAUCUACAGAAACCUUCCACAACAUUGGGCAGCAUCUCCCAGAUCACAUCUUGUUCAACCUGCAGGAGGUACGGAGUGAUAGAGUUGGAUAUUCGCGUGAAUAACCAUCGAUUGAUUGAGGUAAAAGCGUUGCAAGUAUGUAGGCCAAACUAUCCUAUCUGACCUCGUGUUGAUUUGUGGAAACAGAUAUCACGAGGAGACACGUGUGAAGCACGUGAUGCGUGCGUGACGGCAAAAGGCUGCAAAGCACGCGCACCAAACGGGAGACAGGAGAGCCAAGGCCACCAUGCGCCAGGGCGAUACAUGGCACACCAAAUGAGGAUGAAAGCCAUUCUGCAGAGGCGAGCAUGAUCUCCCUAACAGGCGUAGAAGAAUGCAGUAUGUCACUUCAUCCUCAAGCGGCACAAAGAGACGUGCCUUCUGUUUUUCAGUGAACUUCAACCACUGAUUAUUGUUAACUUGCUUGUUUCUUUUUCUUUUUGAAAAAUAUGAUCUGUGAUAGGUGAUGGAAGUAGUGGUAGUAGAGCCCGUGGUGGUGCAGCCCGCCGUUCAGGAGUUAAGAUAUUGGAGGGCCAAGCUGUUCUAUCCGUCCAAGAUCAACUAGGAAGAAGAAGCCAACUCCUAAGAGAGUCUCUCAACUCUAAAAGGUCAGUUUACAAUGCUCCUAACACCUGCUCAGAUUUCAUUUGCUGCACAAUUAGAAUAUUGUUUGAACAAAAGCAAGAGCAUGCUUUGGCCUUUUAGAGAUUUUUUGUUUCUCAGAUUUUGAAAUAUUUCAUGUCUAUUUUGUAGGCCUCCAUGGAGAAGAUGUAGCUAUGACACUCCUUGUUGGUGCAUGUUCUUUGUCCAAGUUUUUUUUUUUGGUUUUGAAGUGCCCUCCUGUAUUUUGCAACGCAAAUGAUGUUCAUUUGGGAUCUACAUUGGUGCUCUGUGCUUCAAGCAUGUACUGUGGACUGUAAUAUGUGGGACACUAGCAGUCUGGGACUGCAUUUAGAGUGAUGGAUGACAUCGACACAUUGAGAUGCCUGAAUCUAUCUAAUCUGUGCUAUAACAUGUCAAAUGGUCUUGUUUGUUUGUCUGUUUUUUUAUACAGUUAUGAUGUAGGGUGGACUAGACAUAGUUUCUAGUGAAAUUCUACAAAAUUUUUUAAAAAAAUUGAAUUUAUUUGAAUUUGAUCCGAAAUUCCAGAAAUAUCGCAUUUUUCGCUGGGCACUGAUUUUUUUCAUUCCGGAAUUGAAAACCUUGGGAGCCGUGGCGAUGGAAAUUAAAAAUGAAAUAUUUGAAAGCAUGGAGAUGCGGGGGAUCGAACCCCGUGCCUCUCGCAUGCAAAACAAACUCUACCAUUUGAGCUACAUCCCCACGACUAGUAACAAGAUGUAGUACAUAUACCUAAACACAAUAUGCUUACUAAUCUUUUUGCACCAACCAACAGAACAGAGCAACCAGAAAACUGUUGAUGGCAGCCUACUUAUUUGCGGUCAAAAAUUAUGAUCGCUGCAGACAAAAAAAAAAGCAAGUGGAGGAAAGGGAAACAAAUGUCCCUGCAGACACGUAGAAGUCAACAGAAAGACGUUGAUCCUGAUGUAUAUAUUCGUAAGCUGGUUCUGUACACCUACAGUAUUCAAAAUUACAAGCUCAUUCUAUAUACAAGUUCCCUUGCGCUACACAGAACAUACAAACUGAGAAGAUCUAAGAAAAGAAAGAAGUUGAACGUUGCAGAUUUCGCUAUACAAAAAUUACAGGAAAAACGAAUUGUAUACAGCGAGGAAUGCCUGUGUAGUUUGUGCAGAUUGUCUUGAGGUACCAUGAUCUUGCAGGGUCUAAAGUUCGCUCUGCUUUCUGUGCUAGCUGUGCGGGUGAUUAAAAGUAUUUAGUACCGGCGAUCUGACAGGAUGGAAUCACUCCAAGAAAGCAUGAAAUCGCGCACAACUGAUGGCAGAUCUGCACAAAAGAGUAAGUAAUACAUUAUAUUCCUAGCAAGGAGAAAUGUUC
rnacentral:lncRNA from 1 species